rnacentral:lncRNA from 1 species
ACACAACCACUUGGUCCACCAUAGUUGAACAUAUAACCCUUCUUAUAUUCGAGAAAUAAAUUAUUUGCUCCAUAACAAUCUGGCCUAUCAACUAACUUGACCAUGGGAAUGCCAAAGAGGUCGGAAGAAUGACCAUUUGGAUUGUAAUUCUGAAUGUGCUUGAAGUACGCAGAUCUCUUAUCGUCAUAAUCGGGGAAGUGGCCGCUACCCAUUGGAGGACCAUGUGCAUUCUUCAAGUAAUUCACGAAUCCAGUCAAGGCUUGUAUACGUCGUGUUCCGGGGCAAAGCUUAUUUGGAAAAUGUCCCAAGAAUGAUGGUUUCUGUAAAUCGUGACGGUACACCACCCAAUCUCCGGAAUUUGGAUCCUGUAGUCAACAAGGGAUUGAUGACAUCAAUGAACAAUAAAUUUCAUGUACAAAAAGAGUAGAAAACAUGUUAUUUGCAAGAAUCUUGGGUGGCGUACAAUUUCCUAGAUUCCAAUGUUCCAUAUUUUCUUAAUAAAAUACAAAGCAUGGUACUUAAUAACCAUGUGAAUUUAUGCCUAACUAAUUUUAACAUUAAUAAAAUCUAUCUUUGUUAAUUUUAAUCCUCUAUUCUUAACUAGUUGCAAUCCACUACCUAUUUUUCCUAUUCGAGCAGCCAUGCCACGUCAACAAGUCAUACAUGUUAGUUAUAAGUUUACUUUUCUUUCCAUGUGUGCAUCCAUACCACAUCAACAAGUCAUGCAUGUUCCCCGUAAGUUAUAUUUUUCAUAUGUGCUUGUUUUUCCUAUCCAUGCAGUCUUGCCACACCAGCAAGUCAUGCAUGUUCAUCAUAAAUUACUGUUUUUGCAUUUAUUUUUUGUUGUCAUGAAUGGAUUAUAUGUUGGACACUCUGAGGAUACCUAUGCAGUUCAUAUUUCACAUUUUGUUAGAAAAAUGGAAUUUUGUUAACUACAAUCCAACUUUUUCUCUUUUGUAGUUGCUCUUAAUUAUAGCAUCUAUUUACGUGAUUCAUUCGAUGAGGUUGCUGCAGGAACGCGCAUGUAUCAUCUACUUAUUGUAGAAAUAGUAGCACAUUUGUGAAUUUAUAUAGAUAUAGUAAUCUCCAGAAUGGGACAAAUGGUGCACCUUGUUGAGGCUAAGCCUAACGUAGUGGUCUUGUUCGCCAUAAAUUGAUGGAGGAGCCAUGGCUUGUCCAGGCACUAGAUUAGCUCGACUUGCAGGAACAAAUCCUGGGCACUGCAAGUUGUAGCACCCCUUCGAUUUCAAGUCCUUCUGAGCAACAAAAAAAAAGGAAACAUGUAUUAUUGUGGAUGUAAAGAGACUUUUACUUAGUCCAAUAGUCCUCUAACUCCUACGAAAUACCAAAAAACUAUAUGGGGACCACAAUAAUAUAUAACUUGUUAAAAUGACAUUGAUUAUACUUACGGUCCAAUAUGUAAAGAAGCGAAUAUCUCUGUUAUGGUACAAAGAGGGGGAAAUCUGCAAGCAGGAGCAAAUUAUGAAAUAGUUGUUUAUUCAAAAGCAUUUGACUUUACCAUAAUGGGUGAUAUGUUUGUACAUGAAAUCCAACUUGAAUUGAGUUGUAGUUUCCUCCAUCUUGACAAUAUAUCUGUAAGGAUGCUCCGGAUUCUUGAGAAGUUCCUUGAUUUGGUGAAGCCCAUAUACUCAUGUCAGCUCGAAGGCCGUAGAAUUGUCCUGGCUCUGUGUGCCACAUUGCAUACUAGUGAUAGAAAAUUACAGCUCAAAUUAGUAAAUAACCCGAAAAAUCUAUAGAGAACGACAUAAUAAACAAGUGAGGGUGUGCGUUCUUGGCCUUGGUAUGAGGUUCACCUACCAGACAUUUACAAUGGGGAAUUUUUUAUGCUACCUUGGAGUUAGACUAGAUAAGUUUUCAUAGGCCUUGUAAAGUAUAUGAUACUGGAUUUAGCUUCCUCCGCGGGGUGUGGUGUCAAUCCAACGCAGUUAGACCUUUUGUGGUGAUGCAUGCAAUGCUUUAGUUCAUGUACAUUUUCGAUGGUCUUACUUAGGUGUUUGGGCUCACAACAUCUUCUCUCCUCCUUGUGGCAUGGGUGAAACAAGAUUUGAUUCUCUCUCUAAUAGGUGUGAAGUGUAUUGCCGAUAAAGUUGGUAUGUCAGCAUAAGUCUCCAAUAGAGUAUGUCUUAAAUGCCUUUCUGAAUCUGUUGUUCACAGUAUUUUGGUAGCAUGUUUUGUAUGUAAUGAUCAUAGCUUUUGAGGUAUAUAGGGGAUCAAGAUAAGUUCAUUUAGGUGUAUGCCUUUUAUCUGGUCUUUAUGUACCACCUUGUCUCUUGGACCAUUGACCAUAAUUUAGCUUGACCAGCAAUGAUUUAGAUACAUCAUGAAUGAAUUAGAUUUCUACUGUUUUUUCUCUGUGGUUUAAAUAUGUGAUGCUUAUAUUGGAAAUACCUUGACUUUUCCUUUUAUAUUUAUCACAUAUCACUCUGGCAUUACAUUGUGACGUUUUUUGUGAUCAAUACCCAACAAGAAAUUAACAAAAUAUCCCAAAUCUAACACAUGAAAAAGUAAAGAGAGAUAUAUACAGAGAAUGGGGGAGAGUGUGUGUACAUGAGAAACAAUGCCGCUUCCUUCAUUCAUGAUAUCAGCUCUCCAAGGAAAAUGGAAAGGUUUAGGUCUUAAAAGAGUGGUGUUCUGCAGAGGGAAAUAAUAGUUCAUGACUAGUUAGCAUAUAUAAUUGAUGUACAGAGUCUUUGAAAGAUAAAUAUUUGUUUCACAUAUGUGUCCUAAAUUUUAGUUGGGCAUAUAAGUAACAUAAAGUAGUUAUGAAUAUUAACACCAAUAGUAAUUAUCAAGAUUAAGUGGCAAAGUAGAUACACCAAUGGGAUAAUACAUAAAGCAAUUGAUAAAAAGUUGUAUAUAUCAAAAUCUAAAAGUAAAAUAUUUGUUACCUUCUCAUUUGUCUGGAGAUUGACAUCUACGUCUAUCGAUUCAACAAAGGUGAGGUGGAAAGUUAUACACAAAAAGCAUAGUAAGACCGAUAUGACAACAUAAUCACCUCCCAUUUGUAUAGGUAACUGUGUUAUUUUCAAUGAAAUAGUAACUAUGUGAUUCUUGACGUACUUGUAUCUUCUUCAUAGAACACAACUUAUAUAUAAUUGAGCCAGGUUCUUUUUUUAGAAGGCUUUAGAUUGCAUUGUACUGAUGAUGCACUGAAAAUUUAGUGGGUAGUCAUCCGGUGAACUAAUCUUUCUAGAGUUGGGUAUAAAUCAAUUGUUUAAUUAAUGUUCAUUAAAUAUGGACUUGGUUUACAUCCAAUUAAUGAUUGCUUGAUGGCCUAUCUUUUUAUAUGAAUAUAGAUCAAUUUAUGCAUCAAUAGUAAUUAACGAUGGGCUUGAUUUACAUCCAAAGAAUGGAUGUAUGAGGACAUAUACAAUGGUCUUAUCUUAGAAGUGCCACAUAGGAUAAUUGUAGAGGUGGAGGAGAGAGAAACCAUAAGAAAAGACUUCCCUUCUCUUCAUUAAGAGAUGAUCUCUUAGCAAAAAUUCUCUCACCACAUAAUUAGGAAUAUCUUGUUAUUAGAGAUCAGACUAAGAAUAAUAUAUACAUUAUACAUCAUUUUUUGUUGUCUUCUCUAGAUUACACAGGGGGCAUAAGAUAAGACAAUCUUAUCAACCAUUGUGAAGGAAAUAUGCCCUAGAGACAAUAAUAAAGUUGUUAUUUUAUAUUUCCUUAUUCAUGAUAAAGGUUUAUUAUUCAUGCUAGAAUUGUAUUGAUCGGAAACCUAAAUACACGUGUGAAUACAUAAACAAGCACCGUGUCCCUAGUGAGCCUCUACUUGACUAGCUUGUUGAUCAAAGAUGGUUAAGGUUUCCUAACCAUAGACAUGAGUUGUCAUUUGAUAAUGGGAUCACAUCAUUAGGAGAAUGAUGUGAUGGACAAGACCCAUUCGUUAGCUUAGCAUAAUGAUCGUUCAGUUUUAUUGCUAUUGCUUUCUUCAUGUCAAAUACAUAUUCCUUCGACUACGAGAUUAUGCAACUCCCGGAUACCGGAGGAAUGCCUUGUGUGCUAUCAAACGUCACAACGUAACUAGGUGAUUAUAAAGAUGCUCUACAGGAAUCUCCGAAGGUGUUCGUUGAGUUGGCAUAGAUCGAGAUUAGGAUCACUCUGAGUAUCGAAGAGGUAUCUCUGGGCCCUCUCGGUAAUACACAUCAUAAGCUUGCAAGCAAAUGACUAAGGAGUUAGUCACGAGGUGAUGUAUUACGGAACGAGUAAAGAGACUUGCCGGUAACGAGAUUGAACUAGGUACGAAGAUACCGAUGAUCGAAUCUCGGGCAGGUAACAUACCGAUAGACAAAGGGAAUUACGUAUGUUGUCAUCACGGUUCAACCGAUAAAGAUCUUCAUAGAAUAUGUAGGAGCCAAUAUGGGCAUCCAGGUUUCGCUAUUGGUUAUUGACCGGAGAGGUGUCGCGAUCAUGUCUACAUAGUUCUCGAACCCGUAGGGUCCGCACGCUUAACAUUCGAUCACGAUAUAGUAUUAUAUGAGUUAUGUGAUUUGGUGACCGAAUGUNNNNNNNNNNNNNNNNNNNNNNNNNNNNNNNNNNNNNNNNNNNNNNNNNNNNNNNNNNNNNNNNNNNNNNNNNNNNNNNNNNNNNNNNNNNNNNNNNNNNNNNNNNNNNNNNNNNNNNNNNNNNNNNNNNNNNNNNNNNNNNNNNNNNNNNNNNNNNNNNNNNNNNNNNNNNNNNNNNNNNNNNNNNNNNNNNNNNNNNNNNNNNNNNNNNNNNNNNNNNNNNNNNNNNNNNNNNNNNNNNNNNNNNNNNNNNNNNNNNNNNNNNNNNNNNNNNNNNNNNNNNNNNNNNNNNNNNNNNNNNNNNNNNNNNNNNNNNNNNNNNNNNNNNNNNNNNNNNNNNNNNNNNNNNNNNNNNNNNNNNNNNNNNNNNNNNNNNNNNNNNNNNNNNNNNNNNNNNNNNNNNNNNNNNNNNNNNNNNNNNNNNNNNNNNNAUGAGCCAAGAGGGGAAACUGUUGGGGAACGCAGUAUUUCCAAAAUUUACCUACGAUCACGCAAGAUCUAUCUAGGAGAUGCAUAGCAAUGAGACGGGGAGAGUGUGUCCACGUACCCUCGUAGACCGAAAGCGGAAGCGUUUAGUAACGCAGUUGAUGUAGUCGAACGUCUUCGCGAUCCAACCGAUCCAAGUACCGAACGUACGGCACCUCCGCGAUCAACACACGUUCAACUUAGUGACGUCCCUCGAACUCUUGAUCCAGUUGAGGCUGAGGGUGAGUUCCGUCAGCACGACGGCGUGGUGACGAUGAUGAUGAAGUUACCGGCGCAGGGCUUCGCCUAAGCACUACGACGAUAUGAUCGAGGUGUGUAACUGUGGAGGGGGGCACCGCACACGGCUAAAAGAUCAACUUGUGUGUUCUAGGGUGCCCUGUCGGUGUCAAAACCGGCCGAUCUCGGGUAGGGGGUCCCGAACUGUGCGUCUGAGGAUCCAAGGUAACAGGAGGCAGGGGACACGAUGUUUACCCAGGUUCAGGCUCUCUUGAUGGAGGUAAUACCCUACUUCCUGCUUGAUUGACUUUGAUGAGUAUAGGGGUUACAAGAGUUGAUCUACCAUGAGAUCGUAGUGGCUAAACCCUAGAUGUCUAGCCUGUAUGAUUGUGAUUGCCUCUACGGACUAAACCCUCCGGUCUAUAUAGACUUGGAGAAGGACUCGCAGCCGAACUAUGUUCGGUUCGAGUUAGAGGCUGAUGAUGGGGAAUUUUGCUUCCCACCCGCCACCCACUUCAUAGCUACCGUCGAGGACUUAACCGACGAGCUCGAUUAUGGCUCCGAAGACAUCGACGGUAUGGACGACGAUGCCGACAAGGAGCAAGGCCAAGACCCGCCAUUCACUGGACGUUGGACGGCCACCUCUUCGUACGACGUGUACAUGGUUGAUACUGUUGGGGAACGUAGUAAUUUCAAAAAAUUUCCUACGCACACGCAGGAUCAUGGUGAUGCAUAGCACCGAGAGGGGAGAGUGUUGUCUAUGUACCCUCGUAGACCGUAAGCGGAAGCGUUUAUCAACGCGGUUGAUGUAGUCGUACGUCUUCACGAUCCGACCGAUCCAAGUACCGAACGCACGACACCUCCGAGUUCUGCACACGUUCAGCUCGAUGACGUCCUCGCCUUCUUGAUCCAGCAAGACGGGCGAAGUAGUAGAUGAGUUCCAGCAGCACGACGGCGUGGUGACGGUGUUGCUGAAGAACAAUCUCCGCAGGGCUUCGCCAAGCACUACAGAAACUGUGACGGAGGACAAACUAGAGGGGACAGGGUUGCCGGCACACGGCUUGGUGUUUCUUAAUCUCUCUUUGGUGCUAGCCCUGCCCCUCUAUUUAUAUGUUGAGCCCUGGGGUCGAAACUUGGAGCAAAAGCCUCCUCAAAGUCGGUUUUGCCCGAAAGGCAAGAGUCCCACUCGGACUCCAGGACCAAACGCCACAAUCCUUGGUGUCUGGCCCAGACGCCAUGGGCCUCGGUCGUCUGGCCCAUUUGGUCCCGGUUGGUGGGACGAACCGGGACCAAUGGGCCUCGCUCCUGGCCCACCACCAUUGGUCCCGGUUGGUGGCUUGAACCGGGACCACAGGCUGCCUUUUAGUUCCGGUUCAUGCCACGAACCGGGACCAAUGAGGUGCCUAUAUAUACCCCUCGCCCGCGAGCAGAGCACUCCAGUGCUCUGUUUUUCUCUGGCCGGCGAGGGGAGGGCUUUGUGGUGCUCUAGCUCACCUCCUAUGCACAUGAGGUGUUCGAUGAAAUGUCCGAGCCACACUAGUUAAGCUUUCUCCUUUCGAAGCUCGACCUCAAAGCUCCAUUUUCCUCGAGAUUUGUCUAGGUUUAACGGCCCGUCACGUCCCAUUCCCGUCUUCACCGCCGUCAAUCGCCCGCGCCGAUCUCGUCGCCGGCACCACCGUGGUGAGCCUCUUGUUCUUAUCUUCUUUCUAAAAGAAAAAAAUUCUUACUUUAGAUAGAUACUUGUCUAAUUUUCUUACUAUUUUAUUGCUUGUUAUUAUAUAGUGCGAUGGUUUUGGUAUCCGCCCACGUCGGCCCACGUCCUGUCUAUGAUUCAGAUGUGGUAUAUAUUAUCUUUAUAACUAUUGGUUCAUUUAUUGUUUACAAAAAUUAUGCCGACCAACGUGACAUAGAUUUUAUUUAUCUAGGAGGUAUGUGAACCGGAAAUUCCAACCGACCCUAUUGUCGAGAGGUUAAAUUUAGUUGAAGAAGAAAACAAUUUCUUGAAGGAAAAAAUAAAAAAAUUGAGGAGGAGAAGAUGAUAUUGGAGUUGCAUGUUGCGGAUGUCGUCGAUGAUCACAAGAUCAAGAUGGAUGCAAUGCGCUUGAAGAUUAGAAAGAUUAGAAAAUAUGCCAUUCAUACCGAGGCUUGGUAUCAUUAUGCCGUUGGAUCAAUUGUUACCUUGGUUGCGAUUAUGAUCCCAUUUGUUUUCGCAUUGAAAUGUUUUACAUAGUUUCAAUGUAUGGUUUAAUUAAUUAGAUGCUCUGGAGAGCUAUAUGUUGUUAGAUGAGAACUAUGUAUGUACUUUGGUUUUAAUGUGAUGAUGAACUUCUAUUAAUUUGGUCACUUAAUUAUCUAUUCAUGAUGUUCUGUAAUGGUUUUUGACACACUUAAUUAUAUAUAAUGCACGCAGAUGAACCGACAAUGGAUGUACGGUGACAGACACACCUCCGAGUACAUUAAGGGCGUGCAUGAUUUUCUCGAAGUGGCUGAGGCAAAUAAGCAGAAUGGUUUUAUGUGUUGUCCAUGCCCUAAAUGUGGGAAUACAAAGUCUUACUCUGACCGGAAAAUCCUUCACACCCACCUGCUUUACAAGGGUUUCAUGCCACACUAUAAUGUUUGGACGAGGCACGGAGAAAUAGGGGUUAUGAGGGAAGACGGCAAAGAAGAAGAGGACGAUGACAACUAUGUGCCCCCUGAAUACGGUGAUGCUGCAACGGGGGAAGCUGCUGAAGAUCAAGAGGAACCAGAUGAUGUGCCCAAUGAUGCUGCAACGGGGGAAGCUGCUAAAGAUCAAGAGGAACCAGUGCCCGAUGAUGAUGAUCUCCGCCGGGUCAUUGUCGAUGCAAGGACGCAAUGCGAAAGUCAAAAGGAGAAGCUGAAGUUCAAUCGCAUGUUAGAGGAUCACAAAAAAGGGUUGUACCCCAAUAGCGAAGAUGGCAACACAAAGCUCGGUACCGUACUGGAAUUGCUGCAGUGGAAGGCAGAGAAUGCUGUGCCUGACAAAGGAUUUGAGAAGCUAUUGAAAAUAUUGAAGAAGAAGCUUCCUUAGGAUAACGAAUUGCCCGACAAUACAUACGCAGCAAAGAAGGUCGUAUGCCCUCCAGGAUUGGAGGUGCAGAAGAUACAUGCAUGCCCUAAUGACUGCAUCCUCUACCGCGGUGCGUACAAGGAUCUGAACGCAUGCCCGGUAUGCGGUGCAUUGCGGUAUAAGAUCAGACGAGAUGACCCUGGUGAUGUUGACGGCGAGCCCCCCAGGAAGAGGGUUCCUGCGAAGGUGAUGUGGUAUGCUCCUAUAAUACCACGGUUGAAACGUCUGUUCAGAAACGAAGAGCAUGCCAAGUUGAUGCGAUGGCACAGUGAGGACUGUAAGAAAGACGGGAAGUUGAGAGCACCCGCUGACGGGUCGCAGUGGAGAAAAAUUGAGAGAAAGUACUGGGCUGAGUUUGCAGCUGACCCAAGGAACGUAUGGUUUGGUUUAAGUGCGGAUGGCAUUAAUCCUUUCGGGGAGCAGAGCAGCAAUCACAGCACCUGGCCCGUGACUCUAUGUAUGUAUAACCUUCCUCCUUGGAUGUGCAUGAAGCGGAAGUUCAUUAUGAUGCCAGUUCUCAUCCAAGGCCCUAAGCAACCCGGCAACGACAUUGAUGUGUACCUAAGUCCAUUAGUUGAAGAAAUUUUACAGCUGUGGAAUGGAAACGGUGUACGUACGUGGGAUGAGCACAAACAGGAGGAAUUUAACCUGCACGCGUUGCUGUUUGUAACCAUCAACGAUUGGCCUGCUCUCAGUAACCUUUCAGGACAGACAAACAAGGGGUACCACGCAUGCACGCAGUGUUUAGAUGACACUGAAAGUAUAUACCUGGACAAAUGCAGGAAGAAUGUGUACCUGGGCAUCGUCGAUUUGUUCCGACCAACCAUCAAUGUCGAAAGAAAGGAAAGCAUUUCAAAGGCGAGGCAGAUCACCGGAAGAAGCCCGCCAUGCGUACCGGUGAUCACGUACUUGCUAUGGUCAAUGAUUUACACGUAAUCUUUGGAAAGGGUCCCGGCAGACUAGCUGUUCCGAAUGACGCUGAGGGACACGCACCCAUGUGGAAGAGGAAAUCUAUAUUUUGGGACCUACCCUACUGGAAAGACCUAGAGGUCCGCUCUUCAAUCAACGUGAUGCACGUGACGAAGAACCUUUGCGUGAACCUGCUAGGCUUCCUGGGCGUGUAUGGAAAGACAAAAUAUACACCUGAGGUACGGGAGGACCUGCAACGUUUGCACGAAAAAGACGGCAUGCCUCCGAAGCAGUAUGAAGGUCAUGCCAGCUACGCUCUUACGAAAGAAGAGAAAUAAAUCUUCUUUGAAUGCCUGCUCAGUGUGAUGGUCCCGACUGGCUUCUCGUCGAAUAUAAAGGGAAUAAUAAAUAUGCCAGAGAAAAAGUUCCAGAACCUAAAGUCUCAUGACUGCCACGUGAUUAUGACGCAACUGCUUCCGUGCAUUGAGGGGGCUUCUACCGGAAAACGUCCGAUUAGCCAUUGUGAAGCUAUGUGCAUUCCUCAAUGCAAUCUCUCAGAAGGUGAUCGAUCCAGAAAUCAUACCAAGGCUAAGGAGUGAUGUGGCGCAAUGUCUUGUCAGUUUCGAGCUGGUGUUCCCACCAUCCUUCUUCAAUAUCAUGACGCACGUCCUAGUUCAUCUAGUCGACGAGAUUGUCAUUCAGGGGCCCGUAUUUCUACACAAUAUGUUCCCCUUUGAGAGGUUCAUGGGAGUCCUAAAGAAAUAUGUCUGUAACCACGCUAGGCCAGAAGGAAGCAUCUCCAUGGGCCAUCAAACAGAGGAUGUCAUUGGGUUUUGUGUUGACUUCAUUCCUGGCCUUAAGAAGAUAGGUCUCCCUAAAUCGCGGUAUGAGGGGAGACUGACUGGAAAAGGCACGCUAGGAGCGGACUCAAUAAUAUGCAGGGACGGGCAUUCUUGGUCUCAAGCACACUACACAGUUCUACAGAACUCUACCUUGGUGCCCCCGUAUGUCGAUGAACACAAGAACAGUCUGCGCUCCAAACACCCGGAGCAGUGUGACGACUGGAUUACAUGUGAACACAUCAGGACUUUCAGCAGUUGGUUGGAAACACGUCUCAGAGGUGACACCACUGUUUGUGAUGAGUUGUACUCGUUGUCCAAGGGACCAUCUUCGACUGUAUUGACUUACAAAGGAUACGAGAUAAAUGGGAAUACAUUUUACACGAUCGCCCAAGAUCAAAAGAGCACCAACCAAAACAGCGGUGUCCGCUUUGAUGCAGCAACCGAGAGGGGAAAGGACAGAUAUUAUGGUUACAUAAUAGACAUAUGGGAACUUGACUACGGACAUGAUUUUAAGGUCCCUUUGUUUAAGUGCAAAUGGGUCAAUCUGUCAAGAGGCGGGGUACAGGUAGACCCACAGUACGGAAUGACAACAGUGGAUCUGAACAAUCUUGGGUACACUGACGAACCGUUCGUCCUAGCCAAUGAUGUGGCACAGGUUAUCUAUGUGAAGGACAUGUCUACCAGACCGAGAAAAAGAAAAGAUAAGGAAGCGAAUACAUCAUAGGAUGAGCCAAAGCGCCACAUAGUUCUUUCAGGAAAAAGUGACAUCGUGGGAGUGGAGGGCAAGACAGACAUGUCUGAAGAUUAUGAAAAAAGUUUCAUGAAAUUCCUCCCUUCAAAGUCAAGGCUGACCCAAGCAUCCUGAUAAACGAUGAAGAUUAUCCAUGGUUACGGCGCAAUAAGCAAAUGACACAAGCGAAGAAAAAGUGAAGACUUUCUCCCGCAACUAUUAUGAUGAUACCAUGCCAACUUUGUAACAGACGAGUAUGAUACCAUUGUCCGUUUUGUACACGAAGUGCAUCUAGUUUUUGCCGUAACCCUCUCAACUUUCUUGCACAUGCUAUGUGGAUGAAAUGAUGAUACCAUGCCAACUUUCAACCUUUUCAGAGUUCAUUCAAUUUCAGGGUCUUAUAGUUCAAAAUAAUCAAUAAAUGCAUGAAAAAUAACAAAUGAAGUCAGAAAGGGUUGAAAAUUGAUGAUGUGGCUUUGAAUGGUGCAUUUUGAACACACAAAAAGUCAGGAGUUCAAAUAAGUUUUAAGAAAUGAAAUCCCUUUGUAACAGACGAGUUUCCGUAUGAAAUCCUGAUACUUCGAAAGAGAUUGUCCGUUUUGUACACGAAGUGCAUUCAGUUUUUGCCGUAACCCUCUCAACUUUCUUGCACAUGCUAUGUGGAUGAAAUGAUGAUACCAUGCCAACUUUCAACCUUUUCAGAGUUCAUUUGAAAUGCUUUUCAAUUUUAGGGUCUUAUAGCUCAAAAUAAUCAGUAAAUGCAUGGAAAAUGAUGCAUGAAAAAUAACAAAUAAAAUAAAUAAGUAAUUAGAAACAAAAUAAUAUAAAGUUUAAUAAAAUAUAUAAGUAGAAACAAAAUAAAAUAAACUUUAAUAACAUAAAUAAAAUUUAUGAAACUAAAAUUAUCAAAGUAUUUUGUGUUCAAAACAUUAUAAGCAACCUCUAGUAUUAUUGAAACUAAAAUUAUAUAUAAUUGAUGCAACUAAAAUUAUCGAAGUAUUUUCUGUUCAAAAUCAUUGAAAGCAAAAAGAAUUUUCAUAAAGAACUUUUUUUGUUAGAAACUUUAAUAGCAAAAAGAAUCAUCAUAAAGUAAAAUAAAUAAGUAAUUAGAAACAAAAUAAAAUAAAAUAAAUAAGUUUUUUGUUGUAAAUAAAAACAAAACAAAAUAAAUAAAGCAAAAAAGAAAACAAAAAAAAGGCAAAAAAUAAAAAUUAUGCCACCUAUUGGGCCACCACGGCCUGAAUACGACUAGAAACCCAUCCAUGGGCCAGGAUUCAGGCCCGCAGAAGGCCCAGUAGGCCCACAGGCAUGUACAGAGAGGUUAGGCCCGUAAGCCUGCUUUAGAGAGGAGCUCGACAGCUCAGGCGCACCGCACCUUAUAAACAGGUGCGGCUCUCUCUCAGCUAGCGAGUUGGGACUAAACUCCCACCACCACUCCGCUGUGCAAGGCUUUCCGUCCCGGUUGGUGGCACCAACCGGGACUAAAGGGUGCCUUUGGUCCCGGUUGGUGGAACCAACCGGGACCACCCCUUUACUCCCGGUUGGUUCCACCAACCGGGACCAAAGGCCGCCGCUUCCCGNNNNNNNNNNNNNNNNNNNNNNNNNNNNNNNNNNNNNNNNNNNNNNNNNNNNNNNNNNNNNNNNNNNNNNNNNNNNNNNNNNNNNNNNNNNNNNNNNNNNNNNNNNNNNNNNNNNNNNNNNNNNNNNNNNNNNNNNNNNNNNNNNNNNNNNNNNNNNNNNNNNNNNNNNNNNNNNNNNNNNNNNNNNNNNNNNNNNNNNNNNNNNNNNNNNNNNNNNNNNNNNNNNNNNNNNNNNNNNNNNNNNNNNNNNNNNNNNNNNNNNNNNNNNNNNNNNNNNNNNNNNNNNNNNNNNNNNNNNNNNNNNNNNNNNNNNNNNNNNNNNNNNNNNNNNNNNNNNNNNNNNNNNNNNNNNNNNNNNNNNNNNNNNNNNNNNNNNNNNNNNNNNNNNNNNNNNNNNNNNNNNNNNNNNNNNNNNNNNNNNNNNNNNNNNNNNNNNNNNNNNNNNNNNNNNNNNNNNNNNNNNNNNNNNNNNNNNNNNNNNNNNNNNNNNNNNNNNNNNNNNNNNNNNNNNNNNNNNNNNNNNNNNNNNNNNNNNNNNNNNNNNNNNNNNNCGCCGGCACCCUCGCCUCCCCCACCGUCGCCAUCGCCAGACGCCCCCGCUGUGAGCCGCCGCGCAGGUCCGGCUCUGUUUUUAUUUUUUAUUAGAUUAAUUUUUUGUUCAUAUAUAUAUAAUGUAUAUUUGUAUGUAUGUGGCUAUAUGUAAGUUCAGAGCAUGUUUUUUAUUAGAUUAAUUUCUUAUUAGAUUUAUUACAUUUUUUUUGUUCACAACAUGUUUUUGUUCAUAUAUGUAUUUUUUUGUUCAUAUGUGUAUUAAUGUUUUUGUUGUAUAUAUGUAAUUUUUUUUCAAUGUAUAUAUGUAUGUGGUAGCUAUAUAUGCAUGAUGAGGGGGGUGGGGGUCGAUAUACCCCCUCCCCGAUAAUUUCAACAUGAGGGGAGGUCGAUACCCCCUCCCCGAUAACAUUUUUUAGAAAAGUUUUAUAUAUCUAGCUAGGAAGAAAGGAAGAAGGAAUGAACUAAUAAGAGGAUUAAGAAGAAAAAUAAGAGGAGAAGAAGAAGGAAUAGAGGAGAAGAAGAAAAAAUAGACUCUCUAUUUUUUCUUCUUCUCCUCUAUUCCUUCUUCUUCUCCUUUUUUUCUUCUUCUCCUCUUUUUUUAUCUUCUACUUCCUCUUCUUAAUUUUUAUCGGGAACUCCAUUCCAAAAUAACUUCAACAUGAUGGGCGGUCGAUAUAUAUACCCCCUCUCGACCGUGAUAACUUAUACCACGGGAGCACCCCCCCGGCCCUCUAGCUCGACCAAAACUCUCGAGGACACCCAAACCCUAGAAAAAACGAUGUCGGUCUCCUACCCCCUCCCGCCGCGCCCCUACCCUUGAAGCGUUGCCGAGGCCACCCCAAACCCGGAAUAAGCUAGAUCUACGUUUGCACUAAUAUAGCCACCUGUUGUCAUGUUUGUGUAAUAAUUGCCAUGUUGUAAUAUUUGCAGAAACAAUGGAGCACGGACGAGACGAGGAAGUAGAAGAGGUGUUGGGGGACAUAAUCUUAGCCGGAGGUGAUAUCUUGUCGUAUCUUAACGACAAUGAUGGUCUAGAAGAACAUGGUGAAGAAUCAGUCUACGGUGAUCGAAGAGUGGAGGAGGAAAGACAUGAUUAUGAUGGCUCCGGUGACCCAAUGCUGGUGCAAGAAGGAGCCCAUGGUGACGGCUCCGGUGACCGAACAGAGUCCGGCCAGGUAAAUAUAUUAGUUAAGCCUGUGCUGACUAGCUAAUUGAUGCAUUCAUUGUUUUGGUAUGUACACAUAUUAAUUAACUCUCGUCUUUCUUCUUUUUUCUAGCCCUCCGGAUCGAGCACAACUUCGGUAAAGAGACGAGGCCCGAAGAGAAAGUUGCGCUCGGAUGAAAGGUUUGAGAUCACAGCAAUCGCGCGCGACGGCCAACCGAUUGAACCCAUCCGGACAAAGGAAGCAUUUGCUGCUUAGUGCGGGGUUCUUGUUAGGGACAAGAUCCCGAUCAGCAUCCACCAAUGGUAUAAGCCUAAGAAGGAAGACCCUGAGGUGUCUUAUGUCAAUGAUAUGCAGAAAGAUGAUCUUUGGACUGAGCUGAAGGCAAAUUUCACCCUACCGCCAGAGGAGGAUCCGGAGAAGCCAGUUAAAGAGCAAUUAAUCAAGUCUCAUGCUCUUAAGAAGAUGGCAGACCUAUUCAGGAGGUGGAAGAAUGAGCUGAAAACGUUUGUCGACAAAGAAGAGACACCAGAAUUCAUCGGCCGGUAUGAGAAGAUCAGAGAUCACUGGCCCACAUUUGUGGCCCACAAGACAUCGGAAAAGAGUAAGAAGAUGUCAGCGACAAACAAGAAGAAUGCUGCGAAGAAGAAGCUUCACCAUCGCACGGGGUCAGGUGGCUACCUCAAAGCCCGGCCUAAGUGGGCCAAGGCUGAGAAUGAUCUGCUUGAUAAAGGGAUCGAACCAUAGACAAUGAACUGACCAGACCGUUGCCGGGCUUGGUUCUUCGGGGCUGGCGGAAAAUUGGACCCUGUAUCAAGGAGGUGCAUUUGGACGGACGAGCUUUUGAGAAUACCAGUCAAGAGGCUUCAGCACUAUAUCGAUGCAGCGUAGUAAGGGACGUUUGUUCCAGACAGAGAGAACGACGAGCUCACAAUGGGCCUCGGGAAUCCUGAGCACCCUGGACAGACACGAGGCACGCCAGGCUCCGUUCCAUGGAAGGCUGGUUUUCCGGACGCAGGCGGUUACAAAAGCCAGGAGAGGAGGAAAAAAGUGGAGCAGACCCAAAUUCAGAAGCUGCACGAAAGGGUUCAAGCGCUAGAGGAACGAGACGGCAAUCGACAUGCCGAAACUACCCCCGAAGCUACCCCGCCAUCUCAGCGGAGAAGCAGCGUGGCUUCCACCGAGCUGCUUCAGCCCGAGCAUGUCUUGACGGCUCCUGCUAGCUACCCCGUGGAUGCUAUCACGGAGUCUCAACAUUGCCACCUUAUGACGCAAUGGAUGAAAUUCAAAGUCAAGGCGGCUGUUGGCUCUGUUUUACCUACUGAACCUGGCGCAACCUAUCACUGCCGGCCGAUUCCAGAAGGAUAUGCUAGGGUGAUGGUGGAUGAAAUAACAGACGGAUUUGAGGACCUCGAGCUUGACCACCCUACCGGUGAAGGGGAGACUCGGCUGGGUUCUGCUCUGAAGACUCCAUGCCUAUGGCGGAAGGAGCUCAUCAACCUUCCGACUGGACGCCUCCGGCGAGUAAGGGCACUCCGCCUCCUCCUCCGGCGAGUGAUCAGGACACUCAGCCUCCUUCUCCGGCGCAUGGCGGCACUCCGCCUCCUCCUCUGGCGAGUGAUCAGGGCACUCAGCCUCCUUCUCCGGCGCGUGGCGGCACUCCGCCUCCUUCUCCGCCUGCGCCAGCGCGCCAGAGCAGCCAGCCUCCUCCUUCUUCGCCUCGUCAGCAAGGGCGGAAGAGACCCGCCGCCGCUCCGGCUGCUCCGACGCGUCGUAGUCCUUCUCCUCCGCCUCGUAAGCAAGGAAAGAAGACAGCCGCAGCCGCUCCGUCUGCUCUGCUGGCGUCUAGCAGUACAGCCAGAGGCGGGAGGCAAUACAGAUUCGGUCCUUCUCUGAAGACUCUAGAGAAGUUACCAUACGAGAGGACCGAGGAGGAAACCACGAAGAUUGUGCGAGCCGAAGUGAUGAACUUCUUUGAAGGGGUGAAAGCAAAUAAACAUCCACCUUCGGAGGAGAAGGUAGAUCCGGUGAAAGCGAAGCGCACUCGGGCUGCCCUGACAAAACCACCAAAGUCUCCGCCGAGAGGCAACUAUGAGCGCAUUCUUGCAAAGACAUUUGCCGAAGCGAAGCGGUCGGGAAGUACUGUCAGUGAUCAAAGGUUAAAAGAACGACGAGCUGGGAAAAAAAUUGCCCAGCUCGGCGAACAAGCGAACCAAUCGUGCCCCCCGCUCAAGGUGUCUAGCGACAUCGUCGCUAAUGAUCCGAGGAUUGUGCCCGGUUAUAGCAAUCUUGGAGAUUACCUGCCCGACGAUGUACAUUAUGAUAUCUUGGAGGUGGACGAACACAAAUACCAUUACGGGAAGCUUCUCGUCAAAGAUGAAAGAUCUCUAACAACGAUGAUGCGAAGAUUACAUGAUUGGUACAUGAAAACCUGCAGAGAGUCUGGGGAGGAAUACUUUGACGUUGAGAGUUAAACAGGAGCAUGACCUCGUUGGAAUUGAACUGUUGGAUGUUCCAUUUGAGGAGUUCUUCCAGUUUUUCAAUCAAAAGGCCCUCGAUAAAUCAAUGAUCACUUGCUACUGUCUGUAAGUAGUACUACUUCUGUCAUUAAGUCUCUCUAUAUAGGUCAGCUCUUUCAUUGCAUGUAUUUAUAAUUAUCCUCACUAUAUUAUGCAGAUUGAAGAUCGCCGAAUUGAAGAAAAGACAAAUCCGUGAUAUUUGGGUUCAUUAACACAAAUCUCAUAGAUGCAACUGAGGCUAAAUAUCAUGCCGAAAAUACUGAGGCCAACUUGCUACGAUCGUUGGUAAUAAAUGAAAACAAAGAUAUAAUACUCUUUCCUUACAACUUCAAGUGAGUGUUACUGUCUUGUGCAUAUUCGGUUUCCCUUAUUAGUCCAGGUUAUAGUAAUGUAAUUGAUGACUUAUGCAUGCGUGCGCAGCUUCCACUAUAUUCUCCUAGAGAUUAAGCUUGAGCAGGGAGUAGUAACCGUCUUAGACUCGAGACGAAAAGAUCCCCAGGACUAUGCGGACAUGACUCAAAUGCUCGAGAAGUAAGUUAAAUCGAUCAUUAUCCACCAUAUCAGCAACUUUGUUCAUUUCCUGAUAUCAAGUAAUUGUUUUCUUUGUCUGGCAGGGUUUGGAGAAAAUUCACCAAAAAAGCUCUGGGACUGCCGAAGAAGCUGCAAUUUAGACACCCGAAAGUAAGUACUAUAGUAGCAUGUUCCGCGCAUCUCCUAGUGAUUCAAGCGCUAGUUUCAUCAAUACCAUUUAGCAUGCUUGCUUAUCAGUUUGAUUGACCUCUAUUUCUUGUAAAGUGGUUGUGGCAGGAACCCGGGAAUAAUUACUAUGGAUACUACAUUUGCGAGUCCAUCCGCUACACGACCUGUGAGCGGGGCUACUCUGACGAACAAUAUGAAGUGCGUAAGGAAUAAUAUUCAUAAUUUUAUUUUAUUAUCAUCAUUUGUGUUGAAUUUCAUUUAUUCAUAUAUAUAUGUAUUGACCCCCUUCCUCAAAUUAGAUCUUUCGGAUGCGGGAUGAACUCCUAGCACUAGAUCGUAUGCGAGCAAUUCAAGAGGAAUUGGCGGCAUUCUUCCUUGACCACGUGAUCGCUGAAAACGGAGAAUACUAUGUGGACCUGUAUUCUUACAAUUUAAUUAGGAGAUUAUAUUGUAAGAGAUAAUUAUUGUAUAUAUGUAGCCGGUAGUGUCGGAUAGAUAUACGAGAACUUGUUGUUCGACCAAUCUCUCGGAGAAGGAGAGGUGGUCGAUAUCACUUCUCUUUGUAUGCAUAUGUUCAUGACGAUCUUCUGUUUCCUUCAUUUGCUUACUAGUUAGCGUGUCUAGUCCUCUCCAUACGUAUAUAGUACGUAGCGUCGACCAAGCACGGAGAUUUUCGACGUUCAAAAACCGGGACAAAAGGCCCUUACCAACCGGGACAAUAGGCCCUUUUUCUACUAGUGUUCUCAGAUUUUCGACGGAAUAUCAGAGGUCGACAAGUGGAUUUAAUUUGCACUCAUUUGAUAACUCAUAAAUUACAAAGGGGCAUACCUGGGAAUAUCGCCGUGUUAGAUGUUACAAGCAGUCGACAACGUACGUGGGCCACCAGGCGUCGACCAAGUAGAGCUUGGAUUUUUGCUUCAGUUUGCGUGGUGAAGAUUCUGCUUGCUGUACAGGAUAUGAAUUCCACAUGACUUCCAACAAGACUUGUAUGGUUGUACAGUGCCACUUCAUCGCUUCCUCUGACACAUGACUUCCAACAAGACUUGGGGUUCAGCAUAUGUGUUAACCACAAUUUAACACUGAAACCUUAUUUUUACAACCAGACACCAGUACGGAAUUUUCCCACAACUUGUCCUUACGCUGUGCCACCAGCCACGAGUCCUUAAGCUAAAUAUUUUGUUCUAUGUUCCAGCUGAAAAGAAAAAGGGAAACUCCACUGCAAGUGUUAUCUCAAACCCAUUCUGCACAUUAGAAGAAAGUGAAGGCCGAUGAGAAUUGGGAAAGAUCCUGUUUCAUUUUUCAGCAUGGAUGAGAAAAGAAAAAUAGAGGAAGAUGGAAAACAGACAGCCCAGCAACAGCUGCCAAAGGGAUGUGCUAGGAUCCAAACAAGAGCUGCCAAAGGAACUUCCAGUAGAGAAAGAUGGAAACACUGAAGAAUAGUCAUCCAGUAGCAACUUAAGACACUGAAAAUUUUGGCAUGGGGAUACCUAAGUGAAAUAGUUGGGUUCUUCUGGUUAUUCUCUAAAGUAUGGAAGCAAUAGUAAUAAUUUGCACUGUUUUGAUUACUCGUAAAUUACAGAGGGGCAUACCUGGAAAUAUUUGUGCAUUGGAUGUUACACGGCAACCAACACGUACGCGGGCCGGCAGAUGUACAGAAAGCUCCGGUAACACACUUGAGCUUGGAUUUUUCUUUACUUCAGAUUCUGUGAUGAAGAUGCGGGCUCGGUUGUACUACCUCCUAUUCCCUCGGACACAGGACUUCCUACAAGACUUGGGGUCCAGGAUUUUUAUUAACCACAAUUAAACAUUGAAGCCUUUAUUUUUACCACCGCCGGUGGCGAAAUUUCCACACAAUUUGUCGUUGCAUUGUGUCACCAGUCAUGAGUCCUUGAUCUAAAUAUUUUGUUCUAUGUACAUAACCGUACGUAGCUUAAGACAUAUCUUGCUCUAUGAAAAGCGAGAAGGGAAACAAUUUUAGAGAUAAAGUAGCUUAUGAGAAAAAGGCUUUCGCCCCGCUAUAUAGAUAUAGCAACCGCCCGAUACAAUAAAGAGUUCAAUGCUGGGGCAAACAGCACAAGCAUGCCUAAAAGAAACAAAAGAGAAAGAAGAGAGAAAAUAAUGUUAACAACGUCGGAUCGACGAAAACGAUGAUAACCCGAAAGCGUUGCGCCCACCGGAGAUGUACCACCUCGCUCCAGGCACCUCGAACCUCCGCAUACCAAGCAGCACCUUCAGGAAGGAACACGACGACGACGACGCUGCCGCCCGGACAGGUCCUAGGGUUUCCCCCGAUACGCGGAGGGGCGUGGGGAAGGGGAAGACCCGAUGCCCUUCAGGAAGGAACGAUGGCGCCCACGAGCGUCAUCGCGUCGGUGCCGGCAAGCCGGCACGGAUUUCUCCCAUCCGCCAAACACCCACAACCCCGAACGGUCCGACGCGCUCCACCAGACAAGCCACCCACGAACGUGCGCCACCACGGUCUUGCCAUCAUCACCGCCGCCUCACCAUGGUCAUCGAAGCGAGACCGACGAGGACGAGAGGGAGCAGCCGGGAACGAGGAGCAGCAGCGACAGCAGCCACGCCGGAGGAGACAACCUCCACCGCCAUCGGCGGUCACCGACCGGACGCGGCAAGGGGAGCAUACCAGGCCCUCGAGGCCCGGCCGAGCCCAAAAGGGGCUCGUGAAGCACCCGUCGCCGAGCUGCACUAGACAUGCCGCCGUCUCCACAACCCCCCGCACGAGCCGCGCCACCACCGCCCCCACCAGAGCCGAUGCUGGCGAGACCGGGUCAGGCCCGCCUAGACCCAGAUAGGGCCCAUAUCUGGGCCGGGAGGGCGCCCCCACGAUCCACUGCGCCAGCCCGCCGCCAAGUGGCCGCGCCGCUGCCUCUAGGCCACCCGGAGCUGCGCCGCCUGGAGCAGCCGUCGCUGCCGGAACCACCGUCAACCGAGGAGCCAUGGCACCGCGCGCGGGGAAUGGAAAUGCCGCCGCCGCCGCCAACACCACGCGGGCAGGGCCCGGUGGCGCAGGCCGGCGGCGGCGGAAGGAGGGGAAGGGGAGGGGAAGGCGCUGGGGGCCGGGAAGAUGGGCCCCCGGUCGCCUCGCUCGGGGAGGCGACGCGGAGGGCGGGCCGGAAGGGGAGGGAGGGAGGUGGGGCGCGGCGCGGCGCACGCGGCCGGCGGCCGGAGGCGCGGGAGGGGAGGGGAGGGCGGCCGACGGCGGCGGAGGCACGCGAGGAACCCUAGGAGCGGAUCAGAUAAAGUAGCUUAAGACAUAAAUGUAGCACUUACAAAUGAAUGACCAAAUAAACAAGGAAAUACUGAAUGCAUAUGCAUAUGCUUGGUUUGCUGUUGUGGCCUAAGAUUUUCUUCAGUAGACAGACAGGUGUGUGUGCACAAGCAGAGUGAGGCAGCUCUCGUCUCAACCCAGCCUGGUUCUAAUAGGUGCCUACCUACUUCUCUCUGCAGGAAAUCUAGCAGCUAAUUAAGACAUAUUACUUUCAACAACGGUCGAGUGUUACACAAGAAGUUUGGUCGACAGGCAAGGUUCUAUGCGUGUACGUACUCAUAACAAAUUCACAUGGAACAACAAAUAAUUUACUACUACUGUUUCAAGCAUUGGUUGGCGAGGACGGCAUGAGAUGAUACGCUAUGAAAAGCCCAGGUACAGCCAACAAGGAUCUCUAUCAGAAAGGUGGAUACCAACUCACCACUAAAUUCAACAGCUCCUUUUAUCACUCCACAUCAUUCCAAAAUAAACAAUUGGAGCCGUAUAGCUAUGUUGCGUUGUACAUCUCUAUGCACUGCUAUGAGGUACCAAAUUCCUGCCUAAAAUAGUAAUAAUCUGCACACAUUUGAUUACUGGGAAAUUACAAACGGCAUAUCUGGGAAUAUUGGAAUGUAGGCAGACGUACAGAAAACGCCGGUAACCCACUUGAGCUUGGAUUUUUCUCUUCAGCUUGUGUGGUCAUGAUGCUGCUCGGUUGUACAGGCAUUGAAUUCAACACAAAUUGUAGCCACUGCCUCAUAUUCCCUUGGACACAGGACUUCCAACAAGACUUGGGGCCCAGGAUUUGUAUAAACCACAAUUCAACACUGAAACCUUUAUUUUCACAACCGCCGGUGAAUAGAUUUCCACGUAAAUUUUUGUUGCGUUGCGCCACUAGUCACAAGUCCUUGAGCUAAAUAGUCUGUUCUAGUUUGUCGUUGCAAUCAACACGUACAUGGGUCCGCGGACGUACAGAAAACGCUAGUAACCCACUUGAGCUAAGAUUUUUGCUUCAGCUUGUGUGCUGGAGAUGCUGCUUGAUUGUACAGGCUUUGAUAUUCCACAAGUUACAGCGAAAAAGGGAACAUUUUAGAAAAUAGGCUACUUCAGUUUCUUCAUAAUUGGAGCAGUGACCAAAGAAAUACCAUCAAACAAGUCACAGAAGAUACUGUCAAAUAAACAAAGAAAUAUUAUCAAACAAAUCACAGGAGAUACCAGCAAAUAAAAAAAGAAAUUCUAUCAAACAAAUCACAGGAGAUACCAGCAAAUAAAAAAAGAAAUUCUAUCAAACAAAUCACAGGAGAUACCAUCAAAUAAAAACUAUACUGCAAUGUUAACUCAAGUCCAUUCAGUGCAUAAGUUGUCGACGGAGGAGAAUUGGGAAAGAUAUGAUGAGUAGGCGUACGCCGUGGGUUUUCUAGGAAUAAUUCCUGUGUCAUUUGUCCACAUGAAUGAGGAAAGAAAAGGAGAGGAAGAGAUGGCGACGCUAAAGAAGGAAAACAGGCAGCCCCGUAGCAGCUGCCAAAGGAGAUGGCGACACUGAAGAAUAGUCAUCCAGCAUCAGCAUCCACUCAACUCGUGUGUGUUCACUGAAGGAUCUCAUAACACUAUUUAAAUAUCAGUUGAGUUGCGCUGUGUAUUGAAUCACCUCCGCAACACAUCAUGCAAACAGUGGGCAGCAAAAUGCCAUCUUCCCCAACACCAUUGCAGUACCUCAGCCUAAUGUUGGUGCCAUGCCUUCUUAUCUUGCAAGAAGCACGGGCGGCGUACCAUGGAGGGAUCUCAACGAGGUCUCAAAGCAUGGCCCUUCUCCACUGGAAAGCCACAAUAGCAAGCCCACCGUUCCAGAUGAGCUCUUGGAAGGAACACACAAGCCCCUGCAACUGGACAGGCAUCAUGUGCACGGCUGUUCACCACGGCCGCCGCAUGCCCUGGGUGGUGACCAACAUCUCCUUGCCGGAUGCCGGCAUCCAUGGCCAGCUUGGUGAGCUCAACUUCUCGGCCCUUCCAUUCCUCACAUAUAUUGACCUAAGUAACAACAGUCUCCACGGUGCACUACCCGUUAGUAUCAGCUCCCUCUCAGCACUUUCGGUUCUUACCUUUCGCGACAACCAGCUCACAGGGAAAAUUCCCUACGAGUUUGGUGGCUUGCAAAGUCUCAAGCUGCUUGUUCUGUCAUUUAACAGACUCACAGGACGUAUCCCUGCGUCUCUAGGCAACCUAACAAUGUUAACUGAUCUUGCCAUUCACCAAAACAUGGUAUCAGGUCCCAUUCCUGAGGAGAUUGGAAGGCUUGUCAACCUACAAAUUCUUCAGCUAAGCAACAACACCUUAAGCGGCAUGAUACCGAAAACCCUUGGAAAUCUGACCCAGCUAAUUGGUUUGUACAUGUUUGGUAAUCAACUUUCAGGGCCUAUACCCCAAGAACUAGGAAGGCUAGUCCAUUUACAAAUUCUUCAGCUUCACUCAAAUGAUAUUUCAGGUCCAAUUCCAAUUUCCAUAACCAAUCUCACUAAGAUGAACCAACUUUUUCUCUUUGAAAAUAAAAUCACAGGUCCAAUACCCCCAGAACUAGGCAACCUCAGUAUGCUACAACAACUUGCUCUCUACACAAAUCAAAUAACAGGUUCAGUACCCCCAGAACUAGGGAACCUCACAAUGCUCAAUGUACUUGUUCUCUAUACAAAUCAAAUCACAGGCCCAAUACCUUUAGAGUUGAGCAUCUUGAUGAAUCUACAGUUUUUAGACUUGUCCAGCAACCAAAUAUCUGGCUCUAUUCCUAACAGCCUAGGAAAUUUAACCAACCUAGAAGUACUAUCCCUCUUUGAAAAUCAGAUAACAGGACCAAUACCUAAAGAAUUGGGCAUCUUGCUGAAUCUUCAAGAGUUAGACUUGUCCGAAAACCAAAUAUCUGGAUCUAUUCCUGGCAGCUUGGGAAAUAUAACCAAGCUAGCAGCACUAUCCCUCUAUGUAAAUCAGAUAACCGGUUCCAUUCCCCAAGAGAUCGGCAAUAUGAUGAACCUUGAAAGUUUAGGCUUGUUUCAGAACCAAAUUUCGGGAUCAAUACCAAGAACUUUUGGGAAGUUGCAAAGCAUCCAAAAAAUGCAAAUCUUCGACAACAAAUUAUCAGGUUCUCUUCCUCGAGAAUUUGGAUAUCUCAUCAGCCUUAUUGAACUUGGGUUGGGUAUCAACUCCCUUUUAGGACCUUUACCCGCAAAUAUAUGUUCAGGUGGUAGACUUCAAUACCUCAGUGUAUCUUCUAAUAUGUUCGAUGGCCCCAUUCCAAGAAGUUUAAAGACAUGUACAAGUUUGGUUCGACUUCGCCUUGAGUCGAACCAACUAACAGGAGAUAUAUCACAAGAUUUUGGUGUGUAUCCACAACUCAUACAAAUGCGAUUAGCGUCAAAUAGACUCUUUGGGCAGAUCUCAACAAAUCUAGGUGCAUGUACGCAACUAAAAGAACUAAAUCUAGCACAAAAUAUGAUCACGGGUUCCAUACCACCAAUCCUUUCUAAACUAUCCAAUCUAGUAGAACUAACACUCGAUUCUAAUCAUCUCAUCGGUGAGAUUCCACCAGAAAUCUGUAGUUUAGCAAAUCUGUAUAAACUCAACCUGUCAUCGAACCAAUUAUCUGGAUCCAUACCUGCACAGAUAGAAAAGCUAAGAAAUCUAGGAUACCUUGAUAUAUCUAGGAAUAGACUGAGCGGAUCAAUACCUGAGGGACUGGGGGCCUGCAUGAAACUAGAGUCCUUGAAGAUUAACAACAACAAAUUCAAUGGGAGUUUGCCUGGUGUGAUUGGAAAUUUAGCAGGCCUGCAGAUCAAGUUAGAUGUGAGCAACAAUAAUCUUGGUGGUGCAUUGCCGCAGCAACUUGGGAAUUUGGAGAUGCUAGAAUUUCUGAAUCUAUCACAUAAUCAGUUUAGUGGCAGCAUUCCGUCCACCUUUGCAAGCAUGGUGAGCCUUUCAACACUUGAUGUGUCCUACAAUGACUUGGAUGGACCAGUUCCAACAACACGGCUACUCCAAAAUGCUUCAGCAAGUUGGUUUCUUCACAAUAAAGGUUUGUGUGGCAACAUCUCUGGCCUCCAACUUUGCGAUUCAACUCCAAUUGCAGCCGAUCACCACAAACGGAAGAUACUUGGUUUGCUUUUGCCAAUUGUUCUUGUGGUGGGUUUUGGCAUUUUUUCUGCAAUUGUUGUCAUAAUAAUGCUGAGUCGUAACAAGAGAAAACCACAAGAAGUUGUUACUACUGAAGGAAGGGACCUAUUCUCUGUUUGGAAUUUCGAUGGAAGAUUAGCAUUUGACGAUAUUGUAAGGGCAACAGAAGACUUUGAUGAUAACUACAUCAUUGGAGCGGGAGGAUACGGAAAUGUCUACAAGGCACAACUCCAAGACGGGCAGCUAGUUGCUGUGAAGAAGCUGCAUCAGACAGAAGAAGAGUUGGACGAUGAAAGAAGGUUUCGCAGUGAAAUGGAAAUCUUAUUACAGAUCCGCCAACGAAGCAUUGUCAAAAUGUAUGGAUUCUGCUCCCAUUCAGCGUAUAAAUUUCUUGUGUACGACUACAUUCAGCAGGGAAGCCUCCACCAGAUGUUGGAAAAUGAGGAGACAGCAAGGGAAUUGGAUUGGCAAAAGAGAAUUGUCGUUGUAAAUGAUGUGGCUCAAGCAAUAUCUUAUUUGCACCACGAAUGCAGUCCACCUAUAAUCCAUCGAGAUAUAACGAGUAACAACAUCUUACUUGAUGCAACCUUCAAGGCUUUCGUCUCAGAUUUCGGCACAGCAAGGAUUCUUAAGCCUGAUUCAUCAAACUGGAGUGCACUAGCGGGGACGUAUGGGUACAUAGCUCCUGGUAUGUACUAGUAUAACCUUCCUUCUCACGUCUGAAGCAUUUAUCUCUAUCUAUUUGUACCUAACUCUAAUGUCUUAUUAUGUGCAGAACUCUCGUACACAUCUGUUGUCACGGAGAAAUGUGAUGUCUAUAGCUUUGGUGUGGUUGUGCUAGAGCUACUUAUGGGGAAGCAUCCAAGGGAUCUAUUAGACGGUAGUUUGUCAAAUGGGGAACAAGCUAUGCUGGUGAAAGAUAUUCUGGACCAGCGACCGACAACACCAACAGCAACAGAAGAGAAUAGCUUAGCUCUGCUCAUCAAGCUGGCUUUCUCUUGCUUGGAAUCUUCUCCACAAACAAGACCAACCAUGAGGCAGGCAUACCAGACACUCAUCCAGCGACCCUCUUCUAGUUCCUCUUCCGUGCCUUUCAGUGCACUAACACUACAGCAAGGGAUGCAUGUUGACAUGUGAUCUGAAUUCUGGCGAGAAGCCAGGGACUAUCGUAGCGGAGGCCAACUUAGGUUCCCGCUUUAGACUCGAGUCACUCAUAUGCCACACAUAUUAUUACCUCCUGUAUGACACACGGGAUGAGUUGAUGACUCAUUCUAAGUCUAUGUAUUUGUAGAAAAUCUCCUGAUAUAGGAAAAUACCACGGUGAAAGGACUUCCAGGAAAAUUACCACACGGAGCUAGGUGCAGGAAAAUUACCAACAGCAAGGAAAACUAGUUGAGUCAGUACCUCAUCAUCAAUGUAAUCUGGGACGUAGUAGUUUCUACCGAUAGUUUCUUGUAUUUCAUUGCUCACAUGCAUAAGAUCCAUCAUCUCGUAUUGCAUGCCCUGCAGAAUAUAGAGGCAGGUAUGGAUUCAGAUGCAAUUGAAACAAACGUAGACAGAAAAGAUAGACAAUCAAAUGAGAAUCUUGAAAACAUGAACAAUCUGGUAAACAACAGGAUGCUGCAUACAUCUAUAUCUUCAAUCCUGACAGUUUCCGUCAUUCAUUUCAGCUCUUUAUUGGAAGUUACCAUUGCAGUCAUCUGUUAAUGAAAGAGAAUCCGAAUCUAACAUGAACUAGACAGGAAAGUAAGGCAACAUACAGUGUGUUGAGCAUCUUUAGUUCACUCUGAUGCAAUAGUACAGCAUGUCAUGUUGUCCUUCAUACCUGUAGGGAAGGCAUAUGGAAUACAGAUAUUAGAACAUGGUUUCUCUAUUAGAUAAGAACACAACCUUUACAAAAAUGAGCUAUUCCAACGAAGGAAAUAGAAUAUAUAGGUGUGUAUGAAGGCAACAUACAACGAAAGGACAUUUCAUCGAAUAGGUAGUGUUGUGGGAAGAGAGGUGAACAAGACGUCGCUGGGGGUGCUGUGGGCAUUUCAUCGAACAGGUAGCGUGCCGGAACUAAUCUUUGUGGCCCUGGUCAACUAUCUCCUCCAAAUUUUGAGUCUUCUCCAAGAAAUGGAUGCUCAAAGCACCAAAAUCAGCAGCAACCACCAAAUUCUCCUCAUCCAUCGCAUCAAUCACCAGAAGUUGUAAGAUUUAUUAGGCCGAGAGAAGACGGCGGCAAUGGAGCAAGUACUAAGUUGAGGCGGAGGGUGAGCAGCGGUGGCGUGGCGAACAGGACGGAUGUAGAGCAGCGAGGAGAAGAGGACGGUGGUAGGGAGGAGAACAGCGGCCGGGUCACCGCCGUAGCUCGGCCGGCACUGCGAGGAGAAGACGACGGCGACGGGGCCAAACCCAAACAGCUGUUUCCCCUGUUUUUAUUUUAUUUUUAUAAGUUUUCUCUGGUUUCUUUUGGUUUAAGGUGGAUUUUCUGUUCUCCAUCAUUUUUUCCUCUGAUUUUUUAUUUUUCUUUGCCAUUUUUAUAUACAUUUAUAAAUAUAGCUCUGUUGUAUAUAUACUCUGUUGCUUUUAUCUUGAAUCCUACUGAUCACAUUGCAUUUGAAUGCAUGGGCAAUUUAUUUGUGAAAGUGCGUUAUAUCGACUAGAGGGGGGUGAAUAGGCGAUUUUUAUGAAUUCUUCACUGAUGAAUUUGUGGGUGAGGAAAUUCCUUAGCGAAGAACUACUUGCAGCGAAAUAAGUACUCAAAAGUAUACAUAGCAGAACACAAGCAUAGUCAUCAUGAUGAAAUGAAAACAAGCACAGAGUAAAGAAAGCGUAAUCACAGGAUAACACAAGAUGAAGACAAACAGACUGAGGAAAUUGAACUGAGGAAAUUGAGAAAUUCUUCAGUCAAAGUCUUCAAACACAGAUAUGAACAAACAUACAACACAGUAAUGAGGAAAUGGAAGAGUUGAGGAAAUAUAACCAGUAAGCUUGGUGAAGACAGUGAUUUGGUAGACCAGUUCCAACUGCUGUCUCAGUUGUACGUCUGGUUGGAGCAGCUAGGUAUUUAAACCUGAGGACACACAGUCCCGGACACACAGUCCUCACUGUAUUCUCCUUGAGCUAAGGUCACACAGACCUCGCCCAAUCACUCGUGGUAAGUCUUCAGGUGACUUCCAAACCUUCACAAACUCGGUCACUCAGCGAUCCACAAUUUCCUCUUGGAUGCUCUAGACCAUGACGCCUAACCGUCUGGAAGAAGCACAGUCUUCAAAGGUGACAAGCGUCGGAUCCACGCAGGAUCAAUCUCUUCAGUGAUGCUCAAUCACUUUGGGUUUGUAGGUGUUUGGGUUUGGGUUUUCCUCACUUGAUGAUUUUCGCUCAAAGUCCUCGGAGGAUGGGAUGCUCUCAAUUGACAAGUGUCAGUUUCUCUCGGAGCAACCAACCAGCUAGUGGUUGUAGGGGGCGGCUAUUUAUAGACUAGGGAGCAGCCCGACAUGAUAAGACAUAAAUGCCCUUCAAUGAUAUGACCGUUAGGUGGGUAGAUAUGUUGGGACAGCUGGCGCAUAGCACAACAACGGUCGGAAAUUUGAGUAUCAAAUUCCUCAGGGCUAUCAUAUUCCUCACUGUGUAGGCAAUCUGCACUGGCGAAUUCCUAACUCCUUAGUCAGAGCAAAUUCCUCAGCGACCAGAAGAACUUCGUCUCUGUCACUGAAGAAUAUGACUGAACUGUAUGAGAUUUCCAAUGGCUUCACUCGAAGGGAUUGGUAGGUGUAGGAUUUUGAGUUGAGCAUCACAUGGAAAUUUUUCCUUUGUAUUUCCUCGACCCCCUUUAACAGUACGGUGUUUCCUAAGACUCAAGAAAGAGAAAAUGAAACUACGAAAACAAAAGUCUUCACGCUUCAUGUUCCUCAAAUGAAUACCAAGUGUUCAAGGUCACACCAAUUUCUUCACUUUCAAAGUCUUCAAAAAGUCUUCAGAAAUACCAAAGUCUUCAGUCGAAGAACUUCAUUUUUAGGGGUCGACUUUCUCUGUAAAUAUCAAACUCCUCAUAGACUUAUAUACCUGUGUACACUCAUAAACACAUUAGUCCCUUAACCUAUAAGUCUUCAAUACACCAAAAUCACUAAGGGGCACUAGAUGCACUUACAAUCUCCCCCUUUUUGGUGAUUGAUGACAAUAUAGGUUAAGUUUUCAACGGGGCUAAACAUAUGAAGUGUAAAUACUGAUAUUGAGGAAUUUGAUUGCAAGAUAUAGAAGAACUCCCCCUGAAGCUGUGCAUAGUGAGGAAUUUGCUUUUGAAGCAAUGCACACUUGAAGAAUUGAAUCAUGGAGAUCUCCCCCUAUAUCUUGUAAUUCAUACACGCUUUUGACAUAAUAUAUGAAGAAAUUGAAAUGCAUGAUGAAAUAUGGUGACUGAUGUAAUUCAGCGUGCGUGCAAUAAUAUUAACGAGGAAUAAGCAUGCAGAAGAAACAUCAAAAGUAUCAGACCAUCAUAGAGUUUAAGUUUACAACUCGAUCCAACAAAGUCAUCAGAAGAAUGAGAGUUGUAACUUUAGAAAAAAACGCCCAUAAGAUAGACCCGCUUGAAGACUAACUCAAAUUUCUCCCCCUUUGUCAUCAAAUGUCCAAAAGGGUCGAAAAUGAGGACUAACACCCCUGAAGAAUAUCAAGGUGAUGAAGGAGCAUCAGCGUUGUUGGGGUCGUUUGUUGAUGUAGGGCCUGCCGUAGUGUCGUCCAAGUCUUCAUGUUCAUCAGUGUCACGUGAUGAAGAAUAGGAGCUGGCCACCAAGGAAGGAACCUUGACCUUCUUGUACUUCUUCGGAGGAGGUGCAGCCCAGUCAAGAUCUUCCUUGAGACCCAUUUUCUUCAUAUCUUCUUCACUAUAGACUUGAGAUAGAACAGCCCAGGUGCGGUUGAGGGUUUCAUGAAGGUAGUAAUGGUUUUUCUUCACUGCAUUGUGGGUAGCAGUCAUGUUGUGAAGAAUUGAACCAAACUGACGCUUGACCCAUUUAUGAUUGCGAUCAACCUUCUGAUGAAGACUGAGGAGAAGCUCACGGUCAGUCAUCACCCUGGGUGCUGUGCCUUGAGGAUUUUGCUUGGGUGCGUUUGCGGCAGAGUCAUGGGUGGCAGAGUCAUCAUUAGUGGAGCAAGAUGCAGCCUUGCGAAAUUGUCCAUCCAAUGAACGAAUGCCUUCAUCAAUUACAGCAGUAGCCUUGCCCUUUUCAUCAACUGAGGAAAAUGUCCGUUUGAAGACUUCAAUUGGGGGCAAGUAGCUGCAAUGGUUCAGUGUAUCAGCUUUAUAGUUGAGUGAAGACCUUGUCCUGAUGAAUCUCAUAAUCCAAGAUGCAUAAGGCUUCAACUCAAAUGGUGACAUGGCGACAUUGGCCAGAGUCCUCAUGAAGAAAUCAUGGAAGUUUAUGGGAAUGCCAUGAAUGAUAUUGAAAAACAGAUUCUUCAUGAUGCCAACGACUUCUUCUUCAUUUGAGUCGUGGCCCUUGAUAGGACUCAAUGUCUUCGUCAGAAUGCGAUAGACAGUCCGAGGCACAUACAACAAUUCCUUCACAAGGAAUUUUGUUCUUGGGGCUUGACCUGGCUUCAAAGGCUUCAUCAGCACUUGCAUGUAGUGAUCGGUAAGCUCAGGUUCAUUGUAGACGCAACAAGCACCUUCAAGGGGCGGACUGAGAGGUAAGGCACGAAGAAAUUCAGUAGCUGGUGCCUUGUAGUGAGUGUUUUCAGACAUCCAGUCCAGCACCCAUGAAUUCACAUCUUCAGAAUUUCCGGUGAUGUGCAACGUCGCAUAAAAUUGAAGAAUAAGUUCUUCAUUCCAAUCACAGAUGUCAGUGCAGAAAUUUAACAAUCCAGCGUCAUGAAGAACACUGAGGACUGGCUCGAAGCACGGCAGAGAUUCCAUAUCCACGUGAGGAAUGUGCUCAUGAUCGAAGACUUUGUGUUUGUUGAACAACACUGAGGAAUAAAAAUUUGUCUGGCUGGCAGUCCAGAAACGCCUCUUCCUUAUGCGAGCAGAGUCAUAAGGGUUGUAAUUAGUGAAGAAUACAUGCUCGCCAAAGAAGGCAUCAGUCUUGAAUUUUUUCUUCCUGGAGAAUGGAUCCUUUGGCUUGCGCAGAGGAGUGUCAGUGAGUUGCAUCACAACCUCAGGAAUCGCAAUCUCAGGUUCUUCAGGCCGAGGAAUUUCUGGUUCCUCUUCAGUGGCAGCCUGGUUCUUGAAUUCUUCAUUUUCAUUUUCUUCAGCACUAGCAGCUGGAAUGUCUUCAUGAGCUUCAUCAGAUCCCAUUUGAACUGUAGUGACUGGGGACUGAGGAAUUUGCUGCAGUGGAGUGAAGAGUGGAGAAUUGGGGUGCUAACUUUCCCAAAAGUCAUCAUUCAUCACUGGUGUGGUACAGCCAAUGUCCACAUCUUCUUCUUCAAUUUCUUUAACGCCGGCCUCUUCAGCAGUGAACUGGGGCAUAGGCGAGGAAACAACUGGGGUUGAAGGGAUUUCAUCCACUUCAAUUUCUUCGUCCAUCUGCUCUGAUGUAGCAGCAGAAGGAGUUUCUUCAUCAGAUCCGCUAGGGAUCUCAUAUUCUUCAUCAAAAGGGAUGAUUUCCUUUGAUGGCAUGGAGGAAACUGGAACAACAUCAAUUGGAUUAGCAAAUGAACUUGUCAAUUUCUUCAUCUUCUUCGGUGCUGAAGAAUCUGAAGGAGUUGAUGCUUUCCUCUUCUUCACUGCUGCACGCUCUGCAGCCUUGGUCUUCUUCACAUCUAAUGCAGAUGGAAGGAUUGGAGUUGGAGUAGGUGCAGGAGGAGCAGAGGAAUUUGGUUCAGUUUCUUCAGGCACAACUGAUCCAGUUGCCCUGACCUCCUCAUUUUCUUCAGGCGCACCACUAGUGGGUGCCCUGGCAAUUUCUUCAGUGGCUGGAAUGCAGUCAUUAGCCUUGGAACUCACAUUAUCUUCAGCAGCCUGAUUGUCAUCAGCGGUGCUGGCAUGUUCUUCAGUUGGCUAAGCAGAUGCUUCAGCCUGAGGAAUUUCCUGUUGCGUUGGAGCUGCAACAUUGGUGGUGAACUGCUCAGUCAGUUUAACAAACCUGACCUUGGCUCCUUUCCAAUCAGCAUAGUAAGCAUUGAAAUCAUCGCUGAGGACUUUGAUUUCAGACUGGAUCUUUACAAGUUCAUCAGUUGUCAUAGAGACAACGUUGUUCUUCAGGAAUUUCUCCUUCCUGUACUGUGCUUUCUUGAGCUGCCUGGCCUUCUCAUAUUUCCAUUUUUCUUCUUGGAUGAAAUGGGUCAGCAUCUGACUUUGGCCCGGUGUCAACUUGAAAUCAGGCAUAGGAGUGUUUGGGUCCUUGUGCCAGAGAUCAAUAUAGUCGAGGAUCAACUUUGGAUCCAAAAGCAGUGGCACAUUUGUGCCCUUGGCUGUAGCGGCCCUGACUUGCCUAUCUCUGAUGAUCUCAGCAAGUUCUUCAUCAUCAGCUUCGUCUUCUUCAGACGGCACUUGGAAGGCGACCUGCUUCUUCUGAGGACUUGGGCGAGAGCCUCGUCCAGCAGUGGUCUUUGUCUUCAGCAGAGAGGGUCCUGUUGAAGAAUUUGGUGCAGCUGAGGAACUAGCCGAAGCUCCUAAGGCAAUAGAGAUGCCUGUAGUCCUUUGGCACGUGGCGAGAUGCAUAGGUGCUGAGGAUUUUGUCGGAGCAGCUGAGGACUUUGGAGGAGCAGGAGCGGCUUGAGGAAUUGGCCGUGAGGGCUUAGCUGAGGAAAUUGGCCGUGAGGGCAUUGAAGAAGAGGCACUUGGCUUGUGCGCAGGCUUCUUUGCCAUGGAUUUCUUCGGCCUUACAGAGGCCUCAGCAGCAGCAGCAGCAGUGGAAUCUUCGUUGAAUUUCUUCACUGCAUCUUUUCCCUGUUUGGCCAACUUGGCCUGGCGCUUGGCCCAUUCUUCAGGAAAAUCCUCACCGCGCUUGAUGCUAGUGGGAUCUGCCUCUUGGCCAGGUGCCAAUGGUGGUCUUGAGCAUGGAGGAGUAACAGCGAAUUUCUUCAUGUAUUUUGGAGUCACAUACCUGUACUCCCUCCACUCUUUUGCCCAUCUCCUUUCUAUCCUCUGAAUGUGCACCUUGCACUGAUUCUUAUCUUCCUCAGGGGGUGUGCAGUACCCAGCAUAAAUGUCCUCAGGGAUUUCAAAGGCAGUAUUGACCUCAGGCUUCUUUCCUCCUUUCUGUGGCUUCUUUCCAUCAGUCACUUUCUUCAGUUGAGGAAUUUGAACAAUUGAACUCUCUGAAGAAGUAUGCAACUUUUCUUCGAGGAACACUGCAAAUGAGUUAAGUUGAUGAGAACCUAGUGAUUCAGCAGCGGACAUGAAUACCUGUGAACAGAGUAUAGUUGCGAGGAGUUUGGAGAGGUCAUAUGCGUUCUCAGAAGGUUUUUCAAAAAGAACAAGUUUGAGGAAUUUGACCAGAUGAGUCUUGAAGAAUUUCACUAAGCGUUCUUUGUCUUAGGUUCCAGAGUUGUAUAGAUCGAAGAUCCACACAAUUGAGGAAUCUUGAAGAAAAAUGAUGCUUAGAGAAACGAAUCAAGAACAGAUGACAAGUGAGGUGUCCAGUGUGCGAAAAAUUGAGGAAUAAACACCUUUAAAGAUUUUGUAGAAGUCAUUUGAAUCAAAGAGGGCAGUAAACGUAACUUUUAAUUACCCUGAACGAAGAACACGACGAACUGGGAUGUAGAGAAGUGAAGCUCGUCUGUGCAGAUCUUCCACGCCCUAACUUGGCGGAGGAAGACGACUACAGCGGCGGCGGAGUGAAGAUUUCCGCGACCGGCGCCAGUACGGCGACGACGAGGUCGAGGCAAUGAAGCUCUUCCUCACCGGCGACGAUGAUGUAGCGGCGGCGCUAGGGUUUGAGAAGCUCGAGCUGGAGAGAGGUCGAGCGGAGUAAAAGAUGUGAGGAAGGGGAGAGGGGGUAUUUAUAGCCACGGUGAAAAACUGUUCGCCCGAAGAAAUUGGACGAACGUGCCCCUGACCCUUCUCAUUCGCUUGACAUGUGUCACCCAUGUACCGAGAAGUGGAGAUCGUGUUAGAUCGUGGGUGAAUAGAUAAGUAUAUCAUGGGAAGCGGAACGGUUUGAGUGGCAAAGCCGAAAAUUUGGAUAAGAUAAGUUAAAAGUUCCGUUCGCAAAUUCUUCAGCUGACAAGGACAUAGUGAAGAUUUUGAACGAGAUUCAAAUAGAACGCACAUGAAGAAUUUGUGAAUAGAUUGGGUUGAGUAUAGCAUAGAGGGGGAAGGGUCCGAUCACAUUCACUUAGCAGAAAAACCAACCUGAAGAAUUAGCCAUAAGUGAAUGCUGUAGAGGACAUAAACUCAUAUAUAUAUAUAUAUAUAUAUAUAUAUAUAUAUAUAUAUAUAUAUAUAUAUAUAUAGCUAAUGAAGAAAAACGACGGAAAGAGUGAAGAUUUUGCAAAGUUGAAGAAUAUGAACAACUGAGGAAUUUCAAAACUGAGGAAAAACUCAAAUUGAAGAUUUUCAACUUUUGUGGUGGCGUGACCCACCGUAUAAGAAUGAUGAUUUUAGACACCGUGUACAAUUGUCGUAGGGUUCCGAGAAUCAAAUUCUUCAUUAAUUUCUUCACACUUAGAGUGUUAUUCUUCAUUGAUUGAAGAAAAACGUUUCUUCAUGUGUUGCACAUCUAAGUCAUCAAUUUUGCAUAAGUGUUAGGAUGAGUGUCCUUUCCAAAGAACAUUCGAAGAUUCUAAGAUAUUUAGCUCAUACCGCAACUUGCUAAAUCUUUUCUCAUCCAAGGGCUUUGUGAAGAUAUCGGCUAGCUGUUCUUUAGUCUUCACAUGCUCAAUAGAAAUGUCGCCCUUCAACACAUGAUCGCGAAGAAAUUGAUGACGAAUCUGAAUGUGCUUUGUCUUCGAGUGCUGAACUGGGUUGUGAGCAAUCUUGAUGGCACUCUCAUUGUCACAGAAGAGAGGCACAUUCUUCACGUUGACGCCGUAGUCCUUGAGAGUUUGCUUCAUCCACAGCAAUUGAGCACAGCAAGAACCAGCAGCAAUGUACUCAGCUUCAGCAGUAGAUAGUGAUACGCAGUUCUGCUUCUUCGAGGACCAACAGACCAAAGAUCGUCCGAGGAAAUGACAUGUACCAGAUGUUGACUUGCGAUCCACACGAUCACCAGCAUAGUCAGAGUCAGAAUAUCCAACGAGAUCAAAAGCCGAGCCCUUGGGGUACCAUAAUCCUAGUGUUGGUGUGUGAGCUAGAUAUCGAAGAAUAUGUUUCACAGCCUUAUGGUGUGAUUCCUUCGAUGUAGCUUGAAAUCGGGCACACAUGCAAACACUAAGCAUAAUAUCUGGCCUAGAUGCACAUAAGUACAAUAAAGAACCAAUCAUGGAGCGGUAUACCUUUUGAUCGAAGUCAAUACCAUUUUCAUCAGUGCACAGAUGGCCAUUUGUGGGCAUCGGAAUUUUGACGCCUUUGCAAUCUUGCAUGCCAAAUUUCCUCAGUACAUCCUUGAGGUAUUUCUCCUGAGAUAUGAAUAUGCCAUUGCGCUGUUGACGAAUUUGAAGACCUAAGAAGAAUUUCAACUCUCCGAUCAUAGACAUUUGAUAUUCUUCACUCAUCAUAUAGGCAAAUUCAUCACUAUAACGUUGGUCAGUACAGCCAAAGAUGAUAUCAUCAACAUAUAUUUGCCAUACAAAUAAUUCGUCAUCAUAUGAUUUAGUGAAAAGAGUAGGGUCGAGUGAACCGGGUUUGAAGCCUUUCUUCAUGAGGAAUUCCUUCAAAGUAUCAUACCACGCCCGAGGGGCCUGCUUGAGGCCAUAGAGGGCCUUAUUUAGUCUGAAGACUUUGUCAGGAUGCUUAGGAUCUUCAAAACCUGGGGGUUGAGCAACAUAUACUUCUUCCUCAAGCUUACCUUUGAGUAAUGCACUUUUCACAUCCAUGUGAUAUAAAGUGAUAUCAUGAUGGUUAGCAUAAGCAAGUAAUAUGCGAAUAGCUUCAAGUCUAGCAACAGGUGCAAAAGUUUCAUCAAAAUCAAUUCCUUCAACCUGUGUGUAGCCUUGAGCUACUAGCCGUGCCUUAUUCCUCACCACAAGGCCAUUUUCAUCUUGCUUGUUGCGGUAGAUCCACUUUGUGCCAAUGAUAUUGUGUUUGCGAGGAUCUGGACGAUUGACCAGUUCCCAAACGUUGUUGAGCUCGAACUGAUGUAAUUCUUCUUGCAUGGCCUGAAUCCACUCAGGCUCCAGAAAUGCUUCAUCUACCUUAGUGGGCUCUGUGAUAGAGACAAAAUCAUAGUGCCCACAAAAGUUAGAUAAAUGUGAAGCUUUUGAGCAUGUGAGAGGACCUGGUGCUUCAAUGUCAUCAAUGAUCUUCUCAACUUGCACUUCUUUUGCAACGCGAGGAUGAGUAGGUUGUCAUUGAGGAAUUUGAUCAGCAUUUUCUUCAGCACCAUUUCCUUCAGCUAUUUCUUCAGGUGCAUUGGCUCGACGUUCUUCACAUUCUGGAAUGAAUUCUUCAGCAGAUUCUUCGGUAGGAAUGACAUCCUCAGUAGCCUUGAACUUGAUAGUUUCCUCAGGUGCUGGUUCAUCUAUCACAAAGGGUAGGUGCUCUCUUUGCGAGCAAUUAGUUUCAUCGAACCGCACAUCUACAGUUUCAACAACCUUGUGAAGAACGGUGUUGAAGACUCUGUAGGUGUGCGAGUCCUUUCCGUAACCAGGCAUAAAACCUUCAUGUGCUUUCGGUGCAAAUUUAGCAUUGUGAUGAGGAUCUCUAAUCCAACAUUUAGCACCGAAGACUUUGAAAUAACUCACAUUGGUUUUCUUGUCAGUGAGGAGUUCAUAGGCAGUCUUCUUGAAGAAUUUGUGAAGAUAUACCCUGUUGAUGUUGUGGCACGCUGUAUAAAUUGCCUCAGUCCAGAAGUGACGAGGCGUCUUGUACUCAUCAAGCAUAGUGCGAGCCAUCUCAACAAGAGUUAUGUUCUUGCACUCCACGACGCCAUUCUGCUGAGGAGUGUAAGGAGCAGAUAACGCAUGAGUAAUACCAAGUUCAUCAAGAUAGUCAUCAAGACCAGAAUUCUUGAACUCAGUUCCAUUGUCACUUCUGAUGUGCUUGAUCUUCACACCAAAGUUGGUUGAAGCCCUUGAGGAAAAUCGUUUGAAGACUUCCUGCACUUCAUGUUUGUAAGUAACAAUGUGUACCCAUGUGUAACGAGAGUAAUCAUCAACAAUAGCAAGCCCAUAGAGAGAUGCAUCAUUUGUGACAGCUGAGUAAUGGUUAGGACCAAAGAGGUCCAUGUGAAGCAAUUCGAAUGGUCUAGUAGUGGUCAUGAUAGUCUUCGCUGGAUGCUUAGCCUUGGUCAUCUUUCCAGCAUCACUAGCUCCACACAGGUGAUCCUUGAGGAAUUUGACAUUCUCAAUGCCAAUGACAUGCUUCUUCUUCGCAAGCGUGUGCAAAUUCCUCAUGCCUGCAUGACCAAGUCGUCGAUGUCAUAGCCACCCUUCUGAAGCUUUUGCAAGUAGGCACAUGGCGGGUUGCGGUCCUGUAGAGAAAUCAACAAUAUACAAGUCUCCUCUCCUAAAGCCUUCGAAGAGUUUGGAAUUGUCAGCUUCCAUAACCACAACACAACGAUACUUGCCAAAGACAACUACCAUAUUAAGAUCACAAAGCAUUGAGACAGACAUGAGGUUGUAUCCUAAGGACUCGACAAGCAUGACUUUGUCCAUGUGUCGAUCCUUUGUGAUCGCAACCUUACCUAGGCCCAAUACCUGACUUUUGCCUUUGUCAGCAAAGAUGAUAUGCUUCAGAUGCGAUGGUGAUAAGGGAGCAUCUAUCAUAGAUUCUUGUCACCACUCAUGUGAUUUGUACAUCCACUAUCGAGGACCCACUCAGUGGCUUUGGGUUGAUCAUCCUGCAGAUGAAUUAGUGCAGCUUACGAACUUCAUAUACUUCAUCAGUGAAGAAUAUGACAUCACAAUUCAUCAGACCAAUUUCAUCAAGCAAUGCAACAGUUAAAACAGUAUGAGGACGUGAGAAAUGAAAGUUCAUUUCUUCAUGAUUAGCCUGCGUCCUUUCAGGCACAUUUCAAGUUUCCAGCAAAUUCUUCAGACGUUUGAGCACGUUUGACCCUGCAUAAAAGAUUAGUUCUUUUUCUUCACCACCCACAUCUGAAGGGGUGGCAAAGAGUUCAUCACUCUGCGAGCUCCAUACGAAAAAGGUGGCAUAGAAGCCAAUCCAUUUCGUUUCACAUAAGAGAAGUUAGGGUAAGCAUAUGAAUAAGCAGAGAAAUUCUUUGAGGACUUAUGAACAUAAUGAUUAGAAGAAUAAUGCUCAUAUUCAUAGCCCUUGGCUCUUCCCUGCGAAACAGAGUUGUUAGCACGAUGAUGUUCAUAUGAGGACUUUGAUCCUCUUGAGGAAUAUGAUCCAUGUGAGGAAUUUGGUCCGUAUGAGGACUUGGACCCAUAUGAAGAAUUUGGUCCAUAUGAAGAAUUUGAUUUGGGGUUCCUAAUCUUCACAGGUGGUGUCAUGAGGACAUUCACCUGAAGACUUUCAAGGCACCUUUUGGGAACCCAGAUUUUCUUCAUAGGGGAACCGUUCCUGCAGUUAGUGCCAACAUAUCUAGCAAAUACUUCACCAUUCUGAGUUUUAAACAGUUUGUAGUUGGAGUCAAAUGACUCAUCAAAAGAAUGAGAAGAUUCACAUGUAAAGCCAGAUAAAUUAGAUGGAUCAACUGGAGGUCCCUUUACAGCAACCCAUGAGGUUUUGGGGUACUGCUCAGGCUUCCAAUAUGUACCAUCAGCAUUGAGUUUCCUCUCAAAGGCAAUACCCUCUUUCCUAGGGUUCCUGUUGAGGAUCUUCUUUUUAAGCACAUCACAAAGAGUCUGAUGCCCUUUGAGGCUUUUGUACAUGCCUGUCAUGUACAAUUCCUUCAGCCCUGCAUCGUUAGUGAUACUAGCAAUGUCCUCAGAUGAGGAAUUAAUGAUAGCAGAGACAGUUGAGGAAUUUGUAGCACUAGAAGCAUUUAAACAUUCAGGUGAAGAAUUAGCAGAUUCACGUUCAAUGCAUUUCAAACAUGGAGGAACAAAUUCUUCCUGAGCAGCGCUGAUUUGUUGAGCAAGUAAUGAAUCACGCUCCUUCUGAAGAUCUUCAUAACUCACUUUUAGCUUCUCAAGAUCUUGCUUUCUUUGAAGAAAUUCAUAAGAAAGCUUCUCAUGAUCAGAUAAGAGAGUGUUAUGUUGAUCUUGAAGGGUGUCAUACUUAGUAUGAAGUCUCUGAAGACUUUCAGCCAAAGCUUUUGACAGAUCCAUUUCUUCACCCAACAUAUCAUCGCUCUUACUAAGCAUGUUCUCAAACCAAGGAUCAUGACGGGUUCGAUGACCUUCAUAGACAUCAGAGAGACGGUCCCAGAUAAGCUUUGCAUGAUCGAGAUGCAUGACGUUCCUGAACUGAUUUUGAGACAGACAGGAGCAGAUGACGCCCUUCGCCGUGAGGUUGAGAAGAGUGUACUUGCGAAUGUCAUCAGCUUCCGCCGCCUUGCACAGAUCGGUAAGACCAAUCUCAGUGACGGUCCACAGUUCGCUGUUCAUCGCCAUGAGGCGCUUCUUCAUCAUGGCCUUCCACUUGGGAUAAUCAUGACCGUCAAAGAUGGGACAUGUCACUUUCUUCAUACCUGCAGUCGACAUAACUAAAACUCCAGGCGGUUAAACCAAAAUCACACAGAACAAGGGAGUACCUCGCUCUGAUACCAAUUGAAAGUGCGUUAUAUCGACUAGAGGGGGGUGAAUAGGCGAUUUUUAUGAAUUCUUCACUGAGGAAUUUGUGGGUGAGGAAAUUCCUUAGCGAAGAACUACUUGCAGCGAAAUAAGUACUCAAAAGUAUGCAUAGCAGAACACAAGCAUAGUCAUCAUGAUGAAAUGAAAACAAGCACAGAGUACAAAAAGCGUAAUCACGGGAUAACACAAGAUGAAGACAAAUAGACUGAGGAAAUUGAACUGAGGAAAUUGAGAAAGUCUUCAGUCAAAGUCUUCAAACACAGAUAUGAACAAGCAUACAACACAGUAACGAGGAAAUGGAAGAGUUGAGGAAAUAGAACCAGUAAGCUUGGUGAAGACAAUGAUUUGGUAGACCAGUUCCAACUGUUGUCUCAGUUGUACGUCUGGUUGGAGCGGCUAGGUAUUUAAACCUGAGGACACACAAUCCCGGACACACAGUCCUCACCGUAUUCUCCUUGAGCUAAGGUCACACAGACCUCGCCCAAUCACUCGUGGUAAGUCUUCAGGUGACUUCCAAACCUUCACAAACUCGGUCACUCGGCGAUCCACAAUUUCCUCUUGGAUGCUCUAGACCAUGACGCCUAACUGUCUGGAAGAAGCACGGUCUUCAAAGGUAAGAAGCGUCGGUUCCACGCAGGAUCAAUCUCUUCAGUGAUGCUCAAUCACUUUGGGUUUGUAGGUGUUUGGGUUUGGGUUUUCCUCACUUGAUGAUUUUCGCUCAAAGUCCUCGGAGGAUGGGAUGCUCUCAAUUGACAAGUGUUAGUUUCUCUCGGAGUAGCCAACCAGCUAGUGGUUGUAGGGGGCGGCUAUUUAUAGCCUAGGGAGCAGCCUGACAUGAUAAGACAUAAAUGCCCUUCAAUGAUAUGACCGUUAGGUGGGUAGAUAUUUUGGGACAGCUGGCGCAUAGCAUAGCAACGGUCGGAAAUUUGAGUAUCAAAUUCCUCAGGGCUAUCAUAUUCCUCACUGUGUAGGCAAUCCGCACUGGUGAAUUCCUAACUCCUCAGUCAGAACAAAUUCCUCAGCGACCAGAAGAACUUCUUCUCUGUCACUGAAGAAUAUGACUAAACUGUAUGAGAUUUCCAAUGGCUUCACUCGAAGGGAUUGGUAGGUGUAGGAUUUUGUACAAAGGCGGCAUGCUUGUUUUGUUGAUAUCAACUCUACUGAAGGAUAUCUUUGAUUGCUUCUCAAAACUAUAGUGCUAGUUACUAGUAGCAUUAUAAUUGUAGAUGUUUAGAUUCUAAAAUGGCCUGAAGUUGAGGAACAAGUGGAUUUUUAUCUUAUCUGGAAGAUUAACUCCCACUUGAUUCAAGUGAUCGUAGUACUCAGACAUUCUAAGCACAUGCUCAUUAGCUGAGCAAUUCUACUCCAUCUUGUAGGCAAAGUACUGUCAGAGGUCUCAUACCACUCGACACGGGCAUGAGUAUGAAAUACCAAUUUCAACUCUUAGAACAUCUUAUAUGCUCCGUGGCGUUCAAAACAUUUUUGAAGUCCCGGUUCUAAGCCGUAAAGCAUGGUGCACUAAACUAUCAAGUAGUCAUCAUACCGAGCUUUUGUCAAAACGUUCAUAACGUCUGCAUCUGCUCCUGCAAUAGUUCUGUCACCUAGCGGCGCAUCAAGGACAUAAUACUUCUGUGCAGCAAUGAGGUUAAUCCUCAGAUCACGGACCAAGUCCGCAUCAUUGCUACUAACAUCUUUCAACUUAGUUUUCUCUAGGAACAUAUCAAAAUAAAACAGGGGAGCUAAACGCGAGCUAUUGAUCUACAACAUAAUUUGCAAAAUACUAUCAGGACUAAGUUCAUGAUAAAUUUAAGUUCAAUUAAUCAUAUUACUUAAGAACUCCCACUUAGAUAGACAUCCCUCUAAUCCUCUAAGUGAUCAUGUGAUCCAUAUCAACUAAACCAUGUCCGAUCAUCACGUGAGAUGGAGUAGUUUCAAUGGUGAACAUCACUAUGUUGAUCAUAUCUACUAUAUGAUUCACGCUCGACCUUUCGGUCUCCGUGUUCCGAGGCCAUAUCUGCAUAUGCUAGGCUCGUCAAGUUUAACCUGAGUAUUCCGCGUGUGCAACUGUUUUGCACCCGUUGUAUUUGAACGUAGAGCCUAUCACACCCGAUCAUCACGUGGUGUCUCAGCACGAAGAACUUUCGCAACGGUGCAUACUCAGGGAGAACACUUUUAUCUUGAAAUUUUAGUGAGAGAUCAUCUUAUAAUGCUACCGUCAAUCAAAGCACGAUAAGAUGCAUAAAAGAUAACCAUCACAUGCAAUCAAUAUAAGUGAUAUGAUAUGGCCAUCAUCAUCUUGUGCUUGUGAUCUCCAUCUCCGAAGCACCGUCAUGAUCACCAUCGUCACCGGCGCGACACCUUGAUCUCCAUCGUAGCAUCGUUGUCGUCUCACCAACUAUUGCUUUUACGACUAUCGCUACCGCUUAGUGAUAAAGUAAAACAAUUACAUGGCGAUUGCAUUUCAUACAAUAAAGCGACAACCAUAUGGCUCCUGCCAGUUGCCGAUAACUCGGUUACAAAACAUGAUCAUCUCAUACAAUAAAAUUUAGCAUCAUGUCUUGACCAUAUCACAUCACAGCAUGCCCUGCAAAACAAGUUAGACGUCCUCUACUUUGUUGUUGCAAGUUUUACGUGGCUGCUACGGGCUGAGCAAGAACCGUUCUUACCUACGCAUCAAAACCACAAUGAUAGUUCGUCAAGUUAGUGCUGUUUUAACCUUCUCAAGGACCGGGCGUAGCCACACUCGGUUCAACUAAAGUUGGAGAAACUGACACCCGCCAGCCACCUGUGUGCAAAGCACGUCGGUAGAACCAGUCUCGCGUAAGCGUACGCGUAAUGUCGGUCCGGGCCGCUUCAUCCAACAAUACCGCCGAACCAAAGUAUGACAUGCUGGUAAGCAGUAUGACUUAUAUAGCCCACAACUCACUUGUGUUCUACUCAUGCAUAUAACAUCUACGCAUAAAACCAGGCUCGGAUGCCACUGUUGGGGAACGUAGUAAUUUCAAAAAAAUUCCUACGCACACGCAGGAUCAUGGUGAUGCAUAGCAAUGAGAUUGGAGAGUGUUGUCUAUGUACCCUCGUAGACCGUAAGCGGAAGCGUUUAUCAACGCGGUUGAUGUAGUCGUACGUCUUCACGAUCCGACCGAUCCAAGUACCGAACGCACGGCACCUCCGAUUUCUGCACACGUUCAGCUCGAUGACGUCCUCGCCUACUUGAUCCAGCAAGACGGGCGAAGUAGUAGAUGAGUUUCGGUAGCACGACGGCGUGGUGAUGGUGUUGGUGAAGAACAAUCUCCGCAGGGCUUCGCCAAGCACUACAGAAACUGUGACGGAGAACAAACUAGAGGGGACAGGGUUGCCGGCACACAGCUUGGUGUUUCUUGAUCUCUCUUUGGUGCUAGCCUUAUCCCUCUAUUUAUAUGUUGAGCCCUAGGGUCGAAACAUGGAGCAAAAGCCUCCACAAAGUCGGUUUUGCCCGAAAGGCAAGAGUCCCACUCGGACUCCAAGACCAAACGCCACAAUCCUUGGCGUCUGGCCCAGACGCCAUGGGCCUCGGCGUCUAGCCCAGGGCCAGACGCCAGGGUCACCGGCGUUUGGCCCCCUGGCCUCCGCACAACUCCUUUUGCACCGACUUAUAGCCCCGUGGGCCUGACCCCUUGGCCUAACCAUAUCAUCCAAUAUAUGAAUCUUUACCUCCGGACCAUUCUGGAGCUCCUUGUCAUGUCCGUGAUCUCAUCCGGGACUCCGAACAACAUUCGGUCACAAACAUACAUAACUCAUAGUACUAUAUCGUCAACGAACGUUAAGCGUGCGGACCCUACGGGUUCGAGAACUAUGUAGACAUGACCGAGACACUUCUCUGGUCAAUAACCAAUAGCGGAACCUGGAUGCCCAUAUUGGCUCCUACAUAUUCUACGAAGAUCUUUAUCGGUCAGACCGCAUAACAACAUACGUUGUUCCCUUUGUCAUCGGUAUGUUACUUGCCCGAGAUUCGAUCAUCGGUAUCUCAAUACCUAGUUCAAUCUCGUUACCGGCAAGUCUCUUUACUCGUUCCGUAAUACAUCAUCCCGCAACUAACUCAUUAGGUACAAUGCUUGCGAGGCUUAUAGUGAUGUGCAUUACCGAGUGGCCAGAGAUACCUCUCCGACAAUCGGAGUGACAAAUCCUAAUCUCGAAAUACGCCAACCCAACAAGUACCUUCGGAGACACCUGUAGAGCACCUUUAUAAUCACCCAGUUACGUUGUGACGUUUGGUAGCACACAAAGUGUUCCUCCGGUAAAUGGGAGUUGCAUAAUCUCGUAGUCAUAGGAACAUGUAUAAGUCAUGAAGAAAGCAAUAGCAGAAUACUAAACGAUCGUGUGCUAAGCUAACGGAAUGGGUCAAGUCAACCACAUCAUUCUCCUAAUGAUGUGAUCCCGUUAAUCAAAUGACAACUCAUGUCAAUGGCUAGGAAACAUAACCAUCUUUGAUCAACGAGCUAGUUAAGUAGAGGCAUACUAGUGACACUCUGUUUGUCUAUGUAUUCACACAAGUAUUAUGUUUCCGGUUAAUACAAUUCUAGAAUGAAUAAUAAACAUUUAUCAUGAUAUAAGGAAAUAAAUAAUAACUUUAUUAUUGCCUCUAGGGCAUAUUUCCUUCAGAUACACCUAAAGGAUCUGGCGAUGACAAAGAAGGGCCAGAUGCGAAUAAACCCUCCGAGACACAGUCCAAGCACCGGCGCCCUAAACGCCGCUCUAAACCUCAUCGCUCAGAAGAUGGCAACACUGGCACCGGAGAAAACAGUACUCCGGGCGACACCGAAAACAAUGAAGACCCUGUUGGAGCCGCAUCCGAACAGGAGGAGCAAGACAAUGAGCAAGUUAACCCUGAUAAACAGGCCACGCCCAAUGACCCGGAUGAUGAUAGUUAUCGUCCACCCUCCGAGGAUGAUGAGAGCCUUGGCAAUGAGGACUUCAUCGUGCCUGAGGCACCCCUCGAGCAGGAGCGCUCUACGCGCCAGCUCAUAGCUAUUGCAAGAAGCCUAAAGAAAAAGCAGCAGCAGCUCCAAGCAGAUCAAGACCUACUCAUCGAUAGAUGGACCGAUGUCCUGGCUGCCGAAGAAUACGGCCUCAAGCGCCCAGCCAAGAGUUACCCAAAACGCAGACUGCUACCUCAGUUUGAUGAGGAGGCACCAGAUCCCACACCUCCCUCGCGCAAUGCGGACCGACCACCACGCGGUCGGGAUAGUGCGGCAGACCGACCACCCCGCGGUCGGGAUAAAACGGCAACUCAGGCCGAACAAUAGCCCGCCCCACCGCCUCGCAAACACAGGGACAGACCAGCUCGGGACCAUACAUAUGACCUUCGGCAGGAAUUUGACAGUAGAGCAGGACACACAAGAUCAAUCUACAGAUCGCGUGGACGCUUCCCUACUCAGGAUGACAGCUACCUAUUCGGACAUGACAAACAUAAUCACACCUAGGCCGAUAACCGCAGACGGACUUCAUCGGAGGUACGCCGUGACGCGGCCCGCUAUAGAGGCGCCGCACACCCUCUCUGCUUCACAGAUGAGGUGCUGGAUCACGAAUUUCCCGAGGGGUUCAAGCCCGUCAAUAUUGAAUCAUACGACAGAACAACCGAUCCCGCAGUGUGGAUCGAAGAUUUUAUUCUCCACAUCCACAUGGCCCGAGGAGAUGACCUCCACGCUAUCAAAUACCUCCCAUUAAAUCUCAAAGGACCAGCUCGACACUGGCUAAAUAGUCUGCCUGAGAACUCCAUCAGCAGCUGGGAGGACUUGGAAGAAGCUUUCCUUGACAACUUCCAAGGUACAUAUGUCCGGCCACCGGAUGCCGAUGACUUAAGCCACAUAGUUCAACAAUCUGGAGAAUCAGCUAGAAAAUUCUGGACUAGGUUCCUAACCAAAAAGAACCAGUUCGUUGACUGUCCGGAUGCCGAAGCCCUAGCGGCCUUUAAACACAGCAUCUGUGACGAAUGGCUAGCACGCCACCUCGGCCAAGAAAAGCCGAGGUCCAUGGCAGCCCUCACGACACUUAUGACCCGCUUUUGCGCGGGAGAGGAUAGUUGGCUGGCUUGCAGUACAAACAUAGCCAACGAAGCAGGCCCCUCCGAGGCCAGAAACAGCACCGGCAAGCUCCGGCACAACAGACACAAACGCCGAACUAAUGGCGAUAACACCGAUGACACUACAGUUCACGCCGGAUUCAGUAGCUCCAAGUCCGGCCAGCGAAAGAAGCCCUAUAAAAGGAACGGCGGAGGACCAUCCAGCUUGGACCGCAUACUCGAUCGUCCGUGCCAGAUACAUGGCACCCCAGACAAACCGGCCAACCAUACUAACAGAGAUUGCCGGGUCUUUAAGCAAGCCAGCAGGGUAAAUAGCAGAAUCAAGGAAGGUGAAUUGCAGAGCGAGGACGAUGACGAGGAGCCCCGGCAGCCGAACACUGGGGGGCAGAAGAAAUUCCCACCUCAAGUCAAAACGGUGAACAUGAUGUAUGCGACACACAUCCCCAAAAGGGAGCGUAAGUGCGCACUGAGGGAUGUCUAUGCGGUAGAGCCAGUCACCCCAAAAUUCAACCCAUGGUCGUCAUUCCCGAUCACCUUUGAUCAUUGAGAUCAUCCAACUAGUAUCCGACAUGGCAGUUCGGCCACAUUGGUACUCGACCCAAUUAUCAACGGAUUUCAUAUGACACGAGUCCUAAUGGACGGUGGCAGCAGCCUCAACCUGCUCUAUCAGGAUACAGUACGCAAAAUGGGUAUUAAUCCCUCACGAAUCAAGCCCACGAUAACUACCUUUAAAGGAGUCGUACCAGGCGUAGAGGCCCGUUGUACGGGCUCAAUCACGCUAGAGGUGGUCUUCGGUUCCCCGGAUAACUUCCGAAGCGAAGAGCUAAUCUUUGAUAUCGUCCCCUUCCGCAACGGCUACCACACACUGCUCGGACGAACCGCGUUUGCUAGAUUCAACGCGGUGCCACAUUAUGCUUAUCUCAAGCUCAAGAUGCCCGGUCCACGCGGCGUCAUUACAGUAAAUGGAAACACGGAACGUUCCCUCCGUACUGAGGAGCACACCGCAGCCCUAGCAACAGAAGUACAGAGCGGCCUUCUAAAGCGGCACCAUAAUCCGGCCGCCGAGCCCCCGGACAUCGUUAAGAAGGUCCGGACUACACUGCAACAGGGCAGCUCGGUUCGUCAAGAGCUGAAUUAAUAAUUCGGCCUCCGUCCCAACCCCGAUGAGGAAAUGGCAUUCGUACCGCGCGUACAUAAUUAUGCACUCAAAACCCCACGGGUACUGACGGAGGCAUAACUCGCUCGCGAUCCACAGUGCGGCUUGACCGACCCUGGGAUUAGCACACCUUUACUUUUUCUCUUUAUUACGGGGUUUUUCUCUUUUCGAGGUCUAUGCCGACGACCCGCUUGUAGAACACACCAAGGAGGCGAGGAGCUCUGGCGUACAAGGGAAUCCCCAGGUGGUCUCUAUUAAACGAUUGUCAUACCUGUUUUACAUACCCGCACGCAGCUCACCCUUGGUUGUGGCAUUUUAAAUAGCUUUACUUGCUUAUCGCAUUACUUGCACAAAGUACGCCUCGACGUACUAAUUACAUCACAACAGUGAAUACAUGGUGGGGUCAGCUUAUUACUUAAUUUUCCUGUUUCCUCACCUUUGUAUAUAUUGCUUAUCGCACGCGUACACCAUUAUACGUAUCAUUACGCCAAGGGCUUCAUCACACCUCACAUUACGGCAAUAAAAGUCCGAACACUUUUACAGUAUAGUUCGGCACCCCGAACUUAUAGCAUUAUAUGCAUCGGUUCUGAAUCAUGUCUUGGGUCAAUAGUUGGGUUGCCCGACUCCUGUGCUUGCUACCUUACGUUCCGCUAUAUCGGCUAGGGUAGUAAAGGGAGAACUACUGCGAUUGUGUCCCGGUUCUUCCGGACGAGCACCUCAGUAGAGAAAGCCGAAAACUGACUGUCAUGAUGCGGCGAGAGCUGGUCAGCUGUUCGAGAGGUUCCAAAUCGUUAGAGAUUUUUUCCGCUUCUCGCGAAGAAUUGGUUCCCCCGAUUAGGCGUGUACAACGCCCCUAGUUCGGCCUUCCGAAUACCAGGGGCUUCGCCAAGUUUCUUAAUUGUCAAACUCCUAUGGCUAAGUGAGGGCGGUAAAGGCCGCAUAGUCUGAUUGCCUUGUUCGUUGCGCUAAACACCUCCUUUAUGGACCAGAAUGUGGAGUAAAGAGUGUUUCAAUUUAUUCUGAACACCCCUGUACUAUCUACGUGGGGGCAGAAGCCGACGACUGGUCAACCCUUAGAUUUCAUAAACGGCCGCACAGGAGGUAAAAUAUAAAUCGCAAGCAUUAUAAUACAUAACAUCAUUGUUCCAUAUUACAGGACAGGAUAAUACAAAUGUUCUCAUGGGAAUAUGACAUCCUUCGAACAUUGCUCCGCCACAAGGCGGGACCCCUCCAGGACACCAUCAAAAUAGAGCUCGGGUCGACGGUGCUCCUUGCCCUCCGGCGGUCCCUCGGUCAUCAGCUUCUUGGCAUCCAGCUUUGCCCAAUGCGUCUUGACGCAGGCAAAUGCCAUACGCGCACCUUCAAUACAGACCGACCGCUUCACGGCUUCGAGCCGCGGACAGGCACUUACAAGCCGCUUAACAAGACCGAAGUAGCUGCUAGGUAUAGGCUCGACAGGCCACAACCAGACUAUCAGGGCCUUCAUGUCUAGCUCUGCCGACCUGUGCAGCUCGACCAACUGCUUUAGUUGGUCGCUGAAGGGCACCGGAUGUUCGGGUCCAAGAUAUUGGGACCAGAAUAGCUUCUCCAUAGACAUCCCUUCUUCGGCUCUAUAAUGCUCGGCAGCAUCUGAUAUACUGCACGGCAGAUCCGUAAACGCCCCUGAAAAACCAAAAUUCGGAUAAGUACAAGGAACGUUUCUUUAAAUACUUGCUUGGCACGGUGAAAGACUUACCCGCCGCAAUCUUCUUGGCCGCCUGAAUUUCCUGGAGGGCGUUCUGCGCUUCGGCUCGUGCAUCCUGUGCACUCUGGCGGACCUUCGCCAGUUCGGACUCUUGCGCCUUACAAUCGCACUCCAAGGACUCAAAUCUCUCGAUCGCGCCCUGGAGCUGUUGCUCGCCUCGCCCACCUGGGCCUCGUGCUUCUCGCGCGCGGCGCGCUCCUUGGCUGCUUUGUCCUCUGCCUCGACUAACGCCUUUUUGAGGGCCGCCACCUCGGUCGUGGCCCCUAAUAAAGUUCAGGACACUUUAGUCAGCUUGAACAAUUUACUCUUCAAUAUACACGCAGGUUACUGCAUACCUUGGCUAUCCUCCAGCUGCUUCUUCACGCGGCCGAGCUCUUCCUCGGCCCACUCCAGUUUCUGCUUCAGUCCAGAGACCUCCGCAAUUUGAGCGGUAGCAGCCAGCAAUGAGGCCUGCUUAUUCACAUAGACACUUUAUGUUAGACUCCUACGAAAAUUAAUUUUGAUCCUCUGUUCGGCUUUUCUUUCCGGACACCGAACAGAGCAUUAGGGGCUACUAUCUACGCUGUGAUAUUCUUCUUACAAUCAUGUACUCACCUCAAAGCCUACUAGAAGGCUAGCACAGGCUUCGAUUAGCCCAUUUUUGACGGACCGGACCUUUUCAACCACCGUACCCAUAUGGGCACGGUGCUCAUCCACGAUGGAGGCGCCUUGCAGCGCCUCCAGUAGAUGAUCCAGUGCCUCUGGUCGGACAGAGGACACUGGUAGCACGCCCCCUCCUUUCGGGAAGGGCCGUUUGUCGGAUUCCGGAGCCGUAUAGGUCUCCGGAAUAGAAUCCGGGUGAGGAUCGGAUAGAACUCGGCCUGCACCAUCCGUCUCCGUAGGGGCUUUUCCCCCCAUGUAUCUGGCGGUCCUGGAGUCAUCCUGGGGCGCCGCCCUGAUGAUCUCCGGAGUCUUCCCCGGUCCAAGGAGGCCCUUCAAGACGCCUCCUCAUCGUCACCCUUGGCCGAGGGGGAGUAAGCGGGCGGCGGCGACAUGCUGGCCCUCUCCUUUGGGUCCAGCGAACCUUCCGAUGAAGAUAGCGGAGAGCUGUCCCGAGCCGGACUGCAAUAACACGAUUCAAACAUUGCAAGGCAGAAAGGACGGACGCUCGGGCGUGCGUAAGGAUUUUUGAUACUUACGAUUUAGCCCGAGGCUUGGCCCGGGAAGGCCGCUCCGGACUGCUAUCGACAUCCCACGCGGAGUUAUCCGUGGGGGAGCCUUUUCUCCUUUUGGGCGACUUCGCCUCCAGGUUCUUGGAGGCCGCCCUCUUCUUCCUCCCCGCUUCAGGUGGUGAGUCAUCUUCUUCUUCCUCCUCUUCGUCAUCGUCUCCGGCGGACGAAGAGUGAGUCUCGUCUUUGGACAUCACGUCCGAAGCUCCUUUCCGGCGAAGGCCACUCCUGGUCCCCUUUGCGCUUUCUUGGCCUUCUUCUCCGGCACGUCAUAAGGCGCCGGAAACAACAUCUUCGUCAUAAGUGGGAAUUCUUGCUCCUCAGGAAGCGGAGCUGGACAGUUAAUCUGCCCCGCUGAUGUCUACAACACGACCUUCUUCUUGUAGACGUUGUUGGGCCUCCAAGUGCAGAGGUUUGUAGGGCAGUAGCAAAUUUCCCUCAAGUGGAUGACCUAAGGUUUAUCAAUCCAUGGGAGGUGUAGGAUGAAGAUGGUCUCUCUCAAACAACCUUGCAAUCAAAUAACAAAGAGUCUCUUGUGUCCCCAACACACCCAAUACAAUGGUAAAUUGUAUAGGUGCACUAGUUCGGCGAAGAGAGGGUGAUACAAGUGCAAUAUGGAUAGUAGAUAUAGGUUUUUGUAAUUUGAAAUUAUAAAAAUAGCGAGGUAACUAAUGAUAAAAGUGAGAGUAAACGGUAUUGCAAUGCUAGGAAACAAGGCCUAGGGUGCAUACUUUCACUAGUGCAAGUUCUCUCAACAAUAAUAACAUAAUUGGAUCAUAUAACUAUCCCUCAACAUGCAAUAAAGAGUCACCCCAAAGUCACUAAUAGAGGAGAACAAACGAAGAGAUUAUUGUAGGGUACGAAACCACCUCAAAGUUAUUCUUUCGGAUCGAUCUAUCAUAGAGUUCGUACUAGAAUAACACAUUAAGACACAAAUCAACCAAAACCCUAAUGUCACCUAGAUACUCCAAUGUCACCUCAAGUAUCCUUGGGUAUGAUUAUACGAGAUGCAUCACACGAUCUCAGAUUCAUCUAUUCAAACCAACACAAAGAACUUCAAAGAGUGCCCCAAAGUUUCUACCGGAGAGUCAAGACGAAAACGUGUGCCAACCCCUAUGCAUAGGUUCAUGGGCGGAACCCGCAAGUUGAUCACCAAAACAUACAUCAAGUGGAUCAAUAGAAUACCCCAUUGUCACCACGGGUAUCCCACGCAAGACAUACAUCAAGUGUUCUCAAAUCCUUGAAGACUCAAUCCGAUAAGAUAACCUCAAAGGGAAAACUCAAUCCAUUACAAGAGAGUAGAGGGGGAGAAAUAUCAUAAGAUCCAACUAUAAUAGCAAAGCUCGUGAUACAUCAAGAUCGUAUCACCUCAAGAACACGAGAGAGAGAGAGAGCGAGAGAGAGAGAGAUCAAACACAUAGCUACUGGUACAUACCCUCAGCCCCGAGGGUGAACUACUCCCUCCUCGUCAUGGAGAGCGCCGGGCUGAUGAAGAUUGGCACCGGUGAGGGUUCCACCCACUCCGGCAGGGUGCCGGAACAAGGUCCCGAUUGGUUUUUGGUGGCUACAGAGGCUUGCGGCGGUGGAACUCCCGAUCUAUUCUGUUCCCCGAUGGUUUUAGGGUAUAUUGGUAUAUAUAGGAGGAAGAAAUACGUUAGGGGAGCCACGAGGGGCCCACGAGGGUGGAGGGCGCGCCCCCCUACCUCGUGCCUUCCUCGUUGCUUCCCUUACGUACACCCCAAGUUUUCUGGAUUGCUUCCGUUCCAAAAAUAACUCUCCCAAAGGUUUCAUUCCGUUUGGACUCCGUUUGAUAUUCCUUUUCCGCGGAACACUGAAACAAGGGAAAAACAGAAACUGGCACUGGGCUCUGGGUUAAUAGGUUAGUCCCAAAAAUAAUAAUAAUAAUAUAAAAGUGUUUAAUAAAGCCCAUAAACAUCCAAAACAGACAAUAUAAUAGCAUGGAACAAUCAAAAAUUAUAGAUACGUUGGAGACGUAUCAGCAUCCCCAAGCUUAAUUCCUGCUCGUCCUCGAGUAGGUGAAUGAUAAAAACAGAAUUUUUGAUGUGGAAUGCUACCUAACAUAUUUAUCAAUGUAAUCUUGUUUAUUGUGGCAAGAAUAUUCAGAUCCAUAAGAUUCAAGACAAAAGUUUAAUAUUGACAUAAAAAUAGUAAUACUUCAAGCAUACUAACAAAGCAAUUAUGUCUUCUCAAAAUAACAUGGCCAAAGAAAGUUCAUCCCUACAAAAUCACAUAGUUUGGUCAUGCUCCAUUUUCGUCACACAAGAAUGUUCUCAUCAUGCACAACCCCGAUGACAAGCCAAGCAAUUGUUUCAUACUUUAGUAAUCUCAAACUUUUCCAACCUUCACGCAAUACAUGAGCGUGAGCCAUGGAUAUAGCACUAUGGAUGGAAUAGAAUAUAAUGAUGGGGGUUAUGUGGAGAAGACAAAAAGGGAGAAAGUCUCACAUCAACGUGGCUAAUCAAUGAGCUAUGGAGAUGCCCAUCGAUUGAUGUUAAUGCAAGGAGUAGGGAUUGCCAUGCAACGGAUGCACUAGAGCUAUAAAUGUAUGAAAGCUCAACAAAAGAAACUAAGUGGGUGUGCAUCCAACUUGCUUGCUCACGAAGACCUAGGGCAUUUGAGGAAGCCCAUUGUUGGAAUAUACAAGCCAAGUUCUAUAAUGAAAAGUUCCCACUAGUAUAUGAAAGUGACAAAACAAGACACUCUCUAUCAUGAAGAUUAUGGUGCUACUUUGAAGCACAAGUGUGGUAAAAAGGAUAGUAACAUUGUCCCUUCUCUCUUUUUCUCUCAUUUUUUGGGCCUUUUUUAUGGCCUUUCUCUUUUUUUAUUUCUUUUUUAUUUUUUAUUUUUUCCUCACUUGGGACAAUGCUCUAGAAAAUGAUGAUCAUCAGACUUCUAUUUAUUUACAACUCAAUGAUUACAACUCGAUACUAGAACAAAGUAUGACUCUAUAUGAAUGCCUCUGGCGGUGUACCGGGAUAUGCAAUGAAUCAAGAGUGACAUGUAUGAAAGAAUUAUGAAUGGUGGCUUUGCCACAAAUACUAUGUCAACUACAUGAUCAUGCAAAGCAAUAUGACAAUGAUGAACGUGUCAUGAUAAACGGAAUGGUGGAAAGUUGCAUGGCAAUAUAUCUCGGAAUGGCUAUGGAAAUGCCAUAAUAGGUAGGUAUGGUGGCUGUUUUGAGGAAGAUAUAAGGAGGUUUAUGUGUGAUAGAGCGUAUCGUAUCACGGGGUUUGGAUGCACCGGCGAAGUUUGCACCAACUCUCAAGGUGAGAAAGGGCAAUGCACGGUACCGAAGAGGCUAGCAAUGAUGGAAGGGUGAGAGUGCGUAUAAUCCAUGGACUGAACAUUAGUCAUAAAGAACUCACAUACUUAUUGCAAAAAUCUACAUGUCAUCAAAAACCAAGCAUUACGCGCAUGAUCCUAGGGGGAUAGAUUGGUAGGAAAAGACCAUCGCUCGUCCCCGACCGCCACUCAUAAGGAUGACAAUCAAAGAACACCUCAUGUUUCAAAUUUGUCACACAACAUUUACCAUACGUGCAUGCUACGGGACUUGCAAACUUCAACACAAGUAUUUCUCAAAUUCACAACUACUCAACUAGCACAACUUUAAUAUCACUAUCUCCAUAUCUCAAAACAAUCAUCAAGUAUCAAACUUCUCUUAGUAUUCAAUGCACUUUAUAUGAAAGUUUUUAUUAUACCCAUCUUGGAUGCCCAUCAUAUUAGGACUAGUUUCAUAACCCAAGCAAAUUACCAUGCUGUUUAGGACUCUCAAAAUGAUAUAAGUGAAGCAUGAGAGUUCAUCUAUUUCUUCAAAAUAAAACUACCACCAUGCAACAAACUACUCCGAAAGAUAUAAGUGAAGAUCAAUGAGUAGUCGAAUAAUUAUGCAACUAUGUGAAGACUCUCCCAUUUUAAGAAUUUCAGUUCUUGAUACUUUAUUCAAACAGAAAGCAAAACAAAAUAAAAUGACAUGACGCUCCAAGCAAAACACAUAUCAUGUGGUGAAUAAAAAUAUAGCUCCAAGUAAAGUUACCGAUGAACGAAGACGAAAGAGGGGAUGCCAUCCGGGGCAUCCCCAAGCUUAGGCUCUUGGUUGUCCUUGAAUAUUACCUUGGGGUGCCUUGGGCAUCCUCAAGCUUAGGCUCUUGCCACUCCUUAUUCCAUAGUCCAUCGAAUCUCUACCCAAAACUUGAAAACUUCACAACACAAAACUUAACAGAAAACUCGUAAGCUUCGUUAGUAUAACAAAAUAAAUCACCACUUUUGGUACUGUUGUGAACUCAUUAUAAAUUCAUAUUGGUGUAAUAUCUACUGUAUUCCAACUUCUCUAUGGUUCAUACCCUCCGAUACUACUCAUAGAUUCAUCAAAAUAAGCAAACAACACAUAGAAAACAGAAUCUGUCAAAAGCAGAACAGUCUGUAGUAAUCUGUAUCAAACGUAUACUUCUGGAACUAAAAAACUUCUACCAAAAUAGGAAGACCUAGAUAAUUUGUUUAUUGAUCUGAUUCAAUUGGAAUCAGUAUUUUAUCACGUUCUGGUCAUUUUUAACAAUUGUUUUCGUGAACCGAAAGUUUCUGGAAUUUUCAGCAAGAUCAAAUAACUAUCAUCCAAGAAGAUCCUAUAGGUCUUACUUUUAACAAACACUAAUUAAAACAUAAAAACACAUCUAAACAGAGGCUAGAUGAUUUAUUUAUUUCUAAACAGAACCAAAAAGCAAGAAACUAAAAUAAAAUUGGGUUGCCUCCCAACAAGCGCUAUCAUUUAACGCCCCUAGCUAGGCAUGAUGAUUUCAAUGAUGCUCACAUAAAAGAUAAGAAUUGAAACAUAAAGAGAGCAUCAUGAAGAUAUGACUAACACAUUUAAGUCUAACCACUUCCUAUGCAUAGGGAUUUUGUGAGCAAACAACUUACGGGAACAAGAAUCAACUAGCAUAGGAAGGCAAAACAAGCAUAACUUCAAAAAUUUAAGCACAUAGAGAGGAAACUUGAUAUUAUUGCAAUUCCUACAAGCAUAUAUUCCUCCCUCAUAAUAAUUUUCAGUAGCAUCAUGAAUGAAUUCAACAAUAUAACCAGCACCUAAAGCAUUCUUUUCAUGAUCUACAAGCAUAGAAAAUUUACUACUCUCCACAUAAGCAAAAUUCUUCUCAUUCGGGAUAGUGCGAGUAUCAUAAGAGACUUGAAUACUAUAAAUUGUUUCCACAUUUAAAGAGUAAUGUUCAGAAAAAGGGGAAUCAUAAUCAUGACAAGUUUUAUAAAUAUAAUCAUCACUACUUUUUGUAGCAUAAGUUUCAUCACAAUAAUAAUCAUAAGUAGCAACUUUGUUCUCAUCAUAAUAAAUUUGCUCAUCAAAACUUGGGGGACUAAAAAUAUCAUAUUCAUCAAACAUAGCUUCCCCAAGCUUGGACAAACAUUAAUUGCAGCAAAUAUAUUCUCAAAAACAUCAUCUUCUUCAAACAUAGCAUCCCCAAGCUUGGGCCUUUUUAUAUCAUAAGCAUAAUCACUCUCAUCAUUAAUAGUAUGGAUAGCACCAAUAGUAUAGCAAUUAUCAUAUUCUUCCAAGCAAGUGCCAAAAAGAUUUUCAAGAUCAUAAGAAGUAUCAUUAUCUUCCCAAUCAUAAUCAUCACAACAAGCAAUAGGCAUAACGAGAUCAUCAUCAAGUGCAUCAUCUUCCACAAUUAUUUUUGAUUCAUUUUCAUGAGGCACAACAAUAAUAGGAGCAACAUUAUUUGGGAGAGAUAUCUUUUUACCUCUCUUCCUUUUUCUUUUCUUCUCCUUCACCACAUCAUGUGUGGGUUCAAUCCUCUUUUUGGAGUUCCUUAUUAAUGAGAUUGGUUGAAUAGAAGGCUCCUCCUCGUUACCUGAUUCAUCAUAAGAAAUAAUAGGAGGAUAUUGGGAAGUCUCUUCCCUUUCAUUAGUAUUCUCUUCAUCUUCUAUUUGUUUUCUUGUCUUUAUGUAAUUGUCAAUUUAAGGAUUUUCAACGCAAUUCACCGCACAGUACAUAAAAAUUUCUUCUAGAUCAAAAUCAAGAAGUUUAUACCGGGCAAAUUCUGGAAGAUGCUUAGUUAUACGUUUCAUUUCUUCGUGACCCAUAAGCAAACUAAGUUCAUUAUAAUGUGCAAGGGAAAUCAAGUAAUCACAAUUUUUGGACACGAUUAGAUCAUGAAACAAUUUGCAUCGGAUAGUUAAAUGACCCCUUUCAUUGCAAAGUUCACAAGUACGGCUAAGAAAAUUUAAAUUUUCAGCACAAACAUCUAGCCUUUCUUGCAACAAUUUAGUUCUAAAUGCUUAUGCCUCUUGCAAUAUCUAUCUUCCUUAUUUGGUGUGUACUUGCAAACCCAAUGCACUCCACAAAAAUUGACAUGUUUAUAGGAGACAUUUUCAUCAUAACUAGUGCAAUCAUCAUCAGUACUAAGGAUAUUCAAGGAGUUCAUCCUAACAACAUUGCAAUCAUGCUCAUCAUUCAAAGAUUUAGUGCCAAACAUUUUAAUGCAUUCUUCUUCUAACACUUUGGCACAAUUUUCCCUUCCAUCAUACUCACGAAAGAUAUUAAAAAGAUGAAGCAUAUGGGGCAAACUCAAUUCCAUUUUUUUUGUAGUUUUCAAGCACUCACCUCCCCGGCAACGGCGCCAGAAAAGAGCUUGAUGUCUACUACACAACCUUCUUCUUGUAGACGUUGUUGGGCCUCCAAGUGCGGAGGUUUGUAGGACAGUAGCAAAUUUCCCUCAAGUGGAUGACCUAAGGUUUAUCAAUCCGUGGGAGGUGUAGGAUGAAGAUGGUCUCUCUCAAACAACCCUGCAACCAAAUAACAAAGAGUCUCUUGUGUCCCCAACACACCCAGUACAAUGGUAAAUUGUACAGGUGCACUAGUUCGGCGAAGAGACGGUGAUACAAGUGCAAUAUGGAUAGUAGAUAUAGGUUUUUGGAAUCUGAAAUAAUAAAAACAGCAAGAUAACUAAUGAUAAAAAUGAGCGUAAACGCUAUUGCAAUGCUAGGAAACAAGGCCUAGGGUUCAUACUUUCACUAGUGCAAGUUCUCUCAACAAUAAUAACAUAAUUGGAUCAUAUAACUAUCCCUCAACAUGCAACAAAGAGUCACUCCAAAGUCACUAAUAGAGGAGAACAAACGAAGAGAUUAUUGUAGGGUACGAAACCACCUCAAAGUUAUUCUUUCUGAUCGAUCUAUUCAAGAGUUCGUACUAGAAUAACACCUUAAGACACAUAUCAACCAAAACCCUAAUGUCACCUAGAUACUCCAAUGUCACCUCAAGUAUCAGUGGGUAUGAUUAUACGAUAUGCAUCACACAAUCUCAUAUUCAUCUAUUCAAACCAACACAAAGAACUUCAAAGAAUGCCCCAAAGUUUCUACCGGAGAGUCAAGACGAAAACGUGUGCCAACCCCUAUGCAUAGGUUCAUGGGCGGAACCCGCAAGUUGAUCACCAAAACAUACAUCAAGUGGAUCAGUAGAAUACCCCAUUGUCACCACGGGUAUCCCACGCAAGACAUACAUCAAGUGUUCUCAAAUCCUUAAAGACUCAAUCCGAUAAGAUAACUUCAAAGGGAAAACUCAAUCCAUUACAAGAGAGUAGAGGGGGAGAAACAUCAUAAGAUCCAACUAUAAUAGCAAAGAUCGCGAUACAUCAAGAUCGUAUCACCUCAAGAACAUGAGAGAGAGAGAGAUCAAACACAUAGCUACUGGUACAUACCCUCAGCCCCGAGGGUGAACUACUCCCUCCUCGUCAUGGAGAGCGCUGGGAUGAUGAAGAUUGCCACCGGUGAGGGUUCCCCCCUCCGGCAGGGUGCUGGAACAGGGUCCCGAUUGGUUUUUGGUGGCUACAGAGGCUUGCGGCGGCGGAACUCCCGAUCUAUUCUGUUCCCCGAUGGUUUUAGGGUAUAUUGGUAUAUAUAGGAGGAACAAAUACGUCAGGGGAGCCACGAGGGGCCCACGAUGGUGGAGGGCGCGCCCCUGCCUCGUGCCUUCCUCGUUGCUUCCCUUACGUACACCCCAAGUCUUCUGGAUUGCUUCCGUUCCAAAAAUAACUCUCCCGAAAGUUUCAUUCCGUUUGGACUCCGUUUGAUAUUCCUUUUCUGUGAAACACUGAAACAAGGGGAAAACAGAAACUGGCACUGGGCUCUGGGUUAAUAGGUUAGUCCCAAUAUAAUAAUAAUAAUAAUAUAAAAGUGUUUAAUAAAGCCCACAAACAUCCAAAACAGAUAAUAUAAUAGCAUGGAACAAUCAAAAAUUAUAGAUACGUUGGAGACGUAUCACCCGCCACCUCGAUCCAGGCCUGGCAAAGUGGGUAGGAGAGCUUAGAAUCCAUCCUCAAAAUAUGCCGGUGAAGGGUAUACCUUGAAAACAUUAAAAGACUUACCGGAUUGGCCUAGCGCUUUAAGCUAAGCCCGCGAUCUUUCGUCGUGGGCGGUGGCGUCUCGCCAGCCUUGAAGAGCGCUUUCCAGAUACCUUCGUGUGUCGCGCCAAAGAGCUCUAGUAGCAUCUGGUGCUUGGCUGGGUCAUACUCCCACAAAUAGCAAGUCCGACGUUGGCACGGAAGGAUCCGGCGAAUGAGCAUAACCUGGAUCACAGUGACAAGCUUGAUCUUCUUGGUUAUCAUGUUCUGGACGCAUGUCUGGAGCCCAGUUAUCUCAUUCGAAGAUCCCCAAGUCAGGCCCUUCUCUUGCCAGGAAGUGAGCCGCAUCGGAACUCCGGAUCGGAAUUCGGGGCCGCUACCAAAUUGGUGUCACGCGGCUCGGUGAUGUAAAACCACCCCGGUUGCCAUCCCUUCACCGUCUCCACAAAGGAGCCUUCGGGCCAAGUGACAUUGCGCAUCUUGCCCACCAUGGCGCCUCCGCACUCUGCUUGUUGACCGCUCACCACCUUCGGUUUCACAUUGAAGGUCUUCAGCCAUAGGCCGAAGUGAGGUGGGAUGCGGAGAAAGGCCUCGCACACGACGAUAAAUGCCGAGAUAUUGAGGAUAAAAUUGGGGGACAGAUCGUGGAGGUCAAACCCAUAGUAAAAUAUCAAUCCGCGGACAAAUGGAUGAAGAGGGAAUCCCAGCCCGCGGACAAAGUGUGUGAGAAACACAACCCUCUCAUGGGGCUCGGGGGUAGGGACGAUUUGCCCUUUUGCCGAGAGUCGGUGAGCAAUCUCCUUGGCUAAAUAUCCGGCCUCCCGGAGCUCCGUGAUGUGCUUCUUCUUGACGGAGGAGGCCAUCCACUUGCCUCCAGCUCCAGAUCCAGACAUGUUUGGAGUGCCUUCUCGAACGAGGAAAAGCUAAAGCUUGGGCGCUGGAGCUCACAGACGGAAGGACUGAAGGAGAGAAAGGGUGUGGGUGAAGGAAGAGAAUCCUUAUCCCCUUAUAAAGGCCGCGAAUAUCAAGCGCCUCCCCACUCGCCCUAAAAACUCUCCUAUUCCCAAGGGCUGUAUAAAUGGCACGGUUGGGUUACCCAUGCCCGCAUUGAUGAGAAUCCCGCGAUAAGGGGACACGAUCUCUGCUUUGACAAGACGUGCCGAUGGCAACCGCGUCUCAAAACAUGGACCGAGACGAAAAACGGUUCGAAAUUAUGACCGGACAGACGUGACGUCGUGUUGUAAAAAGCUAUCAGGAAGUAGCCAUUACGAUCUUGUGGUAGAUCAACUCUUGUAAUACUCAUAUUCAUCAAGAUCAAUCAAGCAGGAAGUAGGGUAUUACCUCCAUAGAGAGGGCCCGAACCUGGGUAAACAUCGUGUCCCCCGUCUCCUGUUACCAUCGAUUCUAGACGCACAGUUCGGGACCCCCUACCCGAGAUCCGCCGGUUUUGACACCGACAGUUACUAUGAACACUAGUAAAGUACACAUCAAUAACAUGUAUAUCACAUAUACCUUUGUUCACUUUGCCAUCCUUCUUAUCCACCAAGUUUUUGGGGUAGUUCUGCUUCCAGUGACCAUUUCCUUUGCAGUAGAAGCACUCAGUUUCAGGCUUGGGUUCAACUUUGGGUUUCUUCACGGGAGUGGCAACUUGCUUGCCAUUCUUCUUGAAGUUCCCUUUCUUUCCCUUUGCCCUUUUUCUUGAAACUAGUGGUCUUGUUAACCAUCAACAUUUGAUGCUUUUUUUGAUUUCUACCUCCGCCGAUUUCAGCAUCACAAAGAGCUCGGGAAUCGUUUUUGUCAUCCCUUGCAUAUUAUAGUUCAUCACGAAGUUCCAGUAACUUGGUGAUAGUGACUAGAGAACUCUGUCAAUCACUAUCUUAUCUGAAAGAUUAACUCCCACUUGAUUCAAGCGAUAGUAGUACUCAGACAUUCUGAGCACAUGCUCACUGGUUGAGCUAUUCUCCAUUUUAUAGGCAAAAUACUUGCCAGAGGACUCGGGCAUGAGUAUGAAAUACCAAUUUCAGCUCUUGGAACAUCUUAUAUGCUCCGUGGCGUUCAAAACAUUUUUGAAGUCCCGGUUUUAAGCCGUAAAGCAUGGUGCACUACACUAUCAAGUAAUCAUCAUACCGAGCUUGCCAAACGUUCAUAACGUCUGCAUCUGCUCCUGCAAUAGGUCCGUCAUCUAGCGGUGCAUCAAGAACAUAAUUCUUCUGUGCAGCAAUGAGGAUAGUCCUCAGAUCACGAACCCAGUCCGCAUCAUUGCUACUAUCAUCUUUCAACUUAUAUUUCUCUAGGAACAUAUCAAAAAAUAAACAGGGAGCUACAUCGCAAGCUAUUGAUCUACAACAUAGAUAUACAAAUACUAUCAGGACUAAGUUCAUGAUAAAUUUAAGUUCAGUUAAUUAUAUUACUUAAGAACUCCCACUUAGAUAAACAUCCCUCUAGUCAUCUAAAUGAUCACGUGAUCCAUAUCAACUAAACCAUGUUCGAUCAUCACGUGAGAUGGAGUAGUUUUCAAUGGUGAAUAUAUCUAUGUUGAUCAUAUCUACUAUAUGAUUCACGUUCUACCUUUCGGUCUGAAUGUUCCGAGGCCAUAUCUGCAUAUGCUAGGCUCGUCAAGUUUAACCUGAGUAUUCUGCGUGUGGAAAACUGGCUUGCACCCGUUGUAUGUGAACGUAGAGCUUAUCACACCCGAUCAUCACAUGGUGUCUCGGCACGACGAACUGUAGCAACGGUGCAUACUCAGGGAGAACACUUGUACCUUGAAAUUUAGUGAGAGAUCAUCUUAUAGUGCUACCGUCGUACUAAGCAAAAUAAGAUGCAUAAAAUAUAAACAUCACAUGCAAUCAAAAUAAGUGAUAUGAUAUGGCCAUCAUCAUAUUGUGCUUUUGAUCUUCAUCUCCAAAGCACCGUCAUGAUCACCAUCGUCACCGGCUUGACACCUUGAUCUCCAUCGUAGCAUCGUUGUCGUCUCGCCAACUAUUGCUUCUACGACUAUCGCUACCGCUUGGUGAUAAAGUAAAGCAAUUACAUGGCGUUUGCAUUUCAUACAAUAAAGCGACAACCAUAAGGCUCCUGCCAGCUGCUGAUAACUUUUACAAAACAUGAUCAUCUCAUACAACAAUUUAUAUAUCAUCACGUCUUGACCAUAUCACAUCACAACAUGCCCUGCAAAAACAAGUUAGACGUCCUUUACUUUGUUGUUGCAAGUUUUACGUGGUUGCUGCGGGCUUCUAGCAAGAACCGUUCUUACCUAUGCAUCAAAACCACAACGAUUUUUUGUCAAGUGUGUUGUUUUAACCUGCAACAAGGAUCGGGCGUAGUCAAACUCGAUUCAACUAAAACUUGAGAAACAGACACCCACUAGCCACCUGUGUGUGAAGCACGUCAGUAGAACCAGUCUCAUGAACGCGGUCAUGUAAUGUCGGUCUGGGCCACUACAUCCAACAAUACCGCCGAAUCAAAGUAAGACAUGCUGGUAAGCAGUAUGACUAUUAUCGCCCACAACUCAUUGUGUUCUACUCGUGCAUAUAACAUCUACGCAUAGACCUGGCUCUGAUACCACUGCUGGGGAACUCAGUAUUUCAAAAAUUUAUGUACGAUCACGCAAGAUCUAUCUAGGAGAUGCAUAGCAACGAGACGGGGAGAGUGUGUCCACGUACCCUCGUAGACUGAAAGCGGAAGCAUUUAGUAACGCAGUUGAUGUAGUCGAACGUCUUUGCGAUCCAACCGAUCCAAGUACCGAACGUGCGACAUCUCCGCGAUCAGCACACGUUCAGCUCAGUGACGUCCCUUGAACUCUUGAUCCAGUUAAGGCCGAGGGUUAGUUCCGUCAGCACAACGGCGUGGUGAUGGUGAUGAUGAAGUUACCGGUGCAGGGCUUCGCCUAAGCACUACGACGAUAUGACCGAGGUGUGUAAAUGUGGAGGGGGGCACCGCACAUGGCUAAAAGAUCAAUUUAUGUGUUCUAGGGUGCCCCCCUGCCCCCGUAUAUAAAGGAGGGAGGAGGAGGCCGGCCGGCCCUAGGGGCGCGCCCAAGGAGAGGGAGUCCUACUAGGAUUACCAAUCCUAGUAGGAUUUCUCUACAAGGAAGAGAGGGGGAAGGAAGGAGAGGGAGAGGGAGUAGGAAAGGGGGGGCGCCGCCCCCUUCCCUUGUCCAAUUCGGACUGCAAGGGGGGGGGGCUGCCCUAGCUCCCAUCCUCUCUCUCCAACAAGGCCCAUGGUGGCCCAUUAGUUCCCCCGGGGGGUUCCGGUAACCCCUCCGGCACUCCGGUUUUACCCGAAACUAUCCGGAACACUUCCGGUGUCUGAAUAACAUGGUCCAAUAUAAAUAUCUUUAUGUCUCGACCAUUCCGAGACUCCUCGUCAUGUCCGUGAUCUAAUCUGGGACUCCGAACAAUCUUCGGUCAUCAAAUCACAUAACUCAUAAUACAAAUCGUCAUCGAACGUUAAGCGUGCAGACCCUACGGGUUCGAGAACUAUGUAGACAUGACCAAGACACCUCUCCGGUCAAUAACCAAUAGUGGAACCUGGAUGCUCAUAUUGGCUCCCACAUAUUCUAUGAAGAUCUUUAUCGGUCAAACUGCAUAACAACAUACGUUGUUCCCUUUGUCAUCGGUAUGUUACUUGCCCGAGAUUCGAUUGUCGGUAUCAUCAUACCUAGUUCAAUCUCGUUACCGGCAAGUCUCUUUACUUGUUCCGUAAUGCAUCAUCCCGUGACUAACUCAUUAGUCACAUUUCUUGCAAGGCUUAUAGUGAUGUGCAUUACCGAGAGGGCCCAGAGAUACCUCUCCGAUACACGGAGUGACAAAUCCUAAUAUUGAUCUAUGCCAACCCAACAAACACCUUCGGAGACAUCUAUAGAGCAUCUUUAUAAUCACUCAAUUACGUUGUGAUGUUUGAUAGCACACAAGGUGUUCCUCCGGUAUUCGGGAGUUGCAUAAUCUCAUAGUCAGAGGAACGUGUAUAAGUCAUGAUGAAAGCAAUAGCAAUAAAACUAAACGAUCAUUAUGCUAAGCUAACGGAUGGGUCUUGUCCAUCACAUCAUUCUCUAAUGAUGAGAUCCCGUUCAUCAAAUGACAACAUAUGUCUAUGGUCAGGAAACAUAACCAUCUUUGAUUAACAAGCUAGUUAAGUAGAGGCAUACUAGGGACACUCUGUUUUGUCUAUGUAUUCACACAUGUACCAAGUUUCCGGUUAAUACAAUUCUAGCAUGAAUAAUAAACAUUUAUCAUGAUAUAAGGAAAUAUAAAUAACAACUUUAUUAUUGCCUCUAGGGCAUAUUUCCUUCAGAAACGCGCCAGCCACAAGGGGCUAGUGCGCCCCCACAUGGGCCGGCCUAGGAGGAGAAGGAAAGAGGGGAAGGCAAAGGAAAGAGAGGAAUAGGAUUCCCCCUUCCUUCCCUCUCACCCUUCUUUCCUGCCCCCCCCCCCCCCGACAAGGCAGGGGGGCGGCCAAGGGGAGGACCCCAAGUAGGAUUCAGCCUACUUAGGGCGCCUCCUGGCAGCCUCCCCUCUCCCUCCCACCUAUAUAUAUGUCGGGGGCGCCGUAGCACAGACCAGACAAUUGCAUAGCCGUGUACGGUGCCCCUCCACCAUUUACACCCCGGUCAUAUUUUCGUAGUGCUUAGGUGAAGCCCUGCGGAGAUCAGUUCACCAUCACCGUCACCACGCCGUCGCGCUGACGGAACUCAUCUACUACCUCGACAUCUUGCUGGAUCAAGAAGGUGAGGGACGUCACCGAGCUGAACGUGUGCAGAACACAGAGAUGCCGUGCGUUCGGUACUUGAUCGGUUGAAGCGCGUAGAAGUUCGACUACAUCAACCGCAUAGUGAAACGCUUCCGUUUACGGUCUACGAGGGUACAUAGACACACUCUCCCUCUCGUUGCUAUGCAUCUCCAUGGAUAGAUCAUUGCGUGUGCAUAGAAUUUUUUUGUUUUUCCAUGCAACGAUUCCCAACACAUUGUACAUGCCCUCAUGAUCUAUAUUUUCUUAUAUGCAAAAAAUAGGCAUUGUCUCAAUGUUCCUUAAGUGUGGAGCUGGUUUGCAUCUAAUGAAUGUUUGAUUCAUGAUAUAUUUUUGUUUGGAUAUGAAUAUAGAUAAUUUUUUCAUCAAUUUUUAUUUCUUAAUGGACUUGAUUGAUACUUCCUCCGUUUAACACAUAUACUAGUUGAGUUAAAGAGAGUCUCCAUGUUAAUUGCAGGAAAAUUGGGCUAAUGUUAAUAUUACAACACCUAUAGACAUGGGACCAUUGGCUGACCUAGCUACAAAAAUAUACUAUAUGUACCCCGUUGACAAUACCCAUUUGCUGGAAAACUCACAAAUUUCAUCAUUCGCCAUUCAUUGACUACAAUCUAUGGCCACGACAUCAAGAUGAUCCUCACGAUCUCACAACGACGACACCAAGCCCAAAUGCUUCCAAAGAUUUGCUAAUAUAUUGCGAAUAGAACAUCUCCAUUUUCAAAGUCAAACAUCAGUGAAAACAUAUCUAUCCAUUUUGAAGUUUAAUUGUGUUUAGUAAAAAAGAUUAAUCUACUAAUAGUUGUGAUUAAGGAAAACUCCAUGUGUUUCUUUACGUGUAGAAAUACAUGGAGCCACAAAAGACGCGCCGAUCAGGCAGAAAACUUGGAGUGACCAUAUCUUGUAGGUGGUCGAAAGUAGUCAUGGAGAUUGACCAGCUCCCAGGGACUUUGGGCUUUGCGGCCGUUCCAGCGGAGCAAGAAGAAUGACAAAUCAUGGUACCUUCUGUUGUGGCGUUCCGGCCCUCGAGGCCAACAGUUGCGUCACUCCUGCUUGCCAUCACCGUCGCGUGUGACUCUAGAUCUGCGCUUCCCUGUCGACGACAAUGAAUGAGUUGCGGGGAAUCACGGGAAGAAGUUGCACAACGUACAAUUUCCCCUAUGGUCUUAUAAAGACAUGUGUGGAGGGCGAAACAGUAGCACGUCCCUCGAGAAUUACGCCGGUGACAGGGCCAUGCGUGGAGUUCUAGCAUGAGAAACAAGGGCAUGCUUUUCACUGUAAAAACUUUUUUAGAAGGAUCCAUUGUAACAACUUUGGGCCCAUGCCUGACGCGAAGGGCUUCCACGACAUCGUUGACAAGGCACGACCCGACCCGUUUAAUAGGCUUUUUUUACUCAUCCUACAUCCGUUUCUUCGGCCGUUUCAGGUCUCCCGUCUAGACAUUGGGCCGUUUUCGGGCCAUCAUUUUGUGUGGUGUAGACUACUUCAGCCCAUCGUAAUUGUGAGGUCCAUCACGGGCACCAAAUCAUAGAGCCUGGCACGCACACACAGUUGACUAGAAUUGCCUUCACCAAGCGCGAGAGCUAUAUCACAACGGAUGUAUGUCGCUCUUUGCUAGCGUUACGACGUCAAUCACCUACAGGCGUGUCCAGCGGGCCAGUCCAUUGAGCGGAAGCAUUCCCAAAAGUUUUGGGAAGCUUCCAAAUGUUCUUUUUCUUCUCUCUGUUUUUUGCUUGUUUUUUUGACCCGGUUUCUAUUUCUAUUUUUUUCUUUUUCUUCUUUGGUUUCUUUAUUUUUCGUUUUCCGUUCUUCUCUUUUACUUUUUCCUUUUUAAAUACAGGAAUUUGAAAUAAUAGUUUUAUUUUCUACUAUUUUUCCUCCCAGUUUUUUUACCUUUUAUGUUUAAUUUCAUUUUAUUGUCUAAUUUCAAAAUUUUCAAUAAAUGUUCAGAUUUUAUAAAUUGUUCAUGUUUUUAUGAAAAAAUCACGUUUUUCAAAUCAUUUUUUCAUUUUACCAAAAUAUGUUCAAAAUUUAAAUUUUUUAUCACAAUUUCAAGAAAUUUUCAAAAAGUUUUCACAUUUCUAAAAAAUUGUUCGAGACAUAAAAAAUUAUUUUGGAAUUUUAAAUAUUGUUCACCAUAAAACAUAAAAAUUAUCAGUGUAAUUAAAAUUUAUUCACCGUAUAUUAAGUAAAUUUCAUUGUACACAAAUAAAAUGUUGAUUGCAUAUUCAAUAAUUCUCCAGUGUGUGUUUUGUAAAAUUGUUCACCAUAUAUAAAAUGUUCAUUUUCUAUAAAUAAAAUUUUCAUCAAAAUAUAUAAUUAAUUGUUAAGUGUGUAUUCUAUCAAAAUGGAAGUUGAAAAUUGUUCAUUUUUUCAAAAUUUGGAUAGAAUUUCGAUCUUUUGCUUGGAUUUAAAAAAAAUCAUGUUCUCAACAUUUAUUCGUGUUUUCAAAGAGUUCACUAUUUAAAAAAAUUCAAAUUUCUUAAAGAAUUUAUCAUUUCUAAAAAUAUUCAGAAUUUUGAAUUCGCAAACAUUAAAAAGUUGCAAUUUUUGGACAAAAAGAAAACAACCCAUACACAAGCUCGCGCUGGCUCGCUGGUGCCACAGCGCUAGCGCUCGCUGACGGGUCAGACCUAUUCAAGGGUGACCAGCGAGGGACUCGUACACUAGCCCUCGCUAAAAGCGAUGGAUAGCAGCCCUAGAGCUAUGCAUUUCAAAUGCUCUACUUUUUUUUGUGUACACACUGAAUAUUUUUCAAAUGCAUGAUGAACAUUUUAUAAAAUACGUCUUUGAACAUCUUUUUGAACACAUGUUAACCAUUUUUCAAGUACAUGUUUAAUAUUUUUCAAUACAUGUGAAACAUUUUCAGGAUACACCUUGAUAAUUUUGUAAAUGCAUGAUGAAUAUUUUUUAAAUACACAUUGAAUUCUUUCUGAAUACGCGACAUUUUCCAUAUACUUGCGAACAUUUUUAAUUAUAUGUUGACCAUGGACAAACUUGUUUUUUGAAAUUUCAUGAACAUAAUUUUGUUAAAAGUGUGAACAUUUUACAAUGUCACAAACAAAUUGUACUGCAUGAAAAUUUAUUAAACUCAUGAACAUUUUUCUGAAUUGUAUGAACAUUUUUUAAAACCACGAGAACAUGAUUUUUUACAUUCCCCGAAACAUUUUUAUAUUACACGUUGAACAUUCUUUAAAAACUACCUUUUUAGGGAUUUUUUAGGAACUACUGGUAAACCACGGCACUUAUUUUGGAAUGGAUGAUUUUUUCUAUAUAUCUACGUAUCUAUAGUAUAUUUUGCAUAAGUGAAAAAAAAGCCUCACACCCGCGAGAAAGAAAGAAAGCCGACUGGCGAGCGACUGCGGUGUCUGCUCGUCGGCAAAGCCACCGACCACGUCCGCCAGCUCUUCUCCCCGCUACUCCCUUGACCCCCAGUACUCACAGCCUCAGGUCAGUAGGUGUUGCGUUUCCGCCGCCUAGUGCUCUCUCCUUCUACCAAAUCCUACAACUUCCGUUGAUUGAUGCCAGGGAUGAAGAAAAGUGUUGAUUUUGGUAGUUUGAGCACCGAUUUCAGGGGCAGGACGAGGAAUCGGAGGAGAGAGGCGACCAAGGCCAUAAAGAUCAUCCCCGCACACCACAUGUUCGAUGAAAUGCCCAAAACGCGCCGCGGCGACGUCUUCUUCUCCCCUCUUCGCAGUCGCUCGCAGGUCCACGCUACCACCCAUCGAUGUUGACUUGUCAGGGAUUGUCCAAGAAGGUAUAUAUAUAGCUGAAUCCCGAAUCUGGUUGAUGUGCUCUCAUACACCUUUAGAUUUUUUCCCCUUCUAUACAAUAAUAGGCCAUUUUUGUGUAGUUUCAAAACUUCCUUAUAGGUAAAAAAAAGCCUGCGUUCUUAUCUAUAGGUUACUUGUUAUAGAAACUGCUGAUUUCAAACAUGCUAUUAAUCUAGUUCCAUGCUCCCGGCCUUAGUAAAAUUAACGUGUACCUGAUGAUUAUCCCGUAGCAUUUAAUCAUUCUUUUCUGUGGCACCAACCUAUUAAGCUAGUUCUAGUGCUCUAAUCUCUGUAUUCCACAUGCUUUCUCUGCAGGUAUGGAGGGCAGUGUGACAUGCUGUACAACCAAAAAUACAAUCUUGACCAAGUUUCUUUGGCAUCAGAGAGAAUUAAUGAUGCUCAACAGACUGUACGUUGCCUUAGUUUCCUAUCGAGUUCUUGGUUGCUAGAUUCUGAUACCUAGCUCUCAGAUUUAUGUUGAAGUGUCUUUCAUUUAACAGAUGACUGCAAUGAAGGCUGCCAAUAAAGAGCUAAAAGGGAUGAUGAAGACUGUCAGGAUUGAAGAUAUAGAUUUACAAGGAGCAGAUCAGGAAGAUCGGGCCCGGCCCACACAGGAGGCCGUCAAGGCGCAUGUCAUGAGGAUCCUCAAGCAGCGCAAGAUGUAUAUAAUCCAUACGUUCAUCCAUAACCUUAUAGGUAAAUGUUGCGUCCUUGUAGGAAGUGUUGAUUUGGAAAGCUAGCAAGUUCUUACCAUGGAUAAGAGAGAAAGCGAAUGUUAUUGGUUCUCCAUGAUUAUCCUGGAGCAUUUAAUCAUUCCUUUGGUGGCAGUAGCCUAUAUUAGUUUAGUGCUCUCGUUUGAUUGCUUUUCUUACGUUACACUUGAAUCGAUACCUGCUCUUCAAAUCUGCAGGGCAUGCAAGACGAGAUGAUAGAUCUUAUGGAUGUGAGCAAUGAAAUACAAGAAACCAUUGGUAAAAGCUACAAGGUCCUAGAUGCCACCGACGAGGAGGAACUUAUGGAGGGUAUGGCUCUUAUGCUGUAGUUGGUUAUUCUCAGAUAAUUCAAAAGCUUAAUUGGCCAACUAGUUUUCCUUACCAGUUAUAUACUUCUAUCAGUUUUAGGUCUAAGAUUUAAUCUGAAGCGUUUCUUUGGCACUUUGGUUGUAAUCCCUGUACUGAUUUUGUGUAUCGUUCAUUUGCUUAUUUAUAGACAAGACUGUUCUCUGUUUGUUGUUCUCAUUUUGUAUGUUGGAAAAUGCAGAGCUUGAUGCUUUGGAAGCUGGUAUGGACUUUGAAUUAAAUUCAGUCCCUUCGUAUCUUCAAUCACACGAGGAGAUUCUUGAUUCUGAGCUUAACUUACCUGCUGCGCCAAGUGGUCAUGCAGCAGUCCCGGCAAACAGGCAGCAGGUAUGUCAAUUGCAAGACUGACUAGUUUCUGUUCAUACUGAUUAUGACGCUGAUAUCCCUAGGAAGAAAUCGAUGGGUGUCACAAGUGGGUGUUACGUCUGAACAAAUAUAAGCAUAGGCACCGCAUACAUUUUUUUACAAACAACCCACAAAACAAAUUAUAUUUAUGCAUUGUUAGAAAUCGGCAAGCGGACAAACAGGAAAAUACCAAGAACACAUGACAAUCAUUUUUACGUGGAAAACCCUUGCGGGAAAAACCACGGGCACACGGUGGUGCUUUCACUGUGCCAGGAGUGUCUGCAAGUACAUAGACUUACAAUGGGUCAUCAACUCAUCCCGUGUGGCAUACAGGAGGUAUAUAGGUGGCAUAUGAGUGACUCGGGUCAAAAACGGAAACCUAAAUCGGCAUCCACUACGAUUACCCUGGAUUCUCACUAGAAUUCGGAUCAUAUAUCAACAUGCAUCGCUUGCUGUAAUGUAAGUGCACUGAAAGGCACGAGGCAGGAGCUAGAAGAGGGUCGCUGGAUGAGUGUUUGGUAUGCCUCCCGCAUGGUUGGCCUUUCUUGUGGAGAAGAUUCCAAACAAGAAAUUGCCACCUUGAUGACCAGAGCUAAGCUACUCUCGUCUGUUGUUGUUGGCGUAUUCGGCCGUUGGUCCAGAAUAUCUUUCACCGGCAUGCCUUGUUCCCCGCUUGAGAAACUACCAUCUAGUAGAUCUCUUGGAUGCUUCCCCAUCAGUAGCUCCCGCACAACCACCCCAAAGCUGUAGACAUCACAUUUCUCUGUCACAACAGAUGUGUACGCCAGUUCUGCAUGAAAUCAGAACAUCAGAAUUAAGAACAAAUUGUUAGAGGUGAAUGCUCGUGACGUGAGAAGUAAGGUUAUACUAGUACAUACCAGGAGCUAUGUAGCCAUACGUUCCUGCUAGUGCACUCCAGUUUGACGAAUCAGGCUUAAGAACCCUUGCUAUGCCAAAAUCCGAGACAAAAGCCUUGAAGGAUGUAUCAAGUAAAAUGUUGUUGCUCGUGACAUCUCGAUGGAUUAUAGGUGGACUGCAUUUGUGGUGCAAAUAAGAUAUUGCCUGAGCCACAUCAGUUGCAAGAGUAAUUCUCUUCUGCCAAUCUAAUUCCUUUGCUAGCUCGUCAUUUUCCAAUGUCCCGUGGAGGCUUCCCUGCUUAAUGUACUCAUAGACGAGAAAUUUAUACACUGGAUGGGAGCAGAAUCCAUACAUUUUGACAAUGCUUCGUUGACGGAUGUGUGAUAAAAUUUCCAUUUCACUGUGAAAUCUUCUUUCAUCAUCCAACCCUUCUUCGGUCUGAUGAAGCUUCUUCACAGCAACCAGCUGCCCGUCUUGGAGUUGUGCCUUGUAGACUUUGCCGUAUCCUCCUGUUCCAAUGAUGUACUUAUCAUCGAAGUCUUCUGUUGCCCUUACAAUAUCGUCAAAUGCUAAUCUUCCAUCAAAAUUCCAAACAAAGAAUAGGUCCCUUGCUUCAGCAGUGACACCUUCUUGUGGUUUUCUCUUGUUACAACUAAACAUUAUUAUGACACCAAUUGCAGCAACAAUACUGAACCCCACCACAAGAGCAAUUGGUAAAAGCCAACCAAUUACCUUCCGUUUAUGGUGAGCAGCUACUAGAGUUGAAUAACAAGGUGGCAGGUCAGAAAGGUUACCACACAGACCUUUAUUGAAAAGAAACCAACUUGUUGAAGCAUUUUGGAGUAGCCGUGCUGUUGGGACUGGCCCUUCCAAGUCAUUGUAGGACACGUCAAGUGUUGAAAGGCUCGCCAUGCUUGCAAAGGAGGAUGGAAUGCUGCCACUGAAUUGAUUAUGUGACAAAUUCAGAAAUUCUAGCAUCUCCAACUUCCCAAGUUGUUGUGGCAACACGCCACUGAGGUUAUUGUUGCUCACAUCAAACAUGAUCUGCAUGCCUGCUAAAUUUCCAAUCGCUCCAGGCAAACUCCCACCGAAGUUGUUAUUGUUGAUCUUCAAGGACCUUAGUUUCAUGCAGGCCCCUAGUUGCUCAGGUAUUGAUCCACUCAGUAAGUUUGCGGAUAUAUCAAGGUAUUCUAGACUGCUUAGCUUUUCUAUCUGUGUAGGUAUGGAUCCAGAUAACUGGUUUGUUGAUAAGUUCAGGCUAUAUAGAUUUGUUAAAGUGGAGAUAUCUUGUGGGAUCUCACCACUGAGAUUAUUAGAAUUGAGUGUUAGCUCUACUAGGUUGGGCAGUUUAGAAAGGAUUGGAGGUAUGGAACCCGUGAUCACAUUUUCCCCCGGAUCCAGUACUAUUAGCAGGGAAGAUGCACCUAGAUUUGGUGAGAUCUGCCCAGACAGUCUAUUUGAUGCCAAGCGCAUCUCUGUGAGUUGUGGAUACACACCAAAAUGCUGAGAUAUGUCGCCUGUUAGUUGGUUUGACUCAAGGUGAAGUUGAACCAAACCUAUACAUGUCUUUAAACUCCUUGGAAUGGGGCCAUUGAACAUAUUAGAAGAGACCAUGAGAUAUUGAAGUCUGCCACCUGAACAUAUAUUUGCGGGUAAAGGUCCUGAAAGUGAGUUGUUAGACAUCCCAAGUACAACAAGGUUUAUGAGAUCUCCAAAUUCUUGAGGAAGAGAACCUGAUAAUUUGUUACUAAAGAUUUGUAUUUCUUUGAUGCUUUGCAACUUCCCAAAAGAUUUUGGUAUUGAGCCGGUUAUCUGAUUUUCCCAGAGUUGUAGUACUACUAGCUUGGAAGUAUUUCCUAAGCUGUCAGGAAUAGAGCCAGAUAUUUGGUUGUCGGACAAGUCAAAAUUUUGGAGAUUCGACAAGAUGCCCAAUUCUGAAGGUAUUGUGCCUGUGAUUUGAUUUGUAAACAGAGAAAGUUCACUGAGCAUAGUGAGGUUGCCUAUUGCCGGUGGGAUGGAGCCUGUGAUUUGAUUUUCACAGAGAGUUAGAAUGUCCAUCUUUGUGAGAUUUGUGAUGAAGAUUGGAAUUGGACCUGAAAAAGCAGUUGAACAAAGCUCACUACUGCAGGAUGCUGCUAACGCGACACUACAAUCAGAGACCCUUCGAGAAACUGUGUGCGAUGCCAUAAUCGCAAACGGUGCUGUAUGUAAACCGUGAAAUGCAUAAAACGUUUGCGAUGACGGAUGCAUCAAACACGGUUCAGGUUUUAGUUGCGUGUGCGAUGAAGGGCAUAGGGUUCAGUUCAAUUAACUGUUUGUGAUGAGGAGGAACAAAAGAAACGGGCAGCCAAAUGAAGGCGUGUGCGAUACACAGCAUACGGUUCACUCGGAUGAACUGUUUGUGAUUAGGCAACACAAAAGGAAUGGGCAGCCAGAUGAAGGUGUGUGCGAUAUACAACAUAUGGUUCACUCGGAUGAACUUUUGUGAUUAGGCAACACAAAAGAAACGGUCAGCCAGAUCAAGGUGUGUGGGAUAUACGGCAUGCGGUUCACUCAGAUGAACUGUUUGCGUUGACACAAGAGUACAGAAACGGUUCAACUUAACAAGACGUGUGUGUUGUGCAAUGGGAUUGCAUGCGGUUCACUCGGCCCUUGUCGUCAGUGUGUGACCUCCGUGGCAACCGUUCGCUCGCAACCGUCCACCGACUCUUCGCCUUUCCCUCUCGAUUUGGAACUGCUGUCGCAUGCUAGCUCUUCCUCCCUCCUCCAUUUGCCUUCACCCUUCCUUCCGCCAUUGUUUGAUCGUCUUCUCCAUGGAGGGAACAAGCCGGAAACGACCCUGUUAUUCUUGCCCCGAUCUGAAUGAUGACGCGAUGGAGGAACUCAUUGAUCGGUGCCGGUUAGCAUGGCAGGUUCGUUCAAGACCAUUCUCGACUCAACUAAUAACAUCAUUACAAGGAACCCAAGGGUUCAGGAGCGGUUUGAUCUCCCCUAUCUUCUUUGCCGUGACCUUGCUGACCGGCGCGGGGACGAGGGAAGCCUCGCCUUGUGUAAGUUGAUGCCGCUUGAUAAUGAUACUUAUGAUGUUAAGAUGCCAUCGCUUGAGGGCAAGGCUUGGGCAGGCACAAAUGGAGAUUGGGUUGUUUAUAUUGGGUACAACUGCGAGUGGGAACUUGUGAAUGUGUACACUCGUCACCGGGUUCCACUUCGAAAAAUCUCAGACGACUGCCCAGAGGUUGAGUACACCGGUAUUCUACGUGAGUUCAAAUACGAUCAUGCUAACUGUCAUCUACGCAAGAUAGCAAUUUGUUGAGUUCCCAACCGCUCUUGGGGUUAUAGGAAUGCUUAUGUUGUCGCUAUCUUCGACAAGCUUGUUGCCGUCCUUCAUGGUUCGACUCGAUGGAUAUUGCUCAAAAAUCAGUUUCUAUACACGGAUGAGUACUGUGAUGCAAUUCAAUACGAGGGUCUUGUGUUUGCUGCCACCACUCGUGGCAUUGUUUUUGCAUGGAAUCCUCAUGAUUUCGGUACGUUUAUCUUCCACCGUAAUUAUAAUUGUUUCAUCCACAUGCAUGCGGGUUAGCUAGUUUCCCUUUACUAAUUAACCUCCUUGUGUUUCCAAGGUCCUGUGAAUAUUCCACCACCUAUACUUGAGAAUUUUAUUCACGAGCAUGAGGACGAGCAGGACCCAUAUACUCAGUGGCGCCUGGCAACUUAUUCCGAUAGAUCACCUCUUCUUGGGGCACUGCUGAUGUUACUAAGGAAGCAUGUGUUGUCUCGUAUGGUCGCACUCUCCGGACCUAUUCCAACAUCCGUCGCAGGGUAUUCGGGAUGGAUACUCGUGUACUAGCGCCAACACCUUCUCCCUGGUUCAGUAUUGAAAGUCUUGGAGAAAACUCGCUCUUCCUUGGACAAAACUAUCCAAUGAUGGUGGAAGGCGAUCCAGCGGCUGUUGACAUAACGUUACUAUCAUUUAUGAGAAGCAACUGUAUCUAUACCUCGGACAUUACUAUGCUUCCCUACCGUCCCAAUUUGGGUAUUGAGAUAGGCCGCUUCAGCCUGAAUGAUCAGUCCUGCGUUGGUCUCGAGAUUGACAGUAGCUAGCCCUUCCCAGAGAAUCACUUCUGGUUCAAAGCAAGCGUUUCCAAUGCCGACGAGUGGUUGAGCUGAAGUUCAUUUCAUCGCUUUGUUAUUUGUUGUGUGAGAAAAACUUUACUAGAAUGUUUUGUUGGAAAUGAUCUAUAACCCAACGUGUAUCCUCGUUGUCGUUGUGGGUUGAUGACUUGUUGUAUGUAAUCAAUGGUACAUUUGCAUAUGCGUCCAUGAACUCACGCCUGCUAGUGGUGUCCAUAUGAACAGUGCUAGUGAUUUUAGUUGCAAAAAUUUGAUAGUGCUAGUGAUUUGUAGCUGCAUAUUUUGACAAAUCACAGUGUUACAAGGUUGACAAAUGGCAAUGUUACUAGAUAAACAAAUGUCAAUCUUUUCAGUUUGACAAAUGGCAACAUACCCAAAACAAAUCUUACCCAAUUGUUUGUACGUGGUUGCACACGGGUCAUGCAACACAACCGUUUGUGUUGAAGGGAUGCAGAAAUCCUGCUCGGCACAUUUUCCCUUGGCUUCCUGGGGAAGCUGUCGGUUUGCAUACGGGUGUUCUAACGAAAACGUUUGUGAUGAGUGUUUUAUAUUUAAAAACCAUUGAAGUUUUUUUCAAAAGAAAAUCGUUCAAUAAGUCUGUACAUUAAGAGAGAAAAACGCAAGUUCGUUCAAACCAUAUCUUUCAUUCAGCCACACUGCGAAUUUAUAUUCAUAUGAUCGAGAAUUCGAGAUACAGUAUUAAACCCCAAAAAAACUAUUUCCGGCAGCGGCGGAGGCGGCGUGACGCGCCGUCGUUGUUGUACUCCGGGACGCUGUUGUUGAAGUCUUCAAGGCAGCACAAAAUGUUCUUCACUUGUAAAUCAAACAUCAUGUCGUCGCCCGAUCGAUGGGCGAGGCGCGGGAGGACGGCAACUGGCACCGCUGAGAGGUAGCGGUCGACGGCAGCGUCCCAUGCCNNNNNNNNNNNNNNNNNNNNNNNNNNNNNNNNNNNNNNNNNNNNNNNNNNNNNNNNNNNNNNNNNNNNNNNNNNNNNNNNNNNNNNNNNNNNNNNNNNNNNNNNNNNNNNNNNNNNNNNNNNNNNNNNNNNNNNNNNNNNNNNNNNNNNNNNNNNNNNNNNNNNNNNNNNNNNNNNNNNNNNNNNNNNNNNNNNNNNNNNNNNNNNNNNNNNNNNNNNNNNNNNNNNNNNNNNNNNNNNNNNNNNNNNNNNNNNNNNNNNNNNNNNNNNNNNNNNNNNNNNNGAGCACGGGCAAGGGCGCUGGCGCUGGCAUGUACACGAGCUCGCGCGGGUCCGCGGAGACCUCGCUGACGCCCGCGGCUUCCAGCUCUGCGAUAGUGCUCGGCGACCAGCCCGUCAAUGCUACGGGGAUGGUGGCUGGUGCGGGCGCGUGGAUGGGAGCUGGGACGUGAGCGGGGGCAGAAACCGCCACGGCCAGCUCGUUCUGGGCCAUGUCCAUGAGGCCCCAUUCCUCCUUAUUUUCUAUCUCCUCCGGCUCGGAGUCGACUUCACCAAACUUGAAGACUAGUGGCAGAUGAUCAUUCUGCGCCAUGGCGAUGGAGGUCUGUGGGGGGGAGGGGAAUGGGACGCGAACAGUAAGGCCGCCCGUAUUAAACAGCGGCUCGGGCGCCAUUAAUGGAGAGGAAGGCGGGCGGCCAUGGAAGUCAAAGGGCUCGCUUCCCAGUGAGCCUGCGUAGCGUAAAGCUCGCACGCUUCCCGGUGAGCCUGCGCAUUGGAGGACAGCUUGCACGCCUCUCGGUCAGCCUGCGCACCGGACUGCGCUUGCACGCCUCCCGUUUAGUCAAGGUCAAGCAGCUGUCCGCACGACACCUCCUACAGCCAUUAAAACCAAGACACAUGGCGUCACGUGAAUGGUUAACAGAACGCACACGUUUUGAAUUAUACAAACGUUUGAGAUAUUAAGUGGCAGCUAUUUUUUCAAAUUGACUUUGUUGGCUGUCAUUAUUCGAGUGUGCCUUCUCUCAAAAUGGACACGAAAAAUACCACAUCAUGUCGGGCGCCAUUCCAUGAUAGCAUGCCAAGUUUCAUGAAUUUCAGACAAGUUUUGGAUUUACUAGAAUUUAAAAACCAGGCAUCUCAAUGUUUUGUCGGUAAUCAACGGUGCCCUGGUGUUUGAAAUUCACUCCCAUUUAUUGCAUGGGACCUAAGCAUGCACCCAAGGACACAUAUUCGAUUUUUCAACCAAUUUAUAUGCACUGGAGCAUGUGCAUGUAGUUCAAAUUUGAAUUAUGCACAUAAAUGCAUUGAAAACUCAGUUAAUGCAUAAAAAUGUCCAAAAGAACCCUAAAAAAAUCACAAAAAUUGACACAACACUCUUGUUGUUCUAUGUUGACACGAGAAAUUUUUUGGAAGCAAUAAGAGGCAGUGGAUAUCGUUUCGUCCCCAAAGGUGGGACGUUCCCUACCGAAACCAUGAUGCUUGUUGUGAGAAGCUCUGGUUUGUGAGAAGCAUAUACCCAAACCUGCCCCAAACGGGACAAUUUUUUUACCACGACAUGUUGAUGCCGCUCCAUGAAAGCAUGCCAAGUUUCAUGAAUUUCAGACGAGUUUUGGAUUUACUAGAAUUAAAAAAUGAGGCAUCUCAAUGUUUUGCCGGCAAUCAACAGUGCCCUGGUGUUUCAAUUUCAUUCCCAUCUCUUGCAUGGGACCUAGAAAUUCACCCAAGGACACAUAUUAGAUUUUUCAACCAACCUUAGUGCAUUGGAGCAUGUGCUUGUAGUUCAAAUUUGAAUUAUGCACAUAAAAUGCUUAGAAAACCCAGCUAAUGCAUAAAAAUGUCCAAACGAACCCCGAAAAAUCACAAAAAUUGACACAACACUCCUGUUGUUCUAUGUUGACACUAGAAAAUAUUUGAAAUCAAUAAGAGGCAAUGGAUAUCGCUUCGUCCCCAAAGGUGGGACAUUCCCUAUCGAAACCAUCAUGCUUGUUGUGAGAAGCUCUGGUUUGUGAGAAGCUUAUACCCGAACCUGCCCCAAACGGGACAAUUUUUUUACCAUGGCAUGUUGAUGCCGCUCCAUGAUAGCAUGCCAAGUUUCAUGAAUUUCAGACGAGUUUUGGAUUUACUAGAAUUUAAAAACCAGGCAUCUCAAUGUUUUGCCGGCAAUCAACAGUGUCCUGGUGUUUGAAUUUCAUUCCCAUCUCUUGCAUGGGACCAAGAAAUUCACCCAAGGACACACAUGUGAUUUUUCAACCAACUUUAGUGCAUUGGAGCAUGUGCUUGUAGUUCAAAUUUGAAUUAUGCACAUAAAAUGCCUAGAAAACCCAGUUAAUGUAUAAAAAGGCCAAACGAACCCCGAAAAAUUCCAAGAUUGAACACAACACUCCUGUUGUUCUAUGUUGAUACUAGAAUUUUUUUGAAAGCAAUAAGAGGCAACGGAUAUCGUCUCGUCCCCAAAGGUGGUACGUUCCCUAUCGAAACCAUCAUGCUUGUUGUGAGAAACUCUGAUAUGUGAGAAGCUUGUACCCAAACCUGCCCCAAAUGGGACAAAUUUUUUAGCAAGGCAUGUCGGGUGCCGCUCCAUGAUACCAUGCCAAGUUUCAUGAAUUUCAGACGAGUUUUGGAUUUACUAGAAUAUAAAAACCAGGCAUCUCAACGUUUUGCCGGCAAUCAACAGUGCCCUGGUGUUUGAAAUUCAUUCCCAUCUCUUGCAUGGGACCUAGAAAUUCACCCAAGGACACACAUGUGAAUUUUCAACCAACUUUGGUGCAUUGGAGCAUGUGCUUGUAGUUGAAAUUUGAAUUAUGCACAUAAAAUGCCUAGAAAACCCAGUUAAUGUAUAAAAAAGUCCAAACGAACCCCAAAAAAUUCCAAGAUUGAACACAACACUCCUGUUGUUCUAUGUUGACACUAGAAUUUUUUUGAAAGCAAUAAGAGGCAACAGACAUCGUCUCGUCCCCAAAGGUGGUACAUGCCCUAUCGAAACCAUCAUGCUUGUUGUGAGAAGCUCUGAUUUGUGAGAAGAUUAUACCCAAACCUGCCCCAAAUGGGACAAAAUUUUCACCACGGCAUGUUGAUGCCGCUCCAUGAUAGCAUGCCAAGUUUCAUGAAUUUCAGACGAGUUUUGGAUUUUACUAGAAUUUAAAAAUCAGGUAUCACAACGUUUUGCCGGCAAUCAACAGUGCCCUGGUGUUUGAAAUUCAUUCCCAUCUCUUGCAUGGGACCUAGAAAUUCACCCAAGGACACACAUGUGAUUUCUCAACCAACUUUAGUGCAUUGGAGCAUGUGCUUGUAGUUCAAAUUUGAAUUAUGCACAUAAAAUGCCUAGAAAACCCAGUUAAUGUAUACAAAAGGCCAAACGAACCCCGAAAAAUUCAUUCCCAUUUCUUCCAUGGGACGUAAGCAUGCACUGAAGGACACAGAUUUGAUUUUUCUACCAAUUAUGCACUGGAGCAUGUGCAUGUAGUUUAAUUUUGAAUUGUGCACCUGAAAUGGCUAGAAAACCGGUUUAAUGUAUGAAAUGUCCAAACAAACCCUGAAUAAUUCCAAUUCAUUUACGACACACAUACAGUUGCAUGUUCACUGCAGAUAAAAGGUCUAGCAAUUCAAACACCGUCCAUUGCCGCUGUGACCCUAUUUUGUAAUUCAAAUCAAGUAGAUCCCACACAGUUUAUUCUCACCAACCGUGUGAGAUGUAGUACAAAAUAUCUUGUAGCACCGUCGGUGUAUAGUACGCCUAUGGCUUACGCGAGAAGGUGCAUCGGCUAUAGUCCACAGCCGGCGUGUCAAGCACACUAGCUCCCUCCCCCAAAACUUCCGCCUCUGCAUCCCUCUCUGCUUCAGUCCCUUGAUUCAAAUUUUCAGUAGCCCCGGCAUUUUACUCCCGCCUCUGCAUCCCUCGUAAUCUCAAAAAUAUCUGCUCGCCCUUGAUCCAAAUUUUCAGUAGCCCUGCCUUGUUACUCCCGCCUAGUAAAAAUUUUAGUUGCCGCAGUAUUUCCUCAAACACAACCUCCGCUCACACAGACACACACAACCCCCGAAACCAUUAGUAGGUCGCCGCCAUCGCCGGCGCCUCCAUCCUCCACCUCUGCCUGUGUGCCGGGGAGCUCGAGUAGCCAAUGGCCAAAAGGAGGUUUAUCGCGGCCUUUUCGCCUGACGCCGGCGAGGUGGCCGCCGAGGUGUCCCUGUCGUCCUCCGCGGGCCCGAUCCACCGUCGCCGGUUGUUGGAAAUAUGCCCUAGAGGCAAUAAUAAAAUGGUUAUUAUUGUAUUUCCUUGUUCAUGAUAAUUGUCUAUUGUUCAUGCUAUAAUUGUAUUAACUGGAAACCGUAAUACAUGUGUGAAAACAUAGACCACAACAUGUCCCUAGUAAGCCUCUAGUUGACUAGCUCGUUGAUCAAUAGAUGGUUAUGGUUUCCUGACCAUGGACAUUGGAUGUCAUUGAUAACGGGAUCACAUCAUUAGGAGAAUGAUGCGAUGGACAAGACCCGAUCCUAAGCAUAGCACAAGAUCGUGUAGUUCGUUUGCUAAGAGCUUUUCUAAUGUCAAGUAUCGUUUGCUUAGACCCUGAGAUUGUGCAACUCCCGGAUACCGUAGGAAUGCUUUGGGUGUACGAAGCGUCACAACGUAACUGGGUGGCUAUAAAGGUGCACUACAGGUAUCUCCGAAAGUGUCUGUUGGGUUGGCACGAAUCGAGACUGGGAUUUGUCACUCCGUAUGACGGAGAGGUAUCUCUGGGCCCACUCGGUAAUGCAUCAUCAUAAUGAGCUCAAUGUGACUAAUGAGUUAGCCACGGGAUCAUGCGUUACGGAACGAGUAAAGAGACUUGCCGGUAACAAGAUUGAACGAGGUAUGGGGAUACCGACGAUCGAAUCUCGGGCAAGUAACAUACCGAUUGACAAAGGGAAUUGAAUACGGGAUUGAUUGAAUCCCCGACAUCGUGGUUCAUCCGAUGAGAUCAUCGUGGAACAUGUGGGAGCCAAUAUGGGUAUCCAGAUCCCGCUAUUGGUUAUUGGCCGGAGAGGUGUCUCGGUCAUGUCUGCAUGGUUCACGAACCCGUAGGGUCUACACACUUAAGGUUCGGUGACGCUAGAGUUGUUAUGGGAAAUAGUAUGUGGUUACCGAAGGUUGUUCGGAGUCCCGGAUGAGAUCCCGGACAUGACGAGGAGCUCCGAAAUGGUCCGGAGGUGAAGAUCGGUAUAUUGGACGAAGGGUAUUGGAGUCCGGAAUUGUUCCGGGGGUACGAGGCUAUGGCCAGCAUGUCGAAAGGGGUUUCGGAGGCCCCGACAAGCGUUGGGGGGCCUUAUGGGCCAAGGGGAAGGGGCAAACCAGCCCACUAAGGGGCUGUGCGUCCCUCCCAACCCCUCUCACGUAACCAAGAGAGGUGGGGGCGCCACCCCAAGGGCAGCCGCCCCUCCCGGCUUGGGGGGCAAGUUUCCUAGGGGGUGGGGGCGCCCAAACCCAUCUAUGGUUUUCCCUGGCCGCCGCCUCCUCCUCUAGAUCCAUCUAGAGGGGUCGGCCCCCUCUCCCCUUCCCCCUAUAUAUAGUGAGGGGGUGGGAGGGCAGCCACACCCUUCCCUUGGCGCAGCCCUCUCGUCCUCCAACUCCUCCUCCUCCUCCUCCUCCGUUGUGCUUAGCAAAGCUCUGCCGGAGAACCACGAGCUCCAUCGCCACCAUGCCGUCGUGCUGCUGGAGUUCUCCCUCAACUUCUCCUCUCCCCUUGCUGGAUCAAGAAGGAGGAGACGUCCCCGGGCUGUAUGUGUGUUGAACGCGGAGGCGCCGUCCGUUCGGCGCUAGAUCGGAUCUUCCGCGAUUUGAAUCGCCGCGAGUACGACUCCAUCAACCGCGUUCUUGUAACGCUUCCGCUUAGCGAUCUUCAAGGGUAUGAAGAUGCACUCCCUCUCUCUCGUUGCUAGCAUCUCCUAGAUUGAUCUUGGUGACACGUAGGAAAAUUUUGAAUUAUUGCUACGUUCCCCAACAGUGGCAUCAUGAGCUAGGUCUAUGCGUAGAUUCUAUGCACGAGUAGAACACAAAGUAGUUGUGGGCGAUGAUUUGUUCAAUUUGCUUACCGUUACUAGUCUUAUCUUGAUUCGGCGGCAUUGUGGGAUGAAGCGGCCCGGACCGACCUUACACGUACUCUUACGUGAGACAGGUUCCACCGACUGACAUGCACUUGAUGCAUAAGGUGGCUAGCGGGUGUCUGUCUCUCCCACUUUAGUCGGAUCGGAUUCGAUGAAGAGGGUCCUUAUGAAGGGUAAAUAGCAAUUGGCAUAUCACCGUUGUGGCUUUUGCGUAGGUAAGAAAAGUUCUUGCUAGAAACCCAUAGCAGCCACGUAAAACAUGCAACAACAAUUAGAGGACGUCUAACUUGUUUUUGCAGGGUAUGCUACGUGAUGUGAUAUGGCCAAAAGGAUGUGAUGAAUUAUAUAUAUGUGAUGUAUGAGAUUGAUCAUGUUCUUGUAAUAGGAAUCACGACUUGCAUGUCGAUGAUUAUGACAACCGGCAGGAGCCAUAGGAGUUAUCUUAAUUUAUUGUAUGACCUGCGUGUCAAUGAAAAACGCCAUGUAAUUACUUUACUUUAUUGCUAACCGUUAGCCAUAGUAGUAGAAGUAAUAGUUGGCGAGACAACUUCAUGAAGACACGAUGAUGGAGAUCAUGGUGUCAUGCCGGUGACGAAGGUGAUCAUGCCGCGCCUCGAAGAUGGAGAUCAAAGGGCGCAAGAUGAUAUUGGCCAUAUCAUGUCACUUUAUGAUUUGCAUGUGAUGUUUGUCAUGUUUACAUCAUAUUUGCUUAGAACGACGGUAGCAUAAAUAAGAUGAUCCCUCACUAAAAUUUCAAGAGAUGUGUUCCCCCUAACUGUGCACCGUUGCGAAGGUUCGUUGUUUCGAAGCACCACGUGAUGAUCGGGUGUGAUAGAUUCUAACGUUCGCAUGCAACGGGUGUAAGCCAGAUUUACACAUGCGAAACACUUAGGUUGACUUGACGAGCCUAGCAUGUACAGACAUGGCCUCGGAACACAAGAGACCGAAAGGUCGAACAUGAGUCGUAUAGUAGAUACGAUCAACAUGGAGAUGUUCACCGAUGAUGACUAGUCCGUCUCACGUGAUGAUCGGACACGGCCUAGUUGACUCGGAUCACGUAUCACUUAUAUGACUAGAGGGAUGUCUAUCUGAGUGGGAGUUCAUUAAAUAAUUUGAUUAGAUGAACUUAAUUAUCAUGAACAUAGUCAAAAGGUCUUUGCAAAUUAUGUCGUAGCUUACGCUUUAGUUCUACUAAGAUAUGUUCCUACAGAAAAUUUAGUUGAAAGUUGAUAGUAGCAAUUAUGCGGACUGGGUCCGUAAACUGAGGAUUGUCCUCAUUGCUGCACAGAAGGCUUAUGUCCUUAAUGCACCGCUCGGUGUGCUGAACCUCGAGCGUCGUUUGUGGAUGUUGCGAACAUCUGACAUACACGUUUUGAUGACUACGUGAUAGUUCAGUGCGUAAUGUUAAACGGUUUAGAAUUGAGGCACCGAAGACAUUUUGAAACGUCGUGGAACAUAUGAGAUGUUCCAAGAGCUGAAAUUGGGAUUUUAGGCUCGUGCCCACGUCAAGAGGUGUGAGACCUCCGACAAGUUUCUUAAGCCUGCAAACUAAGGGAGAAAAGCUCAAUCGUUGAGCAUGUGCUCGGAUUGUCUGAGUACUACAAUCGCUUGAAUCGAGUGGGAGUUGUCUUCCAGAUGAGAUAGUGAUGGUUCUCCAAAGUCACUGCCACCAAGCUACUAGAGCUUCGUGAUGAACUAUAACAUAUCAGGGAUAGAUAUGAUGAUCCUUGAGCUAUUCGCGAUGUUUGACACCGCGAAAGUAGAAAUCAAGUAGGAGCAUCAAUUGUUGAUGGUUAGUAAAACCACUAGUUUCAAGAAGGGCAAGGGCAAGAAGGGAUACUUCAUGAAACGGCAAAUCAGUUGCUGCUCUAGUGAAGAAACCCAAGGUAGAAUCCAAACCCGAGACUAAGUGCUUCUGUAAUGAGGGGAACGGUCACUGAAGCAGAACUACCCUAGAUACUUGGUAGAUGAGAAGGCUGGUAAGGUCGACAGAAGUAUAUUGGAUAUACAUUAUAUUAAUGUGUACUUUACUAGUACUCCUAGUAGCACCAGGGUAUUAGAUACCGGUUCGGUUGCUAAGUGUUGGUAACUUGAAAUAAAAAGCUACGGAAUAAAUGGAGACUAACUAAAGGUGAGAUGACGAUAUGUGUUGGAAGUGUUUCCAAGGUUGAUGUGAUCAAGCAUCGCAUGCUCCCUCUACCAUCGAGAUUGGUGUUAAACCUAAAUAAUUGUUAUUUGGUGUUUGCAUUGAGCAUAGACAUGAUUGGAUUAUGUUUAUCGCAGUAUGGUUAUUCAUUUAAGGAGAAUAAUGGUUACUCUGUUUAUUUGAAUAAUACCUUCAAUGGUCUUGCACCUAAAAUGAAUGGUUUAUUGAAUCUCGAUCGUAGUGAUACACAUGAUCAUGCCAAAAGAUAUAAGAUAGUAAUGAUAGUACCACAUACUUGUGGCACUGCCAUUUGAGUCCUAUUGGUAUAAAACGCAUGAAGAAGCUCCAUGUAGAUGGAUCUUUGGACUCACUCGUUUUUGAAAAGAUUGAGACAUGCGAACCAUGUCUAUUGGUAUAUAUGCAUGAAGAAACUCCAUGCAGAUGGAUCGUUUGGACUCACUUGAUUUUGAAUCACUUGAGACAUGCAAAUCAUACCACAUGGGCAAGAUGACUGAAAGGCCUCGUUUUCAGUGAGAUGGAACAAAAGAGCAACUUGUUGGAAGUAAUACAUUUGAUGUGUGCAAUCCAAUGAGUGCUGAGGCACGCAGUGAAUAUCAUUAUGCUCUUACUUCAUAGAUGAUUUGAGUAGAUUCUAAGUAUAUUUACUUGAUGAAAUACAAGUCUGAAGUAAUUUCAGAGUGAAGUAGAAGAUCGUCGUGACAAGAGGAUAAGAUGUCUAUGAUAUGAUCAUAGAGAUAAAUAUCUGAGUUACGAGUUUGGUACACAAUUAAGACAUUGUGGAAAUAUUUUCACAACUAAUACCGCCUGGAACACCAUAGUGUGAUGGUGUGUCCGAACAUCAUAAAUGCACCCUAUUGGAUAUGGUGCAUACCAUGAUGUCUCUUAUCGAAUUACCACUAUCGUUUAUGGGUUAGGCAUUAGAGACAACCACAUUCACUUUAAUAGGGCACCACGUAAUUCCGUUGAGAUGACACCGUAUGAAAUAUGGUUUAGAGAAACCUAAGCUGUCGUUUAUUAAAAGUUUGGGGCUGCGACGCUUAUGUGAAAAAGUUUCAGGCUGAUAAGCUCGAACCCAAAGCGGAUAAAUGCAUCUUCAUAGAAUACCCAAAACAGUUGGGUAUACCUCCUAUUUCAGAUCUAGAAGCAAAAGUGAUUGUUUCUAGAAACGGGUCCUUUCUCGAGGAAAAGUUUCUCUCGAAAGAAUUGAGUGGGAGGAUGGUGGAGACUUGAUGAGGUUAUUGAACCGUCACUUCAACUAGUGUGUAGCAGGGCACAAGAAGUUGUUCGUGUGGCACCUACACCAAUUGAAGUGGAAGCUUAUGAUAGUGAUCAUGAAACUUCGGAUCAAGUCACUACCAAACCUCGUAGGACGACAAGGAUGCGUACUACUUCAGAGUGGUACGUAAUCCUGUCUUGGAAGUCAUGUUGCUAGACAACAAUGAACCUACGAGCUAUGGAUAAGCGAUGGUGGGCCCAGAUUCCGACGAAUGGCUCGAGGCCAUAAAAUCCGAGAGAGGAUCCAUGUAUAAAAACAAAGUAUAGACUUUGGAAGAACUAUUUAUGGUCGUAAGGCUGUUGGGUGCAGAUGGAUUUUAAAAGGAAGACGGACAAUGAUGGUAAGUGUCACCAUUAAGAAAGCUCGACUUGUCGUUAAGAUGUUUUCCGACAAGUUCAAGGAGUUGACUACGAUGAGAUUUUCUCACUCGUAGUGAUGCUAAGAGUCUGUUGGAAUUAUAUUAGCAGUUACUGCAUUAUUUAUGAAAUCUUGCAGAUAGGAUGUCAAAAACAUUGUUUCCUCGACGAUUUUCUUGAGGAAAGGUUGUAUGUGAUGCAACCAGAAGGUUUUGUCAAUCCUGAAAGAUGCUAACAAGUAUGCAAAGCUCCAGCAAUCCUUCUAAGGACUGGAGUAAGCAUCUCAGAGUUGGAAUGUACGCUUUGAUGAGAUGAUCAAAGAUUUUGGGUUUUUACAAAGUUUAUGAGAAACUUGUAUUUCCAAAGAAGUGAGUGGGAGCACUGUAGAAUUUUUGAUGAGUAUAUGUUGUUAACAUAUUGCUGAUCAGAAAUGAUGUAGAAUUUCUGGAAAGCAUACAAGGUUAUUUGAAAAGUGUUUUUCAAUGGAAAACCUGGAUUAAGCUACUUGAACAUUGAGCAUCAAGAUCUAUAAGGAUAGAUAAAAAACGCUUAAUAGUACUUUCAAAUGAAUACAUACCGUGACAAGAUUUUGAAGGAGUUCAAAAUAGAUCAGCAAAGAAGGAGUUCUUGGCUGUGUUACAAGGUGUGAGUAUUGAGUAAGACUCAAGACCUGACCAUGACGGAAGAGAGAGAAAGGACGAAGGUCGUCCCCUAUGCUUUAGACGUAGGCUCUACAGUAUGCUAUGCUGUGUACCGCACCUGAAGUGUGCCUUGCCAUGAGUUAGUCAAGGGGUACAAUAGUGAUCCAGGAAUGGAUCACAUGACAGCGGUCGAACUUAUCCUUAGUAACUAGUGGACUAAGGAAUUUUGUCGAUUAUGGAGGUGGUAAAAGAGUUCGUCGUAAAGGGUUACGUCGAUGCAAACUUUGACACUAAUCCGGAUGACUCUGAGUAGUAAACCGGAUUCGUAUAGUAGAGCAGUUAUUUGGAAUAGCUCCAAGUAGCGCGUGGUAGCUGCAUCUACAAGAUGACAUAGAGAUUUGUAAAGCACACACGGAUCUGAAAGGUUCAGACCCGUUGACUAAUAACCUCUCUCACAAGCGAGAUAUGAACAAACCCCAUGGGUGUUGGAUUCAUUACAAUCACAUAGUGAUGUGAACUAGAUUAUUGACUCUAGUGCAAGUGGGAGACUGUUGGAAAUAUGCCCUAGAGGCAAUAAUAAAAUGGUUAUUACUGUAUUUCCUUGUUCAUGAUAAUUGUCUAUUGUUCAUGCUAUAAUUGUAUUAACUGGAAACCGUAAUACAUGUGUGAAUACAUAGACCACAACAUGUCCCUAGUAAGCCUCUAGUUGACUAGCUCGUUGAUCAAUAGAUGGUUAUGGUUUCCUGACCAUGGACAUUGGAUGUCAUUGAUAACGGGAUCACAUCAUUAGGAGAGUGAUGUGAUGGACAAGACCCAAUCCUAAGCAUAGCACAAGAUCGUGUAGUUCGUUUGCUAAGAGCUUUUCUAAUGUCAAGUAUCGUUUCCUUAGACCAUGAGAUUGUGCAACUCCCGGAUACCGUAGGAAUGCUUUGGGUGUACCAAACGUCACAACGUAACUGGGUGGCUAUAAAGGUGCACUACAGGUAUCUCCGAAAGUGUAUGUUGGGUUGGCACGAAUCGAGACUGGGAUUUGUCACUCCGUAUGACGGAGAGGUAUGUCUGGGCCCACUCGGUAAUGCAUCAUCAUAAUGAGCUCAAUGUGACUAAUGAGUUAGCCACGGGAUCAUGCGUUACGGAACGAGUAAAGAGACUUGCCGGUAACAAGAUUGAACGAGGGAUGGGGAUACCGACGAUCGAAUCUCGGGCAAGUAACAUACCGAUAGACAAAGGGAAUUGAAUACGGGAUUGAUUGAAUCCCCGACAUCAUGGUUCAUCCGAUAAGAUCAUCGUGGAACAUGUGGGAGCCAAUAUGGGUAUCCAGAUCCCGCUAUUGGUUAUUGGCCGGAGAGGUGUCUCGGUCAUGUCUGCAUGGUUCCCGAACCCGUAGGGUCUACACACUUAAGGUUCGGUGACGCUAGAGUUGUUAUGGGAAAUAGUAUGUGGUUACCGAAGGUUGUUCGGAGUCCCGGAUGAGAUCCCGGACAUGAUGAGGAGCUCCGGAAUGGUCCGGAGGUGAAGAUCGGUAUAUUGGACGAAGGGUAUUGGAGUCCGGAAUUGUUCCGGGGGUACCAGGCUAUGGCCAGCAUGUCCGAAAGGGGUUUCGGAGGCCCCGGCAAGCGUUGGGGGGCCUUAUGGGCCAAGGGGAAGAGGCAAACCAGCCCACUAAGGGGCUGUGCGCCCCUCCCAACCCCUCUCACGUAACCAGGAGAGGUGGGGGCGCCACCCCUAGGGCAGCCGCCCCUCCCGGCUUGGGGGGCAAGUUUCCUAGGGGGUGGGGGCGCCCAAACCCAUCUAGGGUUUCCCCUGGCCGCCACCUGCUCCUCUAGAUCCAUCUAGAGGGGCCGGCCCCCUCUCCCCUUCCCCCUAUAUAUAGUGAGGGGUUGGGAGGGCAGCCACACCCUUCCCUUGGUGCAGCCCUCUCCUCCUCCAACUCCUCCUCCUCCUCCGUAGUGCUUAGCGAAGCUCUGCCGGAGAAUCAUGAGCUCCAUCGCCACCAUGCCAUCGUGCUGCUGGAGUUCUCCCUCAACUUCUCCUCUCCCCUUGCUGGAUCAAGAAGGAGGAGACGUCCCCGGGCUGUCCGUGUGUUGAACGCGGAGGCGCCGUCCGUUCGGCACUAGAUCGGAUCUUCCGCGAUUUGAAUCGCCGCGAGUACGACUCCAUCAACCGCGUUCUUGUAACGCUUCCGCUUAGCGAUCUUCAAGGGUAUGAAGAUGCACUCCCUCUCUCUCAUUGCUAGCAUCUCCUAGAUUGAUCUUGGUGACACGUAGGAAAUUUUUGAAUUAUUGCUACGUUCCCCAACAGUGGCAUCAUGAGCUAGGUCUAUGCGUAGAUUCUAUGCACGAGUAGAACACAAAGUAGUUGUGGGCGAUGAUUUGUUCAAUUUGCUUACCGUUACUAGUCUUAUCUUGAUUCGGCGGCAUUGUGGGAUGAAGCGGCCCGGACCGACCUUACACGUACUCUUACGUGAGACAGGUUCCACCGACUGACAUGCACUUGAUGCAUAAGGUGGCUAGCGGGUGUCUGUCUCUCCCACUUUAGUCGGACCGAAUUCGAUGAAGAGGGUCCUUAUGAAGGGUAAAUAGCAAUUGGCAUAUCACCGUUGUGGCUUUUGCGUAGGUAAAAAACGUUCUUGCUAGAAACCCAUAGCAGGCACGUAAAACAUGCAACAACAAUUAGAGGACGUCUAACUUGUUUUUGCGGGUAUGCUAUGUGAUGUGAUAUGGCCAAAAGGAUGUGAUGAAUUAUAUAUAUGUGAUGUAUGAGAUUGAUCAUGUUCUUGUAAUAGGAAUCACGACUUGCAUGUCGAUGAUUAUGACAACCGGCAGGAGCCAUAGGAGUUGUCUUAAUUUAUUGUAUGACCUGCGUGUCAAUGAAAAACGCCAUGUAAUUACUUUACUUUAUUGCUAACCGUUAGCCAUAGUAGUAGAAGUAAUAGUUGGCGAGACAACUUCAUGAAGACACGAUGAUGGAGAUCAUGGUGUCAUGCCGGUGACGAAGGUGAUCAUGCCGCGCCUUGAAGAUGGAGAUCAAAGGGCGCAAGAUGAUAUUGGCCAUAUCAUGUCACUUUAUGAUUUGCAUGUGAUGUUUGUCAUGUUUACAUCUUAUUUGCUUAGAACGACGGUAGCAUAAAUAAGAUGAUCCCUCACUAAAAUUUCAAGAGAUGUGUUCCCCCUAACUGUGCACCGUUGCGAAGGUUCGUUGUUUCGAAGCACCAUGUGAUGAUCGGGUGUGAUAGAUUCUAACGUUCGCAUACAACGGGUGUAAGCCAGAUUUACACAUGCGAAACACUUAGGUUGACUUGACGAGCCUAGCAUGUACAGACAUGGCCUCGGAACACAAGAGACCGAAAGGUCGAACAUGAGUCGUAUAGUAGAUACGAUCAACAUGGAGAUGUUCACCGAUGAUGACUAGUCCGUCUCACGUGAUGAUCGGACACGGCCCAGUUGACUCGGAUCACGUAUCACUUAGAUGACUAGAGGGAUGUCUAUCUGAGUGGGAGUUCAUUAAAUAAUUUGAUUAGAUGAACUUAAUUAUCAUGAACAUAGUCAAAAGGUCUUUGCAAAUUAUGUCGUAGCUUACGCUUUAGUUCUACUAAGAUAUGUUCCUACAGAAAAUUUAGUUGAAAGUUGAUAGUAGCAAUUAUGCGGACUGGGUCCGUAAACUGAGGAUUGUCCUCAUUGCUGCACAGAAGGCUUAUGUCCUUAAUGCACCGCUCGGUGUGCUGAACCUCGAGCGUCGUUUGUGGAUGUUGCGAACAUCUGACAUACACGUUUUGAUGACUACGUGAUAGUUCAGUGCGUAAUGUUAAACGGUUUAGAAUUGAGGCACCGAAGACAUUUUGAAACGUCGUGGAACAUAUGAGAUGUUCCAAGAGCUGAAAUUGGGAUUUUAGGCUCGUGCCCACGUCAAGAGGUGUGAGACCUCCGACAAGUUUCUUAAGCCUGCAAACUAAGGGAGAAAAGCUCAAUCGUUGAGCAUGUGCUCGGAUUGUCUGAGUACUACAAUCGCUUGAAUCGAGUGGGAGUUGUCUUCCAGAUGAGAUAGUGAUGGUUCUCCAAAGUCACUGCCACCAAGCUACUAGAGCUUCGUGAUGAACUAUAACAUAUCAGGGAUAGAUAUGAUGAUCCUUGAGCUAUUCGCGAUGUUUGACACCGCGAAAGUAGAAAUCAAGUAGGAGCAUCAAUUGUUGAUGGUUAGUAAAACCACUAGUUUCAAGAAGGGCAAGGGCAAGAAGGGAUACUUCAUGAAACGGCAAAUCAGUUGUUGCUCUAGUGAAGAAACCCAAGGUAGAACCCAAACCCGAGACUAAGUGCUUCUGUAAUGAGGGGAACGGUCACUGAAGCAGAACUACCCUAGAUACUUGGUAGAUGAGAAGGCUGGUAAGGUCGACAGAAGUAUAUUGGAUAUACAUUAUAUUAAUGUGUACUUUACUAGUACUCCUAGUAGCACCAGGGUAUUAGAUACCGGUUCGGUUGCUAAGUGUUGGUAACUUGAAAUAAAAAGCUACGGAAUAAAUGGAGACUAACUAAAGGUGAGAUGACGAUAUGUGUUGGAAGUGUUUCCAAGGUUGAUGUGAUCAAGCAUCGCAUGCUCCCUCUACCAUCGAGAUUGGUGUUAAACCUAAAUAAUUGUUAUUUGGUGUUUGCAUUGAGCAUAGACAUGAUUGGAUUAUGUUUAUCGCAAUAUGGUUAUUCAUUUAAGGAGAAUAAUGGUUACUCUGUUUAUUUGAAUAAUACCUUCAAUGGUCUUGCACCUAAAAUGAAUGGUUUAUUGAAUCUCGAUCGUAGUGAUACACAUGAUCAUGCCAAAAGAUAUAAGAUAGUAAUGAUAGUACCACAUACUUGUGGCACUGCCAUUUGAGUCAUAUUGGUAUAAAACGCAUGAAGAAGCUCCAUGUAGAUGGAUCUUUGGACUCACUCGUUUUUGAAAAGAUUGAGACAUGCAAACCAUGUCUAUUGGUAUAUAUGCAUGAAGAAACUCCAUGCAGAUGGAUCGUUUGGACUCACUUGAUUUUGAAUCACUUGAGACAUGCAAAUCAUACCACAUGGGCAAGAUGACUGAAAGGCCUCGUUUUCAGUGAGAUGGAACAAAAGAGCAACUUGUUGGAAGUAAUACAUUUGAUGUGUGCAAUCCAAUGAGUGCUGAGGCACACAGUGAAUAUCAUUAUGCUCUUACUUCACAGAUGAUUUGAGUAGAUUCUAAGUAUAUUUACUUGAUGAAAUACAAGUCUGAAGUAAUUUCAGAGUGAAGUAGAAGAUCGUCGUGACAAGAGGAUAAGAUGUCUAUGAUAUGAUCAUGGAGAUGAAUAUCUGAGUUACGAGUUUGGUACACAAUUAAGACAUUGUGGAAAUUGUUUCACAACUAAUACUGCCUAGAACACCAUAGUGUGAUGGUGUGUACGAACAUCAUAAAUGCACCCUAUUGGAUAUGGUGCAUACCAUGAUGUCUCUUAUCGAAUUACCACUAUCGUUUAUGGGUUAGGCAUUAGAGACAACCACAUUCACUUUAAUAGGGCACCACGUAAUUCCGUUGAGAUGACACCGUAUGAAAUAUGGUUUAGAGAAACCUAAGCUGUCGUUUAUUAAAAGUUUGGGGUUGCGACGCUUAUGUGAAAAAGUUUCAGGCAGAUAAGCUCGAACCCAAAGCGGAUAAAUGCAUCUUCAUAGAAUACCCAAAACAGUUGGGUAUACCUCCUAUUUCAGAUCUGGAAGCAAAAGUGAUUGUUUCUAGAAACGGGUCCUUUCUCAAGGAAAAGUUUCUCUCGAAAGAAUUGAGUGGGAGGAUGGUGGAGACUUGAUGAGGUUAUUGAACCGUCACUUCAACUAGUGUGUAGUAGGGCACAAGAAGUUGUUCGUGUGGCACCUACACCAAUUGAAGUGGAAGCUUAUGAUAGUGAUCAUGAAACUUCGGAUCAAGUCACUACCAAACCUCGUAGGACGACAAGGAUGCGUACUACUUCAGAGUGGUACGUAAUCCUGUCUUGGAAGUCAUGUUGCUAGACAACAAUGAACCUACGAGCUAUGGAGAAGCGAUGGUGGGCCCAGAUUCCGACGAAUGGCUCGAGGCCAUAAAAUCCGAGAGAGGAUCCAUGUAUAAAAACAAAGUCUAGACUUUGGAAGAACUACUUGAUGGUCGUAAGGCUGUUGGGUGCAGAUGGAUUUUAAAAGGAAGACGGACAAUGAUGGUAAGUGUCACCAUUAAGAAAGCUCGACUUGUCGUUAAGAUGUUUUCCGACAAGUUCAAGGAGUUGACUACGAUGAGAUUUUCUCACUCGUAGCGAUGCUAAGAGUCUGUUGGAAUUAUAUUAGCAGUUACUGCAUUAUUUAUGAAAUCUUGCAGAUAGGAUGUCAAAAACAUUGUUUCCUCGACGAUUUUCUUGAGGAAAGGUUGUAUGUGAUGCAACCAGAAGGUUUUGUCAAUCCUGAAAGAUGCUAACAAGUAUGCAAAGCUCCAGCAAUCCUUCUAAGGACUGGAGUAAGCAUCUCAGAGUUGGAAUGUACGCUUUGAUGAGAUGAUCAAAGAUUUUGGGUUUUUACAAAGUUUAUGAGAAACUUGUAUUUCCAAAGAAGUGAGUGGGAGCACUAUAGAAUUUUUGAUGAGUAUAUGUUGUUAACAUAUUGCUGAUCAGAAAUGAUGUAGAAUUUCUGGAAAGCAUACAAGGUUAUUUGAAAAGUGUUUUUCAAUGGAAAACCUGGAUUAAGCUACUUGAACAUUGAGCAUCAAGAUCUAUAAGGAUAGAUAAAAAACGCUUAAUAGUACUUUCAAAUGAAUACAUACCGUGUCAAGAUUUUGAAGGAGUUCAAAAUAGAUCAGCAAAGAAGGAGUUCUUUGCUGUGUUACAAGGUGUGAGUAUUGAGUAAGACUCAAGACCUGACCACGACAGAAGAGAGAGAAAGGACGAAGUUCGUCCCCUAUGCUUUAGACGUAGGCUCUACAGUAUGCUAUGCUGUGUACCGCACCUGAAGUGUGCCUUGCCAUGAGUUAGUCAAGGGGUACAAUAGUGAUCCAGGAAUGGAUCACAUGACAGCGGUCGAACUUAUCCUUAGUAACUAGUGGACUAAGGAAUUUUGUCGAUUAUGGAGGUGGUAAAAGAGUUCGUCGUAAAGGGUUACGUCGAUGCAAACUUUGACACUAAUCCGGAUGACUCUGAGUAGUAAACCGGAUUCGUAUAGUAGAGCAGUUAUUUGGAAUAGCUCCAAGUAGCGCGUGGUAGCUGCAUCUACAAGAUGACAUAGAGAUUUGUAAAGCACACACGGAUCUGAAAGGUUCAGACCCGUUGACUAAUAACCUCUCUCACAAGCGAGAUAUGAACAAACCCCAUGGGUGUUGGAUUCAUUACAAUCACAUAGUGAUGUGAACUAGAUUAUUGACUCUAGUGCAAGUGGGAGACUGUUGGAAAUAUGCCCUAGAGGCAAUAAUAAAAUGGUUAUUACUGUAUUUCCUUGUUCAUGAUAAUUGUCUAUUGUUCAUGCUAUAAUUGUAUUAACUGGAAACCGUAAUACAUGUGUGAAUACAUAGACCACAACAUGUCCCUAGUAAGCCUCUAGUUGACUAGCUCGUUGAUCAAUAGAUGGUUAUGGUUUCCUGACCAUGGACAUUGGAUGUCAUUGAUAACGGGAUCACAUCAUUAGGAGAGUGAUGUGAUGGACAAGACCCAAUCCUAAGCAUAGCACAAGAUCGUGUAGUUCGUUUGCUAAGAGCUUUUCUAAUGUCAAGUAUCGUUUCCUUAGACCAUGAGAUUGUGCAACUCCCGGAUACCGUAGGAAUGCUUUGGGUGUACCAAACGUCACAACGUAACUGGGUGGCUAUAAAGGUGCACUACAGGUAUCUCCGAAAGUGUAUGUUGGGUUGGCACGAAUCGAGACUGGGAUUUGUCACUCCGUAUGACGGAGAGGUAUGUCUGGGCCCACUCGGUAAUGCAUCAUCAUAAUGAGCUCAAUGUGACUAAUGAGUUAGCCACGGGAUCAUGCGUUACGGAACGAGUAAAGAGACUUGCCGGUAACAAGAUUGAACGAGGCAUGGGGAUACCGACGAUCGAAUCUCGGGCAAGUAACAUACCGAUAGACAAAGGGAAUUGAAUACGGGAUUGAUUGAAUCCCCGACAUCAUGGUUCAUCCGAUAAGAUCAUCGUGGAACAUGUGGGAGCCAAUAUGGGUAUCCAGAUCCCGCUAUUGGUUAUUGGCCGGAGAGGUGUCUCGGUCAUGUCUGCAUGGUUCCCGAACCCGUAGGGUCUACACACUUAAGGUUCGGUGACGCUAGAGUUGUUAUGGGAAAUAGUAUGUGGUUACCGAAGGUUGUUCGGAGUCCCGGAUGAGAUCCCGGACAUGACGAGGAGCUCCGGAAUGGUCCGGAGGUGAAGAUCGGUAUAUUGGACGAAGGGUAUUGGAGUCCGGAAUUGUUCCGGGGGUACGAGGCUAUGGCCAGCAUGUCCGAAAUGGGUUUCGGAGGCCCCGGCAAGCGUUGGGGGGCCUUAUGGGCCAAGGGGAAGGGGCAAACCAGCCCACUAAGGGGCUGUGCGCCCCUCCCAACCCCUCUCACGUAACCAGGAGAGGUGGGGGCGCCACCCCUAGGGCAGCCGCCCCUCCCGGCUUGGGGGGCAAGUUUCCUAGGGGGUGGGGGCGCCCAAACCCAUCUAGGGUUUCCCCUGGCCGCCGCCUCCUCCUCUAGAUCCAUCUAGAGGGGCCGCCCCCCCUCCCCUUCCCCCUAUAUAUAGUGAGGGGGUGGGAGGGCAGCCACACCCUUCCCUUGGCAUAGCCCUCUCCUCCUCCAACUCCUCCUCCUCCUCCUCCGUAGUGCUUAGCGAAGCUCUGCCGGAGAACCACGAGAUCCAUCGCCACCAUGCCGUCGUGCUGCUGGAGUUCUCCCUCAAGUUCUCCUCUCCCCUUGCUGGAUCAAGAAGGAGGAGUCCCCGGGCUGUACGUGUGUUGAAUGCGGAGGCGCCGUCCGUUCGGCGCUAGAUUGGAUCUUCCGCGAUUUGAAUCGCCGCGAGUACAACUCCAUCAACCGCGUUCUUGUAACGCUUCCGCUUAGCGAUCUUCAAGGGUAUGAAGAUGCACUCCCUCUCUCUCGUUGCUAGCAUCUCCUAGAUUGAUCUUGGUGACACGUAGGAAAAUUUUGAAUUAUUGCUAUGUUCCCCAACACCGGUCCUCCGAUCCGCCCGCCGCCGCGCCCCUACGCCGGUUCGAGGACUUCCCUGUCCUCCCCCGGACCCGGCAGCCGACGAAGUCCUACCUCGGGGUCCGGCAGCGGCGGUGGGGGACGUGGGUCGCCGAGAUUACAGACCAAGAGACCCACACCCGCCGGUGGCUCGGUAGCUUCACACGGCCAAGCUCGCGGCCAUGGAGUACGACCGCUGGAAGGUCCGCUACCACAGGGCGGCGGGUAGGCUCAAUUUCCCCUUCGGCACACGUCCGGUCCACCUCGUUCCGCCGGAGCCAGGGGUGGUGAGCUCGGGUAUGGCGCGGGAGGACCGCGAGGCGUGGGAGCGUUUCGAGGCCGAGGCCGCCGCCGAGGCCUACAUGCAAGAGCUCCGCCGGCAUCACCCGGAGCUCGUGGAGGCGGAGCGGGCGAUCUUUGCCGGUGCGGAGGGCGGCGAGGUUAUCACGCUCUCCUCUGAUGACGAGGUCGAAGGCAGCGCGGAGGGCGUCGAGGUGGGCCCCCAGGACGAGGAGAUCGACAUCGACGAGUGGAGGAGUGCCUUCCCCAUCGACCUCGACGACGGUACUGGCCCGGACCCGGCUCGCGGCACACCGUACAUGACAAGAAGGAUUGGCUCGACCUCUACUUCGACCGAAAGUAGUUUAGCUUAGUUAAAAUUUAUGUUUUAUGUUCUGUUAUGCAAAAAUAUCUAUGUUUAUGUUUGAAUGCAUGCUACUUUCGGUUGAACCUGCUUUGAACUUGAUCAAAUUGAAGUUUACAACCUUAAGUUUAGGGGAUCAACUAGAAAAGGCCAAAAAUUGCUGGAGUAUAUAUAUAUCCACUAAGGGUUUUAGUCCUUUAAACUUUUUAAGGACCGCCUAGAGAUGUCCUUAUGACUUGUUUAUUUCAGUUCUUCACAAUGUGAUGCUCUAUAUGUGCAACUAUUUGCUCUGCAGUUCAAUUUCAUCAAUAACAGUUUCAACAAUACCACUAUGAAUUACGAUAUUUGGUUGCUGUUAAGGAUAUUGCAGUUAACAUGCCUUUUCGUUUUUCAAUUGUUGUUUAGCAACAUGCAUUGUAGUGAAUGACUAAAUAUGCAAUCCCAGGCUACAUAGCAACAAGGAAGAGUGUUACCUUAAUGUUCUGAUGAUGUCUAGAUAUACAUGUAAUAAAAUCUUAUAUAAUGGGAUGGAUGGAAUGUUGUACUACAUCAUUUUUCAAUUGUUGUUUAGCUUCUAAUAUUAACUUGGUGCUUUUAGGUACAUAUAUCAUUGCCAAAGAUCCACACUUCGACCCUUUCUGCGCAUGGGGCAAUGAGAUAUUCAUGAACCAGCAUCUAGUGAGGAAACUGAUAAAGAUUGUAACUAAAAUGGGUCAAAAGAUGUCAAUCGAACUAUUUGUUUACACUUUAUGCAAGACAACAGUGAACUGCAGGAUGGUAAGUAAGAACCCUGUAGCCUUCUUUUUACUGCCCGUAAUGAGUUGUGUUAGGUGACAAUAUCUGAAUCUUUUUUCUUUUGCAGUGGAUCCUGAAGCAGUUUACUCAAGAUUACCUCUCAAACUACAUGAUUGGCGGCCGACCAUCACAAGGGGUUGGACUAGAGUCCUGCAUGCCGCAUCCAGGAGAGCACAAUAGGGCCAUUCCGCUUCACCUUGUUCAGCAACUGGAAUGUCUGUCGCCUCUUUCUUUACCAUCUGUAAUAGUACAAGUAUAGAACCUUGGUACAUCAUUCUUUAUUUGGUGCUUCUGUAAUUAUUAAACAUAUGUACCUGUGAAUUGAAUAAUGCAUUGGUUGUUUGAACCUGAUGGAUAUGAAUAAAGCUAUAGCCUACUUUCAAGUUUAAAUUAGGUACAAUUUUAAAUAGCAGCAAUUAAAUUAGCGCGAAAUUACGUAAUGCAGGUCAUUACGGCACACACGGUUGGUAAAACACAAACGUUUACGAUAUACACCAUAAUCCGAGAUGGUUCACAGAGAGGAAACGUGUGCAAGCAUGCACACAGUUGCCGUUCGCAAAGCGUGUGUGAUGUCAGACACUAUCACAUACGGUGCGGGAAAACUAAAUGUGUGUGAUUGUCUACCUAUCGUACACGGUUUAUAAUCAUGGACUGUUUGUGAUGUGCCAGACAUCGUAAAUCUCCCAUGCUUGGAAUCUGCCUAGAAUCUGCCUGGAAAGCACCGUGCCUAGAAUCUGCCUGGUUUUAGGCAGAACCACAAAACUCCGACUGCGAUGGCAAUGCGAGCACAAACGAGUAGCAAUGAUGAAGUGUUUGGGAUAUUCGAGAUAUCGGAAACGGUUAUAUAGGGACAACUGUAUGCAUCAAGGCUCCCUAUCCCCGACGGUUUCUGGGUCGUGUGGGAAGGACCCCCCUAUCGCCCACACUCACUUGGCGACGGUUCCAAAUGCCGUCGCGGAAAGGGGUAAAAACCGUUUGUUUAGGACCGACGCGCACCAGUGGCUGAAGAAUUUGCAAACGAACUAGCCUGCCUAGUUCUUGGGGUAUUGGCCCUGAAAGUUGAUUACCAAACAGGCACAAAGUGUUUAGUCGGGUCAGAUUUCCAAUGGUUUUUGGUAUCAAACCGCUUAAGGUGCUGUUGCCCAGCUGUAGAAUUUGUAGGUUGACAAGGUUUCCUAUCUCCUCAUGAAUGGGCCCUGAUAUCAUGUUUUGGUGAAUGAGAAGAUAAGUUAACAUUGUUAGGUUACCCAGAGACGCAGGGAUAUGUCCUGUGAGUCUGUUAAAUGAGAGCUCAAGCAGCCUGAGACUUUGUAGGUCACCAAUCUCGUAAGGAAUUUUGCCUGUGAUCUGGUUGUGGUGAAGGUUAAGUACCGAAAGUGCUGUUAGGGAGCCGAUACUAGCGGGUAGUGCACCACGGAGACUGUUAUUAUGCAGGUCAAUCUGUGGGAGGAAUGGAAGAGCCGAGAAGUUUGAGCUCACCAAGCUGGCCAUGGAUGCCAGCAUCCGGCAGGGAGAUGUUGGUCACCACCCAGGGCAUGCGGCGGCCAUGCCGAAUAGCCGUGCACACGAUGCCCGUCUAGUUGCACGGGCUGGUGUUUUCCUGCCAAGAGCUCAUCUGCAGUGGUGGGCUUGCAAGUGUAGCUUUCCAGUGGAGGAGGGCCAUGUGUUGAGACCUCAGUGAGAUCCCUCCAUGGCUCGCCGCAUGUGCUUCUUCCAAUAGAAGAAGGCAUGGCACCAGCAGUAGGCAGAGGUACAACAUAGGUCUCAUUUUGCUGCCUAGUGUUUGCAUCUGGAAUUCGAGAAUGUGUUUGGUUGGGGGAUGUGAUUCAAUACAUAAUGCAACUACAUUGAUGAGUAUAUAACCAGCAUGUCUCCCAAUUUUAAGAGCUCCCCAGUCAACACACACCAGUUGAGUGGAGACGUUUUUUCGAAAAGAAGUUGAGUGGAAGCUGCACAACAGCUGAGUGGAGGCUAUUUUUUUCCCAAAAAGGAGUUGAGUGGAAGCUUUUUUUUUCUUUACUUUGGCAGCUGCUGCCGGGCUACCUGUUUUUCGUCUUCAGUGUCGCCUCUUUUUCUUUCCUCAUGGCCGUGGAAUUUAUUUUGAAAGCAUUUGAAGGCAGGUGUAUAAGGGUACCCACAGCGUACAUAUACUGAUAAUACCUUUCCGAAUUCUCCUCCGUCUACAACUUAUGCACUCAAUGAACUUGAGUUAACAUUGCAGUAGAGUUUUCAUUUGAUAGUAUCUCCUGUGAUUUGUUUGACAGUAUUUCUUUGUUUAUUUGAUCAUGUAACUUGUAACUGCUUCAGUUAUGGCCACUCCAUGAAGACAUUGGACCAGCUUAUCUUGAGCUAUAUAUUCUCUAAAGUUUAACUCUUAUUCGCUUUUCAGCUAGUAUAUAGAACGUAAGAUUUAGCUCAAGGAUUUGUGGCGCAAUGCAAAUUGGGGGGAAAUUUCCGUGCUGGAAUUUUAUCGAUGUUAAAAAUAAAGGUUUGUAUGUUGAAUUUUGGUCAAUACAAAUCCUGGACCCCAAGUCUUGUUGGAAGUCAUACAUCUGAGUAAAAAAUGAGGUACAACCAAGCAACAUCAUGGCCACACUGACUGAAGAAAAGUUCCAGGCUCAAGUGGGUUGAUUAGCUAAAUUUCUACUACUAGCGCUUUCUGUACGUGAUUGCCGUGUAACAUCCAACACGCCCAUAUGCCCAGGCAUGUACCCCUUGUAAUUUACAAGUAGUGAAAACUGUGCAAAUUAUUACUGUUGCUUCCAUACUUCUUUGGUAGCUCAUAGCAGUGCAUAAAGAUGUACAGUACAAGAUAGCAGAAAAGGCAGUAGGCACUUAUGCAUGCGGCGAAGAAGCACAGUAAUUCGAGGGUAUCUUCAAUGCACCUCUCAUAACUUUGAAAAGGAUACUUCCAUCUAUUAAUCAUUAGACAAUAUGUUGUUCCAGGUCAGUCAGUCUCUUAUGAGUAUACACAUAUAUGGAACCUUGUCUCAGAGCAAAUGACAACUUUGUCUCAGACACGACUAUUAUUAUGUUUAGCCUGGUGGACUGCAAGUCUUGUUGGAAGUCAUGUCUCGCAGGAAAAUAAGCAAUUCAUGGCCUGUACAACCGGGCAGCAUCAUGAUCACAUUUGACUGAAGAAAAGUUCCAACGCGCUCGAUUCGGUAAACUUCCACCACCGGCGCUUUCUAUGGGUGUUCAUAACAUCCAACACGCGAAUAUACCCAAGUAUGCCCCUUUGUAAUAUACGAGUAGUCCAUAGUUUGCAGAAAGCGGCGUGAUCCAAGUAUUGAUCUCGGCGUUAUAUUCUGAAAUAUCUAGGGUUCUAGUAGCUGUAGAUUGCAUAACCUCCUUACGGGCAACUGCCAGCCAUAUAUAGCCCCGGUAUGGCAAUACCCAUGUCGGUACAUUCAUCAUUCGGGGGAAGGAGUUUGGACCGAGUUGGUGUGCAACAUUUUGGCCGCCUCCCACUUAUCCCACAUGGAUUCCUAAUUCAUCAGAUGGAUAAUAUACCACCUUGGUUGGUAGUGUUCUACUUCUACCUAGGUUCCCUUCCCCAUACUUGGGCCGAUACGGGUCCGAUCAUAUGGUCUUUGCUUCUUUGAGGUUUCAUUAAUUUGAUUUACUAUCGUCACCUAGCUCCUGUCAGAAGUGUACGUGUUGGGAAUGACUUAAGUGCGCGCACUAGUGCAGAACCGGGCUUUAGUACCGGUUCGUAAGGCCCUUUAGUGCCGGUUCUGCAACCGGCACUAAAGUGUGGGGACUAAAGCCUCCCCUUUAGUACCGGUUCAACACGAACCGCCACUAAAGGGCCACCACGUGGGACUAAAUGAUUUUUUUUGAAAUAAAGCAAAAACAGCCCACCUACUGGGCCGGCACGGCCUGCAUACGACUAGAAACCCAACCUCUAGUUGGGCCAGGAUGCAGGCCCGUACGGCCCAGUAGGCCCCACAGGGCAGAAGACUUGCAAUAGGCCCACAAAGGCCUGCUUAGAGAGGAGCUCGACACGGUAGCCGCGGCGGGGCUUAUAAACCGGUGCGAGCUCCUCUCAACUAGCGAGGUGGGACUAAACAUUGUGCACUAUGGGUGGCAGCGCACCCCUUUAGUACCGGUUGGUGGCACGAACCCGUACUAAGGGGGGGGGGGGGGUCUUUAGUACCGGUUGGAGCCACCAACCCGUACUAAAGGCCACCACCUCUUUAGUACCGAUUCGUGGCACGAACCGGUACUAAAGGUUCGUCACGAACCGGUACUAAUGAGCGCCGCCCGCCUAGCCAUUGGAACCGGCACUAAUGGUCACAUUAGUGCCGGUUCAAUUACAAACCGGGACUAAUGAGCUUCACAUUAGGCCCUUUUUCUACUAGUGGCGGUGAAAACCAAUAAUUUAAUAAACUAGGGACGAUGGUGUAAUCAACAUCAAGACCAAGUUGGAACAAAAUGAAUGAAAUAAGGUACAGUAUUUGACAAUUAAGUAACAUAUGUUCUAUUUAUGAUUCCAAAUGGCGACACAACUUUUGUUAUCAACCAACACAACCACUUGGUCCACCAUAGUUGAACAUAUAACCCUUCUUAUAUUGGAGAAAUAAAUUAUUUGCUCUAUAACAAUCUGGCCUAUCAACUAACUUGACCAUGGGAAUGCCAAAGAGGUCGGAAGAAUGACCAUUUGGAUUGUAAUUCUGAAUGUGCUUGAAGUACGCAGAUUUCUUAUCGUCAUAAUCGGGGAAGUGGCCGCUACCCAUUGGUGGACCAUGUGCAUUCUUGAAGUAAUUCACGAAUCCAGUCAACACUACUAGAAAAACGGCUAUAGCUAAUAUGGACAUUAAUGGCGCACCAUGUAUGUGGUGCGCCACUGAUAUAUAGCAGUGGCGCACCAGAUACAGGUACGCCAUUAUUGACAUAUGGCGCACCUGGUGUGUGGUGCGCCAUUACUAGUUUUGAAAAAAAAAAUUGUUAGCAGUGGCGCACCAGGGGAUAGUGCGCCAUUACUAGUUGACAUAGUAAUGGCGCACCUGUACAAAGUGCGCCAUUACUAUGUGUAUGACUGGGUCAAACCUUGGUCAAACUUAGUAAAGGCGCACUUUGUGUAGGUGCGCCAUUACUAAGUGCGCCAUUACUAACUUUGACCAAGUCAUACACAUAGUAAAGGCGCACUUUGUGAAGGUGCGCCAUAACCAAAUGCACCCCCCUUGACCGCCUUUUCAGUUUAAAAAUAAAAUAAAAGAAAAUGAUGAAAAUGUCAAAAAACUAAAAGAAAAUAAGUUUCCCACGUGAUAUGUGGUCUAGUUAUUGGGAAAAUUUACAAAUAUGAAUUUUGACUUUAUUUGCAAAAUCUCUCUGGAAUUUAGUAAAAUGGGCAUAACUUUUGCAUAUGAACUCGGAUUAAAAAGUUUUUAUAUGAAAAAUCAUCUACUCGACAAGUUUUUUAUAUGGAACCCCGUUGAAGAUUUUCAGAAUCCCCAAAAACCUAACAGAAUAAAAGAUACGGGGCUUUUAAGAUCUAGAGGGGGAAAAAUGGAAAAAAAAUUCAAACUUAGUAAUGGCGCACCAUUUGCUAGGUGCGCCACUAGUAACAGAAAAAAAUUGGUUUCGAUUUUUUUUUGAAAAAUGUUCAAAAUAUGAUACGUAAUAUGACCGGGAAGUUUGAAAUAUUUUUUCAAAAUUUCAUCACACUCAUGAACAUGAACAAAGUCAUAGACAUCAAUAAGGUUUAAUAGGAUUGAUAUGAUAGAUAUAUCAACAAGUGCCUGUUAAGUGAGCUGGUCCUGGGGUUGGAUAGAACCGAGAAGUUAAGCGUGCUCGGGCUAGAGUAGUGUGAGGAUGGGUGACCUUCCGGUUGUUUGACCAUGGAGUGCGAUUUGACUCGAGAUUAAGCCAUAGUGACCCGAUAUUAAGAAAAAAACGAAAUUUUUUUUGUUUUUUUUUUAAAAUUGAAAAAAAAAUUCUGGAAAAAAUUUGAAUUUUUUUUUAGUAAUGGCGAACUUCUAUGUGGUGCGCCAUUACUAAGUCAGAUAGUAAUGGCGCACUUCUAGGCAUAGUAAUGGCGCACCAAAUGUGCGCCAUUACUAUUUGUUACUAGUGGCGUGGUAAUAGUGGCGCACCUAUAUUGCGCCAUUAAUGGCAAAAAUAGGUGCGCCACAUUUGGUGCGCCAUUACUAUUUGUUACUAGUGGCGUGGUAAUAAUGGCGCACCUAUAUUGCGCCAUUAAUGGCAAAAAUAGGUGCGCCACUAACAGGCCUUUUUCUAGUAGUGCAAGGCUUGUAUACGUGGUGUUCCGGGGCAAAGCUUAUUUGAAGAAUGUCCCAAGAAUGAUGGUUUUUGUAAAUCGUGACGGUACACAACCCAAUCUCUGGAAUUUCGAUCCUGUAGUCAACAACGGAUUGAUCACAUCAGUGAACAAUAAAUUUCAUGUACGAGAAGAGUAGAGAACAUGUUAUUUGCAAGAAUCUUUGGUGGCGUACAAUUUCCUAGAUUCCAAUGUUCCAUAUUUUCUUAAUAAAUACAAAGCAUGGUACUUAGUAAACAUGUGAAUUUAUGCCUAACUAAUUUUAACAUUCAUAAAAUCUAUCUUUGUUAAUUUUAAUCCUCUAUUCUUAAAUAGUUGCAAUCCACUACCUAUUUUUCCUAUUCAAGCAGCCAUGCCACGUCAAUAAGUCAUACAUGUUAGUUAUAAGUGUACUUUCCUUUUCUAUGUGUGCUUGUUUUUCCUAUCCAUGCAGUCCUGCCACGCCAGCAAGUCAUGCAUGUCCAUCAUAAAUUACUGUUUUUGCAUUUAUUUUUUGUUGUCAUGAAUGGAUUAUAUGUUGGAUACUCUGAGGAUACCUUAUGCAGUUCAUGUUUCACAUUUUUGUUAGAAAAAUGGAAUUCUGUUAACUACAAUCCAACCUUUUUCUCUUUUGUAGUUGCUCUUAUAGCAUCUAUUUACGUGAUUCAUUCGAUGAGGUUGCUGCAGGAACGCGCAUGUAUCAUCUACUUAUUGUAGAAGUAGUAGCACAUUUGUGAAUUUUUAUAGAUAUGGUAAUCUCCAGAAUUGGACAAAUGGUGCACCUUGUUGAGGCUAAGCCUAACGUAGUGGUCUUGUUCGCCAUAAAUUGAUGGAGGAGCCAUGGCUUGUCCACGCACUAGAUUAGCUCGACUUGCAGGAACAAAUCCUGGGCACUGCAAGUUGUAGCAUCUCUUCGAUUUUGUUUUUUGAUAGAAAGACUGUAAGGGAACCCCCUACAGUAUAAUUGGUGCAACAAACCCAAAUUGCAAGUACUAUGCCUUGAACCUGGGUGGGUGGGAAGGCAUCAACCCCUCCCCACAACUAGGCUAUGCCUUAGUCUGCCCCCUUCGAUUUUGUUAGGGCAUAUUUCUCCCUUAAUGAUUUUGGUGAUUGAUGACAAUGCGUUUACGGACUAAUCAUGUGCAUUGAGCAUUUCCGAUAUUCAUCUAUAUGGCACGAGAUGAUUUCUACCCCACGUUGUUUAAAGUGAAGACGGUGUAGUUCUCUUUCGUUUCAGUUUUGGUGGACUUGAGUCGUAGGAGAUACCGUACUAUCAAGAGGGGGUUCGUAUCGAAAAGGCUAGGGUGGAAUCAACACGUACACAUCCCCUUUGCACCCCCUAAUCUUUCCUGCAUCUUUGGAGGAUCCUCCGUUAUCUUGGAAGUGGGCAAGAUAGGGAAACCGCGGUAGUAACGCGGCUCCGAGCGGCAGUACCGCCUAGAACCACAUGAGGUAGUACCGCUCUGUCACAACGGUACUACCGCCCAGGGCUCCAGGCAGUAGUACCUCUCUGGUGCCGUGCUAGUGCCGCCUCGAUUCGAGAGCGCCGCUUAUCGUGUCGGGAUGGGCGAUAGUACGAGCGGCAGUAGGGGCGGUAGUACCGCUCGUAAGCGGUAGUACCGCCCUACCACCGCUUCUAGUACCGCUCAGGGGCUCUCUCUCCCGCCCCUUCUCCUCUCUCUCUGUGCGCAGCACCAGCGGUACUACCACUGGGCCAAGCGGCAGUACUACUGCCUCGAGCGGUCGUACCGCUCCCAUGAGCGGUAGUACCGCUCUAUGCGGGCUGAGUUGUGGGAUAACGGUUGAAUUUGAUUCCCCACUAUAUAAGGAGGUCUUCUUCUCCAAGAAGACUUACCUCUCCCAUUCCUAAACUCUAUUGUUGCUCCAAAGCUCAUUCUCGCCCGAUCUCUCUCCCUAGCCAAUCAAAUUUGUUGAUUUUCUAGCGAUUGGUUGAGAAGGCCUCGAUCUACACUUCCACCAAGAGAAAUUUGAUCCCCCCACUAAUCCAAGCACUACAAGGAUUCCGGUCUAUUGCAACAAAAUUUAUUGCUACAACUACGUUUUGUUGUAAUAAAACACAAUAUUACCACAAAUUCUCCGCUUGUGGUAAUAGGCUGCACAUUUUGCCAUAACUUAGCUUCGUCGCGAUAAAUACUAACUUUGUUGCAAUACAGGCCUCAUAUUGCAACAAACUGUAUCGACGUUGCAAUAUGGUAGCGGUAUUGCGACAAACAAAUUCUGUUGCACGGGGGCGGUCAUUUUGUUGUAAUAGAGACUAGGUAUUUCAACAGAAUAACUAUUCGUGGCAGUAUUCGAAAAGAUAUUGCAACACCGGCGUGACGUUGCAUUAGUUACAAAUAUUGUAGCAAAAAAGUGGCUACCUAUUGCAACAAACUGCAUCGGCGUUGCAAUAUGGUAGCGAUAUUGCGACAACCAAAUUUCGUUGCGCGUGGCAACCAUCUUGUUGUAAUAGAGACUAGGUAUUUCAACUGAAUAACUAUUUGUGGUAAUAUUCAAAAAUAUAUUGCAACAUUAGUGUGACGUCGCAUUAGCUACAAGUAAAACAGUGGAAAAAUAUAUUAUUCAAAUUUAUAGAUAUUAAGUUAUGAUUUUUGCAAGCUUUAAGGAGUAAUUAAAAUAUAUUUUAAUUGCACCAAUUUCAAUUAACCAAAACAAUGGGAAAAGUUUACAAAUGGAUAGAACACACUUUCUUGAUAGGAAUAUAUAUUUAAUUUGUUAAAUUUGGAUUUGAAAUGACCAAGUUGUUGCCAUUCUAAAACUAGGGUGUUUUCUGCCAAAACAGGGACUUGUCAGAUCAAAACCAAAAAUAGAGGGGGCCUGGUGUGAAAAUUGCCAGAUCCAGAUCUGUAGCUGAAUCUGAUCGAGGACUUCUAUAGCCGCAACCGCUGACCUGCGGGCCCAUGACCUCGCUGGGGCUGACUGGCGCGGGAGGCAUCCACGGUGACCUCCAGGGGCGAUGACAAGUGGGGCCGACCACCGCGCAGUAACCAAAAAAAUGUGGAGGACUUCGCUUGCGCAGGGAUUCGAACGCUCGUCCUCGGUGUUGCAAAUGUUGGUGGACGCACUGGGGUCUCAUGUAAAUAGCUGGUACCGUCCCUAUCAAGAAUUCAGCUACCGGUGAGUAGUGUCUCUUGUCCAUUUAGUGGUUUGUGUCAUUAAGUUGAUUUUAAAAGGCUGAAUCAUAUGGUUCGCUAUACUCUGAAUAAAUUCUAUGAGUAUGGUAUACUUAUUUGGUUAUUCAUUGCAACUUGGGAAGGCUCAAUCAGGGCCGGUUCUAUGUUUUGGAAGGCCCUAGGGCAAACUCAGACGACAUGGCCCCGAAGUCCUAAAAUUACACAUUAGAACCCUAAUCAUCUGCAUUGAAUCUAGCGAUGGAUGAAUUACUUGUGAAAGGCUGGACAAUGAACUCGUGGCCGUAGUCUCGCGGAUGGCCGGACGUGAGGGCCAACGCAGCGCGACGGCGGCACUCCAGGUCGCCGGCAAGGGCGCAUGGCAGCGGCGCAAGACCUAGCCAACGAAGAAUCCCGAGCGACGGCCGACGGUUGAGGAAGAGACGAAGGCAUAAAGCGAUGCGAUUGAUGCGUGCGGCCGGCCGACUUCACCUUUUUUUUGAGGGGUAGAACUAAAUUUUAUUCAUCAAACUCCACAACAUGUGAGAUACGGUUAAGAUCAUGGGAUUGGCCAAACCAGAAGUGGCGUCCCGGAUCCAAAGACAAAGAAAAUUUAGCUAAGCUCUGAGCUUCUACAUUCACUUCCCUACGUUCAAAAGUAAAGAAACAUUGAAAAGGUUCUGCUUGACUACGGAUCUCACUAAUGAUAGCACCGUAUCUUCCCCGAGCGUCCUUGUUGAUGUCUGAGAUAACUUGUUUUGAGUCCGAGGCCACGAUGAAGCUUUGUAGAUGCAAGUCCUCAGCGAGUGCAAGGGCCUCGCGGCAUGCGAUCACUUCGAGGGUGGCUGGAUCGUCAAGCCCUGGGAUCACCAAAGAUGAGCUUGCUAUGAAGUUCCCUUGUCUGUCCCUGCACACUGCUGCAGCUGACCCUCUUUUGCCCGGACGAACUCCCGCGUCCACAUGAAUCUUUGCGAAACCCGGUGGUGGGAUCUUUGGUAGUCGUCUAGGCUCUCUUGGGGGCACAACAGAAACUGAUGGGCGGCUUUCCUUGCACAUGUCAAGCUCAGCUAUGAAUCUUCUGAUGAAUAAAUGAGUCGCUUGAGGUGAGUGAAACAUGCCCUCGUGUAUCGCUUGGCGCCUAGAUGACCAUAUUGCCCAUAAAGUUACAGCGAUGAGCACGGACUGGUGAUGCUGCAAGGAUUCCAUGAGGAUAAAUAGCCAUUGCUUUGCAUUCGGUUCUGUCGUGCUAAGCAGCUGCUGCGCUAGCUCCUCAUCCACCAGUGCCCAAGUACAUCUCGCGACGGUGCAGUUGAUGAGAGAGUGCCUCCACGAGUCCUCCGCCCCGCAAAGUCCGCAGCAAGAAGAGUCCGUCAUUUUUCUGUGGGAACACACAUCUUCCGUUGGGAGGGAAUGCUUCGACAGGCACCAGAGAAACAUGCUUAUCUUGGAAGGAACAUGUGUCUUCCAUAAAAUUUUCCAGGAGCUUUCUUCAGCCGACGUACUCGAGGAGGCAGGACGUUCUUCAAGCCAUGCUUCCCUAAGUUGGAUUGUUGAGACCAGCAUCCGGUAGGCUGAUCGGACCGAGAAGUUUCCUUUGUUUUCAAAAUGCCACGACCAGAAAUCGCUGAUAUUUCGGGUGCAAAUAGGAAUCUGAAUAAUUGCCUGGAUGUCCAUCGGCAUGAAAACCUGCUGCAGCCUUUGCAUGUCCCAUGAUGCAUUUGUGGAGUUGAUCAGCUCCGAGACAUGCACCAGAGGGUUAGGAAUCAGACUUCCGUAGGGUCUAAGCAUGUGAUCGCGAGGGACCCAAUUAUCCGCCCAUAUGUCAGUCGUUUCUCCAUUGCCGAUUCUUCUGAUCAGACCCUGUUUCAAGACGUCUCCGCCUUCUACAACAGCUCUCCAAAUCUGACUCGGAUGUGAGCCCAAGGGUGCAUGCAAUAUAGAGGUGUUAGGAUAGUACACACUUUUUAGAAUCCUUGCACUUAGAGAUUCCUGGUUCUGUAGCAGCCGCCAGGCCUGCUUGGCUAGCAGCGCCAGGUUGAAGAUCUCAAUAUCUUUGAAACCCAGUCCCUCAUUCCUUUAGGAUGUGUCAUAGUUUUCCAAGAAACCCAAUGUGGUUUCCUUUUACCUUCCUUGCUUCCCCACCAGAAUUUUCUUAUCAACAUGUUCAAGUGUUUCGCACAAACCUCUAGGUAAUUUGAAGCAUGACAUCGAGUAGAUCGGGACUGCUUGGGCCACAGCUUUAACUAGUACUUCCUUCCCUGCCAUCGACAUGGUGUUCUCAAACCAGCCCUGGAUUUUAUUCCAAAGGCGGUCCUUCAAAUAUUUGAAUGCUCCGUUUUUUGAGCUCCCAACAUCAGAUGGCAACCCCAAGUACUUUUCGUUGAGGGUCUCAUUGGGACAUUCAAAACAGACUUAAUAUCAUUCCUUGUGCUUUCAGGCACACCCUUGCUGAAGUAGAUAGAAGAUUUUGCAUAAUUCACCCGCUGCCUCGUGGCUUGACAAUAUGUGUCCAAGAGCUGGUUCACCUCAUUAGCACCCGUACUAUUUGCCUUAAAAAACAGCAGGCUGUCAUCAGCGAAUAAUAGAUGGUUCACAUGCGGUGCAGAAGCUGCCACUUGUAGACCACAUAAGUUGGAUGACUCUCUUUGAGAUUUUAAGAGGCACGAAAGGCCCUCUGCUGCUAGCAAGAACAAGUACGGGGAAAUGCGGUCCCCCUGUCUGAUUCCUCGUGAUGGUGAAAGUUCUUCGAGCUUUGUCCCAUUAAACAUAAUUGAAAAUUUGACCGUAGUCACCAGGCUCAUUAUAAUACUCACCCAUCUUUCCGUGAACCCGAGCUUUAGCAUGAUCGCUUUCAGAUAGGGCCACUCAACCCGAUCAUAUGCUUUCAUCAUAUCAAGUUUGAGUGCACAUGACUGGUGUUUCUUAGCCUUGUUUCUCUUCAUGAAGUGCAGACAUUCGUAAGCUAUGAUGAUAUUAUCCGUGAUCAACCUUCCUGGGACAAAAGCUGAUUGCUCCUCUGAAAUUAUCUCCGGUAAAACUAGCUUGAGACGAUUGGAGAUUACCUUAGAUGCUAUUUUGUAAAGAACGUUGCACAAACUUAUUGGUCGGAACUGUGACAGUUGUGCCGGGUUCUUCACUUUUGGAAUUAGGACCAGUAUGGUGUCAUUGAUGCAUGAGGCUGACUCUCUGCCAUCAACUAUUCUUAGUACUGCCUUGGUUACAUCUGAACCACACACUUCCCAAUGACGCUGGAAAAAGUGGGACGGAAACCCGUCAGGCCCCGGUGCCUUAGUGUGGAACAUCUGAAAUAGAGCACAUUUGACCUCCUCUGCAGUGUACGGUGCAUUAAGCUGGGUAUUCAUGGCUGCUGUCACCUUGCACGGAACCGUAGACAAGACCCGGUCCAUAUCCGAGACGCCUUCAGAGGUAUACAUAUUUUUGUAAAAGUCCCUGGUCAUAGUCUCCAUUUCAACUGGGUUGUCUGUCACCUCGCCAUCCGGUCUUUCCAAGCUCUUGAUUUGAUUUUUUCUCCUCCGCUUGCUAGCACGUAGAUGAAAGAAGUAAGUAUUUUUAUCCCCGUGCAAUAACCAUUCUAAUCUUGCCCUUUGGCGCCAGAGGAUUUCCUCGCGGUGGUACAGUUCCACCAGGCGGUCCAAGAUUUUUGUCUCUUCUCUGCAUGGUCCAGAUCGUCCUUGGAUCUCCCGCAUCGCCUGUAGCUCCUUUCACAGCUUCGCUAUCUCCUGGCGUACGUUGCCGAACUGGGUUCUGUCCCAUGUAGUGAGAUUCCCCGACAAUGCAUGCAUUUUUUGUCGCAACUCGUCAACUGUUUCCCCGGGAGUCUGGGCCCAGCCGGUCUCUAUCACCGUGGACAACGACGGUUCCCUCUCCCAGCAAAGCUCGUACUUAAAUGGCCGGGGGACCCGCCUGCAUGUGGAGUCAUGCAAACGUAGAUGGAUCGGUACGUGGUCGGAAGUAGCUGCAAUUUUGUGCUCAAGGAUCGCGCCGGGGAAAGCAAGCAUAGCUGCUGGGCUGGCCACACAACGAUCCAGUCUCACUCUUGUGUACGAUCCGCCUGCCACCUUUUUUCAAAAGUCCAUGGGGUUCCCUUGUAGCCGAUGUCCGUAAGGCCACAAGUAUCCAGCGCGUCCCGAAAAGCAUCCAUCUGCGCCUGACUGCGAUUCCCCACACCGUCAUGUUCGUGCAAGUGUAGCACUUCAUUAAAAUCUCCCAAAACAAACCAAGGCAGAUUAUUUGCUCCAACUAUCCCUCUCAGCGUGUCCCACGUCUUGUAUCUCUCGGGAACUUGUGCUUCCCCAUAGACAAAGGUUAGCCUUGUUUUUGUUUCAACCAUAUCAUCCACCGUCACAUCAAUAUGAUACUCUGAGUAGCUCACAACUUCAAGAUUUAUUUCUUCAUUCCAGAAAAUACCAAGACCCCCACUUCUACCACUACUACUCACAGCAAAACUUUUAUUAAAACCAAGUGAGCCUACCAAAUUCUCAACUCUCGAUCCCUCUAUUUGGGCUUCAAGGAUACAAACUAUAGAGGGGGCAAGUUGCCUCGUCAUAUCACGAAGCUCGCGAAUUGUCGCGGGCUUGCCGGCCCCGCGACAAUUCCAACAUAGAAGACUCAUUGCGCUAGGCGCGACUCCCCUAGGGAGCCCGCCAAACGCGCAUCAAGAUUGUUGGUGGUAGCUGUGUUCUUCGUCGGGGUCGGUGGACUUGGUUUGUUUCUCUUUGGGUCCUGCUUCGGCGGAGGGCUGCUGGGGUUCUCAGUUGGCAGCAGGAGCAACAUAAUGUUUCCCUGCUUAGCAGAAACUGGGACAAUCUGGUUGUUCUUCAGGUCUACCCCUGCCGGUGCUCCCCUUUUCUUGCUCCCAUCUGCAUCAUCCAUUGCCACAUCCCUGCCUGUGUAUUCGCUGCUCUCUUCCUCAUGAUCAUAUGAGUUGAACUGGGAGCUUGUGCGUCCACCGCCUCUACCCCCAUGGCCUCUGCCUCGUCCACCCCUUGUUCCACUUCCUUCUCCCGGCCCUCUUCCUGGACCUCUGAACCAUGUAGCCCUUAGGUCCUUGAAGACCAACGCUUUCGGGGUGUGAACCCCGUCUCCACACUCCUUGAACAGAUGCCCAAGGUUUCCACAAACAGCACACCAAUCCGGUAGCCUUUCAUACUUGACUCUGAAAAUUACUCGUUCUAUUGAAUCCUUCUUUUUAACCACUAGCGAAACCGCGCUCUUGAGAGGCUUGGUGACGUCAAUCCUCACCCGGUCACGAACAAAAUUACCUUCAAAGUCCUGAGAUUUUGGUUCCGCAAAUAUGAAUUCUCCCACUGUUGAUGACAGGGCUUUAACCUUUGAGAAGAAACCAUCAGGAAUAUCAUGGAUUUGGAUCCAAAUAUCAACCUUGUUGAGCUCCACGAGCGAUGGUUUUGUGAAUCCGUCAUAUGCCUCCAGAACGACUGCCUUCCCUUUCUACUGGCAUGGUCCUUUCCCAUCACCCGUUCCCAGUCACCUAGGCAUGCAAAUUGGAGCGUAUUGAGAUUAUCCUCAAGGGGUCUGAACUUCACCUCUUGUGCCAGAUCCCAAGCCACCCUCAUGUAUCUGAAGAACCAAUAUUGACUGUAGGGUUUGUCGGUGUGAACCCUAGCGAGGGCCAUCCAUCUAGUCGCCUCCUUAGGCAACUCGUCAUCCUCCACUACAACAUCCUGUAGAUCUUCUUCCUUCAAUCCUAGCUCCUCCAUCAUUGCUUCGAGGUCGGUGAUGGCCUGUCCCGAGCUCGACGCAGACUUGUCCAUGGUUUCCUCUGGCCCGGGGGGUGUUGCGUUCCAUGGGCGGUGCUCGUUCCGUAGCGAUCCCGAUCCCCGCGGCUCGCCGGCGGAGAGAGGGGCAGGGGAGAUCAGAUCUCUACGGCAAGGGCGUCGCCGUCGCCGAGAGGAUACAAAACCCUAGCGAGAGGGGAAAAAAUGCGUGCCGGCCGACUUCACCUAGCGCUAGCAAUCAGCCAAAGGCAAUUGGGCCUCCUUUUGUUCGUUUCCUCCCUUAUAUUUUUCCUACCUAUUUGCUUGCUGGGCUAUACAUUACAUGCAUAGCAGAUUAUGGGCCCCUCCCCAGGCCUGGGCCCUGGGCGGUCGCCUCUCUGGCCAUACGCCAGCGGAAACCCUAUUUGCCGUUCUCUGCAUCAAAAAUAGGCGAAUCCUAUUGGACGCCCGUGUGCGGCAAGCUGUUUCCGUUCGCGUGCAUGUUGGGCCGGCCCACUACGGGUUCGCUGCUGUUUCUUUCGUUAGUUUUGUUUCUUCCACGUUUUGGUUUUCUUUGUUGUUUUUUUUUCUGGUUUUGUUCCGGUUUUCUUCUUAUAGUUUUGUUUUUGUUUCUUCUGGUUUGGUUUUCUCUUGUUUCUCUUCUGGUUUUUGGUUUUUGUCCUGUUUUCCUCUUUUGGUUUUGGUUUUUUUCUUUCGGUUUUGUUUUUUUCAACGAAUAUACAAAUGCUCAAUAUGUUCCUUAAUUUUGUUCAAUGUUUAUAUAUUACAUAAUGUUCAGUGUGUAUUCGUAAAUUGUUCAACGUUCUUUUACAAAUGUUCAGUGCGUAUCAGAAAAUUGUUCAGCGUGUAUAUUCAUAUUUUCAAAAAUGUUCAUCGUAUAGGAGCUCUCUCAAAAAUAGUCGGGGUUACGCACAGGUUAUCCGCCGAGCGCUCCGGAGUGGGCUGACCUGUUUAGCGUUUAACUCAUACCGGUUUUGGGAAACUUCUAUGCUACUCCUAGCCGGUUUUUCCGAUUUUGCGAACCAUCUAGAAGGUUUCUAAGUCGGUUUUCUCUUUUUAUAUUUCUUUUUCGUAUUUUAUUUUUGUUUUUUGUUUCCUUUUUCUGUUUCUUUUUUCUUUUAUUUACUUUUUAUUUUCUUUCUUCUUGCCAAUUUGUUUUUAACAAAAUCUUUCAGAAAUUUUAGAAAAAAUAAUUUCCAAAAAAAGUUCAAUCUUUUAGAAAUUUUCCUAUUUUCAAUUUUUUUGUUCAGAAAUUUCAUAAAAGUUUACAAUUAUAAAAAUUCUUUGCUUAAUUUUGGAAAUAUUCUAAGUUUUAAAAAGUCAUCUCAAUUUUAAGUUUUGUUCACAAACAAAUGUUCGGUUAAAAAAAUAUGUUCCCAUUUUCAAAAUUUGUUGAUAAUUUUUAAAAUUUGUUCACAAAUUCAAAAAAUGUUCGUGUUUUAAAACUAUGUUCACAAAUUAGAAAUUGAUCAGGAAUUAAUUCUUUCCUCUUUUUUGAUAUUGUUCACAAAAUUCGAAAAAUGUUCUUGUUUUCACAAUUUGUUCAGAAAUUCAGAAAGGGGAAUUCUAAAAAUUUGUUCCUGUUUUCUAAAAUUAUUCACAAAUUUAACAAAUGUUCAGGUUUCCAAAUUUGUUCACAAAGUAAAAUACGUUCAAGAAUUUCAUAAAAAUGUUCCUGUUUUCCAAAUUCGUACAGAAAUUCCGAAUUUUUUUCAAUUUUUAAAAAAUAUUACAAAGUUGAAAUUCGAAGAGCGGGCCGUAGCGCCGGAAGGUCCUCCACGCACGGGACUUGGAUCCGGUGCUGCGAGACUUGGCACCGCACUUGCGUGUGCACCUCCCGUUGCCUGUCCGACACGCAAAAUUAUACAACACAGACACCUACAUCUAUUUUGAAUGCAAAACUUGACGAGCACUAUGCAAGGCUUAUGCAUUUGAGCCUGAUAUGUUUACCACCUUUGAUAUUCGUCCCGAAGAUGAUAUUGAAGGUAAUAAAGACAUCUGGGUCGAUGUGCAGACGCCUCCAGUUAUACCAUUAUGUGAGUUUCUCAACCAUAUUUAUGUCUUCGAUAUUGUUUAUUCAAAAAUAGUUGACAACUAAUUUCUAUUGACAGCUUAUUUCCAUUCAAGCAAACAUAUCAGGCGCUUGGUAUACAUGACCGUCCACUGUCCCGGGGCUGAACUAAACUGCGAGGAGAUAGGUCAUUAUGUUUCAUGGCUUGAGGAUCUUCAUAUUGUGAAGACAAAUUAUUUUUCUGGACAUAAAAAUCUUAGUACUCAAAACGUGCGACCAAUAGUGUUCGUACUGAACUAUGGCAACAUCUAUUUAGGAAAGAUGGUAAGAUUUUUACUAUUUGUCCUUACUGCAUCUUUUGCAUACAUUAUUUUUAAGCUAAACUUCAUUGCUAAGUAUGUUACUAUACGAUGUUCGUCAACGGGGACUCCCCAUGAAUGUUGUGCCUCAUUGGAUCGAGACUAAAGGUCGCAUGGGAAUUGUUAGCUUACGGCCAUGAUAUCCUACAAUGCACUUAGUGCAUACAGGAUUUCUAAUAGCGAGUAAUGCUUAAUAGUGAAAGACUGGAGCAAAAUUGUGAACGAUCGCAGAGAAGUACUAGGGGCAGCAAUCAGAAGCGCAGCCCAUGAUUAGGAGACAGGUUCGUCUGCAUGCUCCAACUUGAUGAAGCAGGAGUGCUACACAUGUUUUAUGCUAUUUUACCUGAGAGAGAGAGAGAGAGCAGCAGGAGUGAUUAGCUAGCUAGAAAUGAGUUAUGAUGAUUAAAUAGGUAGUGUUGGUGGUAAUGACUAUGAUGAUUAUUAUUAGCUAGUGUUGGUGGUGAUUAGAUAGCUAUCGCAGCUAGUGUUUGGUGGUGAUUAGCUAGCUAGAAUGAGUUUGAAGAUGAUGAUGUGUAGUGUUGGUGGUAAUGACUAUGAUGAUGAUUAAAUAGCUACUGUUGGUGGUAAUGACCAUGAUGAUGAUUAAAUAGCUUGUGUUGGUGGAUUAGAUUCAAGUGGAGGCAACAUGUGGUGCACAUCGAAAGUAUUACUAGUCCGAACUAGAUCAAGUUUGGAUUAGUAGUAUACUUUUGACAUGCACCACAUGUUCCCUCCACUUAAACCUAAUCCACCUUCGUUUGACACACUGUUAUGGACAUAUUGAUAUAACAACCUCAUAAUUGGUAUUGUACCAAAAUUUGUAUAACGACGUAUAAAUACACUAAAAAUAAAAAAAAUGAGAAAAAGAAUACUAGUAGCGAUGGAGAGUAAACACGCUACUACUAGCUAUAUUAGCAAUAGCGCUGGGGUGAACAAACGCUACUGCUAUAUGUCUUAGCAGCAGCGCGUGUAGCACGCGCUACUGCUAAGGAAUAGCUGUAGCGCCUUAUCAGUAGCGCGUCCUCCCGCGCUACUGAUAGGCAAAAUACCCACGCUACUACUAGGGUUUUCCCUAGUAGUGACCAGAAGAGUAUGGUUGACGACGGGGGAAAUGUGGAUGAAGCGCCCGAGGCCGUGGAGUUGACUUCGAUCACUCGAGAUGACUUAUAUGAAGCUAUGGCCUCACUUAAGACCUCUAUGACGACCGAAGUCAAGUCCAUGCUUAAAGAAUUACUUGAGGGGUUGAAAACCACUCCUGAUCCAUGGCUUAUGGUUAAUCCUACCGCAUCGGAGUCGGAGGCCAACUUCGGCAAGGAAGCGGCUAAAGGUGCUCAAACUUCUUCCCCUCUUGACAAGAAUGGGAUGGGAACCUUUGCGUCGGUUCCCCCUCCCCCGGUCUAUUGGAGGACCGGUCCCGACAUCGCAUAUUAACAACCUUGGUCCUCCUCCUAAACUUGUAAAGGGUGAGUUUGCUAAUUGGGUUUUUCAUAUCAAGUCUCAUUUGAAUCACAGCUCAACAAACCUUUGGAGAAUCAUUGAUCAAGGCUUCUACCCUCAUGAUCCAAACAACUUUACUCCAAGAGAAGAAGUGGACAAUCAAUACAAUCACUCCGCAUUGUUCAUUCUCCAAGCCGCAGUGCAAAGGAUUGUUGGGAUCACAUUAUAGCCAUGUACAAGGGAAGCUCUAGCAUUCAACGGUCAAACUUUGAAGUGGUACUUGAUGAGUGCCAUGAGUUUGUGAUGCUAGAAGAUGAGGAUCCUCGUGAUCUCUACCGGAGGGUGACAACUCUUGCAGUGUCUCUUUAAGAUCAUGGGAGCAAGGAUGUGGAUGAUAUUUGGAUCAACGCAAGUUUCUCAAGGCCAUCAUGCCAUUCAACAAGGCCAUGUCCUCAGUGAUUCAUCAACGGCCGGAUUUCCACACUCUUUCCUCAAGUGAAGUGUUGGAUGACUUUAUUGCCAUCAACAUCAUGAACAAGACCGCCGACAAUGCUCUAGCCUGUGUGCGGUCCAAUAAAAUCUCACCCACUCUUGCCUUGAAGGCCAAGGCUUGUACGGAUGAAGUUGAGAUUGAAGAAGAGGAGUGUUGCCCCGAAGACACCAAAUAUGAUUACCAUGAGCACACUGCUCUUGCAUCAAGGCAAUUUCGGGUAAGAGGAACUCAAGACCCAACUUCUCCAAGAACUACUCAAAUGGCUCGAAGAUCAAGCGACGGAUGAGAACGUGUUUCAAUUGUGGAAACAUGAGUCACUUUGUUGUGGAUUGCCUGUAUGAAAAUCGAGAAGAAAAUGGUGGCAAGCUCAUUCGCAAGGACAAGGCCAAGCCUCUUGCAAACAAGAACAACUUUAUUAAGAAGGUGCCUCAAAAGGCAUUGGUGCUACAUGAAGAGUUUCUCUCCGAUGAUGAUGAUGGAGAAUUGAAUGGUGAAGAAAUGGCAACGACAACCUUGGCCAUUGCCACCUCUUCUUCCUCCAAGGUGUCUCUCUUCGGUGCCCCCAACGAGAACUUCAUUGCCAAGUGUCUUAUGGCUAAAGGUAUCAAUAAGGUAACAUCCAACAUGAAAACCACCAUCACUACUACGCCUUCUUUGUUAGAUUGUGUAGAUGAUAGUGAGGUGGUGAUCGGUGGUGAGAACGAGUUUAACAUGUUCUUGAGUAAGCUCAAGGGUGAAGCCAAGAAGCACUUUGUUGCUCUCUUGGAACAACUUGGUGAGGCCGAUGACAUUAUUGAGUCUCAUGAGGAUACUAUCUCCAAGUUGGAGGUCUAAAACUAAUCCCGAAGGUAGAUGUAGAGGUAGCGUGCCGACGGCGAUCACAUCGACCUUGGAACCAUUCCCGACGCACAUCGUCACCUUGUCCUUAGCCAAUCUUCGUUUAAUCCAUAGCUCCUGUUUCGAGUUACAAAUAUGAGCAACUGAACCGGUAUCAAAUACCCAGGUGCUACUACGAGCAUUAGUAAGGUACACAUCAAUAACAUGUAUAUCAAAUAUACCUUUGUUCACUUUGCCAUCCUUCUUAUCCGCCAAAUACUUGGGGCAGUUCCGCUUCCAGUGACCAGUCUCUUUGCAGUAGAAGCACUCAGUUUCAGGCUUGGGUCCAGCUUUGGGCUUAUUCCCGGGAGUGGCAACUUGCUUUCCAUUCUUCUUGAAGUUCCCUUUCUUUCCCUUUUUCUUGAAACUAGUGGUCUUGUUAACCAUCAACACUUGAUGCUCCUUCUUGAUUUCUACCUCUGUGGCCUUAAGCAUUGCGAAGAGCUCGGGAAUUGUUUUGUUCAUCCCUUGCAUAUUAUAGAUCAUCACGAAGCCUUUGUAGCUUGGUGGCAGUGAUUGAAGAACUCUGUCAAUGACACAAUCACUAGAAGAUCAACUCCCAGUUGAGUCAAGUGAUUAUAAUACCCAGACAUUUUGAGUAUGUGUUCACUGACAGAACUUUUCUCCUCCAUCUUGCAGCUAUAGAACUUGUUGGAGACUUCAUACCUCUCAACCCGGGCAUUUUCUUGAAAUAUUACCUUCAACUCUUGAAACAUCUCAUAUGCUCCAUGACGUUCAAAACGUCUUUGAAGUCCCGGUUCUAAGCCGUAAAGCAUGACACACUGAACUAUAGAGUAGUCAUCAGACGGCGUUUGCCAAACAUUCACAUCGUCUAGAUUAGCGGGAGGGGGCUUGUCACCUAGCGGUGCAUCAAGGACAUAAUUCUUCUGUGCUGCAAUGAGGAUAAUCCUCAAGUUAUGGACCCAGUCCGUGUAGUUGCUACCAUCAUCUUUCAACAUAGCUUUCUUUAGGAACGCAUUAAAAUUCAGGGGAACGGUAUUGAUCUACAACAUAGAUAUGCAAAUACUAUCAGGAGUAAGUUCAUGAUGAAUUAAGUUUAAUUAAUCAAAUUACUUAAGAACUCCCACUUAAAUAGACAUCCCUCAAGUCAUCUAAGUGAUACGUGAUCCAAAUCAACUAACCCAUGUCUGAUCAUCACGUGAGAUGGGGCAGUCAUCAAUGGUGAACAUCUCUAUGUUGAUCAUAUCUACUAUAUGAUUCACAUUCGAUCUUUCGAUCUCCAGUGUUUCGAGGCCAUGUCUGUACAUGCUAGGCUCGUCAAGUUUAACCCAAGUAUUCCGCAUGUGCAAAACUGUCUUACAUCCGUUCUACGUGAGCGUAGAGUCUAUCACACCCGAUCAUCACGUGGUGUCUCAACACGACGAACUGUAGCAACAGUGCAUACUCAGGGUGAACACUUUUAUCUUGAAAUUUAGUGAAGGGAUCAUCUAAUAAUGCUACCGCCAUUCUAAGCAAAAUAAGAUGCAUAAAGGAUAAACAUCACAUGCAAUCAAAAUAUGUGACAUGAUAUUGCCAUCAUCAUCUCGUGCUUUUGAUCUCCAUCUCCAAAGCAUCGUCAUGAUCUCCAUCGUCACCGGCUUGACACCUUGAUCUCCAUCGUAGCGUCGUGGUCGUCUCGCCAACUGUUGCUUCUACAAUUAUUGCUAAUGCAUAGUGAUAAAGUAAAGCAAUUACAUGGCGUUUGCAUUUCAUACAAUAAAGGGACAACCACGAGGCUCCUUCCGGUUGCCGAUAAUUUACAAAACAUGAUCAUCUCAUACAAUAACGUAUAUCACAUCAUGUCUUGACCAUAUCACAACGUGCCCUGCAAAAACAAGUUAGACGCCCUCUACUUUGUUGUUGCAAGUUUUACGUGGCUGCUACGGGCUUCUAGCAAGAACCGUUCUUACCUACGACACAAAACCACAACGGUGAUUUAUCAAGUUUGCUGUUUUAACCUUCAACAAGGACUAGCCACAGUCAAAUUCAAUUCAACUAAAGUAGGAGAAACAGACACCCGCCAGCCACCUUUAUGCAAAACUAGUUGCAUGUCUGUCAGUGGAACCGGUCUCAUGUACGUGGACAUGUAAGGUUGGUCCGGGCCGCUUCAUCCCACAAUGCCACUGAAUCGAAAUAAGAUGUUGGUGGUAAGCAGUAUGACGAUCACCGCCCACAACUCUUUGUGUUCUACUCAUGCAUAUCAUCUACGCAUAGACCUGGCUCAUGAUGCCACUGAUGGGAAACGUUGCAUGGAAAACAAAAAAUUUCUAUGCACACGCAAUGAUCUAUCCAUGGAGAUGCAUAGCAAUGAUGGGGAGAGUGUGUGUCUAUGUACCGUCGUAGACCGUAAGCGGAAGCGUUUCACAACGCGGUUGAUGUAGUAGAACUUUUGCGAUCCACCGACCAAGUACCAAACGUAUGGCACCUCCGAGUUCUGCACACGUUCAGCUUGGUGACGUCCCUCGCCUUCUUGAUCCAGCAAGACGUCGAGGUAGUAGAUGAGUUCCGUCAGCACGACGGUGUGGUGACGGUGAUGGUGAAGUGAUCUCCACAGGGCUUCGCGUAAACACUACGAAAAUAUGACCGGGGGAGUAAACGGUGGAGGGGGGCGCCACACAUGGCUAGGCAAUGUAGGAGAUAUGCCCUAGAGGCAGUAAUAUCAGUUAUUUUGUAUCUCCUGGUUUGUAAUGAAGGUUUAUGUUCCAUGCUAUAACUGCAAUGAUUCUCGAGUCUGCAAAUAGAACGAGGCUUGGAGGGAAACUCAUGUGCACGUGUGGGAUAAUAAACGGUAAAAUGUAUUCCUAGUCAAGCCUCUAUGACUGGCUCAAGUAUUGCAUGAUGAUCCUGUUUUCCUGAUCAUGGGCAUGACUAUGCCGACAAUUUUGAGGGCACAAUUAUUAGUAGAACACUUGUGUGGAAUCGACCCAAUUUGAUGUUAUGCUAUGAGAUACAUUCGUCACAAGUUAAUGGUUAAUAACACAGAGAAGUUAAUAUUUGCAUAAUUCCUUAGACCAUGAGAGUAUAGAGUUCCUUCAUACUUGCUUCGUGAACUUUGGGGUUUGUUAAACGUCAUCCGUAAUUGGGUGGCUAUUACGGCGGCUUACGGGUUCACGGAAAAGUAUGGCAAGGGACGAGAUAGCUCAAGAUUGGGAUUUGCUCCUCCGACGAUGGAGAGAUAUACUCGGGCCCUCUCGGUGUAACGAUAUCCAUCAUCGUCUGGCUAGACACAUUGUGAUUUGAUGACUGGGAUGCGGGAACACGGAAACGAGAAAAGAGAACAAAACCGGUAACGAGGUAACUUGCAUGGUGGACAAAUUGUUGAUCCACAGGAAUGCAAUAAAUCUCACCUCGGGUGUUUGUGACAUAUCGCAAAGCAACAGGAAUAGCUAACGGCAACUGGAGGUUCACUCGAAUAUUCAUUCGUGUGGGUAUAGGGGUCAAUAUGGGUGUCCACGGCUCCGAUGUUGAUCAUUGAUCGGAAGAGGUUCCAGAUCAUGUCUAUACUUCACCGAACCUAUAGGGUCACACGCUUAUGGGUCAUCUAUCUGCUGAAUACUAGACAGGGAGUCUGAGAGGAAAUCACCGAAAAAGUUUCGGACACCAGAAAAGUUUCAGACAACGGAAACGUUCCGCAGAGAGAGGUCACCGGAUGAGUUUCGGUGAAACCGAAAAAGUUGUUUCGGAGUAUACCAUUAAGUCAAAAUGUUUUCGGCACAUGCCUGAUAAUUCUUGGAGGGUGCUGGAAUCAUUCUGGAACCCUUUUGGAAUUUUCCGGGAUAAAAGCAGGAAAUGUUCCGGAGCUGCCGGAGCCACUUCAGAUGCGUUUCGCAGAUGAAAAUCACUAAACCAGAAUUGUUUCGGAACGCGUUGAAAAUUAUUUUAGUGGGUACUGGAAAUUUUCUAAGCCCACAUAAAUAUUUUCAGUUCGAACGGACGCUGAAAAAAGUCGUCGUGAAUAGUGAAAAUCACUUUAUGGAUAUUUUUUGGAAAGCCACCUUUUUGGGCUUUUGCAAAAAGGCUUAAGGGCUUGGGGGCCAAGGAAGCCCCUCAUGGGGGGCCCCCAAGGGGGUGGCCGGCCAAGCAUGGUGGAGCUCCAUGGAGCUCCACAUGGCAUCCCAUUUUGCCCAUAAAACCCUCAUAUGUGACCUAAAGCAUGGGUUUUUAGGUAAUUUGUGGAGGCACACCACCCCUUGGUUUUCCUAUAAAUAGAGGGGGUGAGGGCUGCCAUAUCUUGAUCCCUUGCUCUCAUACAUAUGCCAUGCAUUAUCUGGCUUCUUCUCUCCCUCCCACGAAAAGAGUUUCGUAGAGUCGUAAGGCUGUCUGGGUUCCGGCAGGAACUAGUUCUGGACGGCGAAGCCCUGCCGGAUAGCUGACACCGUAUGUGUGCAACCCCGUAGAGAGGUCGUAGUUUCGGUCUUUUGCUCGAGGGGCUGUUUGAGUGUCCUCCCGAAAGGCUGUCCGAGUCUCCGUUCGAGUUUCGAGGGUCCUCCCAAAGGGCUGUCCGCGACAUCGUCCGGGGAACUGUCCGACCGCCUCCCGAAGGGCUGUCCGGCGAGGGAGUACAUCCUCGCGGUUGGGAGGUUGUAAAUCCUAGCUGCAGGGAUCUGCACCAACGAUCUCCACCGACUCUUCUUCCGCUGCGCUUCGAGUUGGUACGGAACAGAUCAAACCUUGUAUGCAGUCUCCAUAGUGGUCCUGGGCGUGCUCGCUAUACCGAAAAUUUUCGUUUUCUGUCGCGUUCCCCAACAGUGGUAUCAUAGCGUGCUAUGCGUAGAUGCAGGUUACGAUCUAGAAUACAUGGAGAUGUAUGGGUAUUGCAUAAUAUAAUUUUGGAGUAGAUGAGAUCUAUUGCUGAAAAUUAUUUAUGUGGGUGACAGAUGAAAUCUGUUACCCGAUGUUCUUGUUGCUUCCCUAGAAUUUGCGUUUGCUCAAUCUCGAGACAGCAUGGUGGAAUUUGACAAAGUUCUGGCAAUCCAUGAUCCUUCAUGGAAGUGCUAUCAGUUCGUGGGUUCUGCCGUAGUCAAAAGAAAGAUGAAAUUUGCAGAUGAAAGGGCAUUGCAAAUAUGAUCUGCACGGGGGUCAUGCGUAUGACAGAGUUUAGUAUGGGGCUCGAGAUUUAAUUAUCUCGUGUUUCAUACACCCCGAGAUGUUAAUUUAGCAACUUGAAUAAUCAUACUUGAUGAUAAAACGUUGGUAGCUGCGGUUUAAGUCAAAACCUUAGAAGCCACGUAAAAUAAAAUUUUGCAUAAAGCGAUUAGAGGCGUCUAACUUGGUUUUGCAGGAUGCGCAUGUGAUGUGGUAUAGCAAUGCUCAUAUUCAAUUUGAUUAUGUAUUAGAUGACUAUAUGAUGUAAUUAACAUGAUCUGCGUGUCAUGAUUCGGCAUGAUGGCUGGAGCCAUAUGAUUGCACUUUAAUGACCUGCGUGUCAACCUUAAGUAAUGCAUUUAUUUUAUCCGCUAUGGAGAUAGCGAUAUUAUCUGGUGCAUCGACAAGGUGGUGGCAAUCUUCGCGAAGGUGAACACCGACGCGAAUGCCGAAGACGAAGAAAUACUUGACUUCUCCGUCAGAAGAGGCCAUACCAUAUCAUGCUAUUAUGAAUUGCCUGAGAUGUUUAUCCCUCUUGAUGCACCCUUCUUGAUUGCGCGGUAGUCGCUUUUAUUAGGGUGAUCUCUCAAAGAAAAAAAUAUAUCAAGUAGUUAGUGUUCUCCCAAGUGUAGCACCGUCAUGGCACCUAACUUUUCGGGGUAUCGCAGGAUCUCCCUGGGUACGAACGAUUAGGGAAGUGUGAGGCGGGUGAGUUGAGACCUGGCAGCAAGAUCACUUGGUUGUCUUGACGUUCUGGAAGGAUCUCCCUGAGCUCGGAACACGCCCAUCGAAAGAUGAAAAAGAGUCACAUAGAGAUGUGAUCAGCAAGUUUGCUUACCGAUUGAAUUUCGCGCCAUCAGUGUUCAUCUCGUUCAAUGGCGUUGAAUGGAUAUGCGGGUCUUGUGUCUCUCAUAAUCAAUUUUGAGAGAUAUUGAUUUGAGUGGGAGCACACUUUAGAAUAAAAAUGUUUAUUCACUAGUGCAAAUUUCAUUAUAAACAAAGUCUAAGUGAAACUUGUGUUUUCCGUUGUAGAUCAAAUGGCUCGCAACACCGCGUUCAACUUAGGCCCGAUGUUAUAGAAAGAGAAGUUAGCUGCGACUGGAAACAACUGCUGACUGGGUCCGUAACCUAAGGAUUGUCCUCAGGGAAGCUAGGAAAGACUAUGUGCUUGAUCAACCUCUAGGUGAUUCCCCUACGCCAGAAAUGGCUCAGGAUAUCAUCCACGUGUUUGACUCACGAAAGGAUGAUUUCAGUGUUGUUAAAGAACUUAUGUUAUCUUGCAUGGAUCCUGUGCUACAGAAACGUUAUGAACGACUUAGUACCUUCGAGAUGAUCGAGGCACUAAAUGUUCUGUAUCACAAACAUGAUUCAGCUGAAGUUCAUGAGAUGACUGAAGCCAUGGAAGAAUGCAAUAUACAUAAGGAAUCUCUAGUAAACGAACAAGGUGUCAAACUAGCAAACUAUUAUGAUAGUAUGGCUGAACAGGGAAUUAAUUUUCCAAAGACACCUGGUAAUGAUUUGAUCCUUACCUCGCUUUAUGAAGCGAUGCUCAAAUCAAAUGAGAUAGGACUGCAGAAUCAGCAAAAGUUGCUGGGGAACAAAACUGCCAGUUUCAAAAGGAAAGGCAAGCCUAAGGGCGGAGCCAAGGCUGAAACUGUGUGUUUUCACUGCAAAGGCACUGGACACUGGAAGAGGAACUGCAAGAUAUACAUGGCAGAUAAGAAGAAAGGUAUAACUGUUAUACGAGUUAAUGUCAUUGACGUUUUGCUUGCUUGAGAAAAUUCUAAGUCUUGGGUAUUUGAUACCGAAUCGGUUGCUCACAUUUGCAACUCGAUACAGGGGCUUCAGAGUGUGCGCAAGCUGGCAAAGAAUGAAGUCGUGAUACGCGUCGGGAACAGUGCUGGGAUCGCCGCUCAAGCCGUCGGCAUUAUGUCUCUACGUCUCCCUUCAGGAUUUAUUUUGGAACUAAGUAACUGUUAUUUUGUUCCAUUGUUGUGUAGAAACAUUAUCUCUGGAUCAUGUUUAGUGCACGAUGGGUAUUCGUACAAGUCUGAGAACAAUGGUUGUUCACUUUAUUGUAAGGAUAUGUUUUAUGGAUUUGCACCCAUUGUUGGGGGCCUUUUCAUACUAAAUCUUGAAUGUGGAAAUGAUGUCUUUAACGUGAAUGCUAAACGCCUUAAGAAGGCUGAUACCACCACCACUUUGUUGUGGCACUGUCGGCUUGGCCACAUCGGAAAGAAAUGCAUGCAAAGACUCCAUAAAAAUGGAGUUUUAUCGUCCUUUGAUUUUGAAUCAUUUGACACAUGUGAAGCUUGCUUGAUGGGGAAAAUGACCAAGACGCCGUUCACGGGUCAUCCUGAACGGGCGGGUGAAUUAUUGGGAAUAAUACAUAGUGAUGUAUGUGGUCCAAUGAACACAGCCGCACGGGGUGGGUAUUUCUACUUCCUGACUUUUACUAAUGAUUUAAGUAUGUAUGGAUAUAUCUACUUAAUGAAGCAUAAGUCAGAAACCUUUGAAAAGUUCAAAGAAUUUUAGAAUGAGGUAGAAAAUCAUCGUGACAAAAAGAUUAAGUUUCUGCGGUCUGAUCGCGGAGGCGGGUAUCUUAGUCAUGAGUUUGGCCAACAUCUGAGUGACCGUGGAAUCAUUUCACAGCUUACGCCUCCCGGAACUCCACAGAGAAACGGAGUAUCGGAACGAUGUAACCGAACCUUGUUGGACAUGGUAAGGUCGAUGAUGUCUCUUACAGAUCUACCGAUAUCUUUUUGGGGUCACGCACUAGAAACUGCCACUUAUACAUUAAACAGAGCACCAUCUAAGUCUGUUGAGACGACGCCAUUUGAAUUAUGGUAUGGGAAGAAACCCAAUGUGUCACAUCUCAAGGUUUGGGGUUGUGAAGCUUAUGUGAAACGUUUACAACCAAGCAAACUCGACCCAGAGCAGACAAAGGUUACUUUGUAGGUUAUCCCAAAAACACCAUUGGGUAUUCCUUCUACAAUCAGUCCGAGGGCAAAAUUUUUGUCGAAAAAGAUGGACGCUUUCUCGAGAAAGAGUUUCUCGCCAAAGAAGUGAGUGGUAGGACAGUACAACUUAAUGAGAUUAGUGAAUCUUCAGCAACCGUUGAUAUGGCUAAAGAACCGGAAGAAAUUCCGUUAAUUAUCCCUACAACUGAGCCGGAAGUUGUCGCAUAUGAUGCGGAGACUUCAUACAAUGUUGUAACUGAACAGCGCAGAUCAGGUAGGGCUAUCCAGCCACCGUAAUGGUUUCAUAACGAAAUCUUCAUUCUUGAAGACGAUGAACCUGCGCACUACAAAGAAGCGAUGGUGGGGCACAGCUCAAAAGAAUGGCACAAAGCCAUGAGAUCCGAAAUGGAAUCCAUGUACGAAAACGAAGUUUGGAACUUGGAAGAACUUCCAGAAGGCGUAAAGCCGAUUGGUUGUAAAUGGAUUUUCAAAAGAAAGACGGACGCGGAUGGUAACAUUACUAUCCACAAAGCUAGACUUGUCGCGAAACGGUUCACGCAAGUUCCAGGAGUGGACUACGACGAGACUUUCUCGCCCGUAGCUAUGCUUAGGUUUGUUCGGAUAUUGCUAGCAAUUGCUGCUUAUUUCGACUAUGAGAUAUGUCAGAUAGAUGUCAAAACGGCUUUCCUAAAUGGAAACCUCAAAGUGGAUGUAUACAUGAUACAUCCAGAAGGUUUUGUCAUUCAUGAGGAUGCUGGAAAGUUAUGCAAACUUCAGAAAGCCAUUUAUGGUCUGAAGCAAGCAUCAAGGAGCUGGAACAUUCGUUUUGAUGAAGUGGUCAAAGAGUUUGGCUUCAUCAGGAAUGGCGAAGAAUCUUGUGUUUACAAGAAGUUUAUUGGGAGCGCAAAAGCAUUUCUAAUCUUGUAUGUGGAUGACACAUUGUUGAUUGGAAAUGACGUGAAUUUUCAUAGCGAAAUAAAAGACUCAUUGAAAAAGAGGUUUUCAAUGAAAGACUUAGGCGAAGCGGCAUACGUAUUGGGCAUCAGAAUCUAUAGAGAUAGAUCAAAACGCCUGAUAGCGCUUAGCCAAAGCAUGUACAUUGACAAGGUGUUGAAAAGGUUCAACAUGGAGAACUCCAAGAAAGGCGUACUCCCCAUGUCACCUGGCACAGUGCUUUGCAAGAAUCAGAGUCCUCGGGCUCUGGAUGAGCGAGUACAAAUGAAUGAUGUUCCAUAUGCCUCGGCAGUUGGUUCUAUUAUGUAUGCCAUGCUAUGUACAAGACCGGAUGUUUCCUAUGCGCUAAGUGUUAGCAGCCGGUACCAAAGUGAUCUAGGUUUGGAACACUGGGCCGCAGUCAAGGGUAUUCUUAAGUACCUCAGAAGGACCAAGGAUUUACUCCUUGUGUACAGAGGUGAUGAAGAGCUCAUUGUAAGUGGUUACACUGAUGCAUGCUUCAUGACUGACCCAGAUGACUUCAAAUCUCAAUCAGGCUAUGUUUUCAUAUUGAACGGUGGCGCAGUUGAUUAGAAAAGUUCCAAACAAAAGACUGUGGCGGAUUCUACGACGUAGGCGGAGUAUGUUGCUGCUUCAGAAGCCUCCAAGGAGGCGGUAUGGAUCAAGAAAUUUCUUGAAGACCUUGGUGUGGUUCCAAGUGCUCUGGACCCGGUGGAGAUCUAUUAUGAUAAUAGUGGCGCCGUGGCUCAGGCAAGGGAGCCAAGUUCGCACCAUAAGACAAGACAUAUUCAACGCAAAUAUAAACUCAUUCGACAUCAUGUCGAAGAGGGUUUAGUGAAAGUACGCAAAGUUCACACGGAUUUGAAUGUGUCAGACCCGAUGACGAAGCCUCUACCACGAGCAAAGCAUGAGCAACACCGGAUAGCCAUUGGUGUUAGGGAGCCAUGUAACAUGACUCUAGUGCAAGUGGGAGUCUGUAGGAGAUAUGCCCUAGAGGCAGUAAUAUCAGUUAUUUUGUAUCUCCUGGUUUGUAAUGAAGGUUUAUGUUCCAUGCUAUAACUACAAUGGUUCUCGAGUCUGCAAAUAAAACGAGGCUUGGAGGGAAACCCAUGUGCACGUGUGGGAUAAUAACGGUAAAAUGUAUUCCUAGUCAAACCUCUAUGACUGGCUCAAGUAUUCCAUGAUGAUCCUAUUUUCCUGAUCAUGGGCAUGACUAUGCCGGCAAUUUUGAGGGCACAAUUAUUAGUAGAACACUUGUGUUGAAUCGACCCAAUUUAAUGCUAUGCUAUGAGAUACGUUCGUCACAAGUUAAUGGUUAAUAACACAGAGAAGUUAAUAUUUGCAUAAUUCCUUAGACCAUGAGAGUAUCGAGUUCCUUCAUACUUGCUUCAUGAACUUUGGGGUUUGUUAAACGUCAUCCGUAACUGGGUGGCUAUUACGGCGGCUUACGGGUUCACGGAAAAGUAUGGCAAGUAACGAGAUAGCUCAAGAUUGGGAUUUGCUCCUCCGACGAUGGAGAGAUAUACUAGGGCCCUCUCGGUGUUACGGUAUCCAUCAUCGUCUGGCCAGACACAUUGUGAUUUGAUCACUUGGAUGCCGGAACACAGAAACGAGAAAAGAGAACAAAACCGGUAACGAGGUAACUUGCAUGGUGGACAAAUUGUUGAUCCACAGGAAUGCAAUAAAUCUCACCUCGGGUGUUUGUGACAUAUCGCGAAGCAACAGGAAUAGUUCACGACAACUGGAGGUUCACUCGAAUAUUCAUUCGUGUGGGUAUAGGGGUCAAUAUGGGUGUCCACGGCUCCGAUGUUGAUCAUUGAUCGGAAGAGGUUCCAGAUCAUGUCUAUACUUCACCGAACCUAUAGGGUCACACGCUUAAGGGUCAUCUAUCUUCUGAAUAAUAGACAGGGAGUCUGAGAGGAAAUCACCGAAAAAGUUUCGGACACCGGAAAAGUUUCGGACAGCGGAAAAGUUCCGCAGAGAGAGGUCACUGGAUGAGUUUCAGUGAAACCAAAAAAGUUGUUUCGGAGUAUACCAUUAAGUCAAAAUGUUUUUGGCACAUGCCUGAUAAUUCUUCGAGGGUGCCAGAAUCAUUCUGGAACCUUUUUGGAAUUUUCCGGGAUAAAAACAGGAAAUGUUCCGGAGCUGCCGGAGCCACUUCAGAUGCGUUCCGCAGAUGAAAAUCACUAAACCGGAAUUAUUUCGGAACACGCUGAAAAUUAUUUUAGUGGGUACUGGAAAUGUUCUAAGCCCACAUAAAUAUUUUCAGUUCGAACGGACGCUGAAAAAAGUCGUCGUGAAUAGUGAAAAUCACUUUAUGGAUAUUUUUUGGAAAGCCACCUUUUUGGGCUUUUGCAAAAAGGCUUCUAGAAGGGCUUGGGGGCCAAGGAAGCCCCUCAUGGGGGGCCCCCAAGGGGGUGGCCGGCCAAGCAUGGUGGAGCUCCAUGGAGCUCCACAUGGCAUCCCAUUUUGCCCAUAAAACCCUCAUAUGUGACCUAAAGCAUGGGUUUUUUUUGGUAAUUUGUGGAGGCACACUACCCCUUGGUUUUCCUAUAAAUAGAGGGGCUGAGGGCUGCCAUAUCUUGAUCCCUUGCUCUCAUACAUAUGCCAUGCAUUAUCUGGCUUCUUCUCUCCCUCCCACGAACAGAGUUUCGUAGAGCCGUAAGCCUGUGUGGGAUCCGGCAGGAACUAGUUCUGGACGGCGAAGCCCUGCCGGAUAGCUGACACCGUAUGUGUACAACCCCGUCGAGAGGUCAUAGUUUUGGUCUUUUGCCCGAGGGGCUGUUCGAGUGUCCUCUCGAAGGGCUGUCCGAGUCUCCGUUCGAGUUUCGAGGGUCCUCCCGAAGGGCUGUCCGCGACAUCGUCUGGGGGACUGUCCGACUGCCUCCCGAAGGGCUGUCCGGCGAGGGAGUACAUCCUCGCGGUUGGGAGGUUGUAAAUCCUUGCUGCGGGGAUCUGCACCAACGAUCUCCACCGACACUUCUUCCGCUGCGCUUCAAGUCGGUACGAAACAGAUCAAACCUUGUAUGCAGUCUCCAUAGUGGUCCUGGGCGUGCUCGCUAUACCGAAAAUUUUCGUUUUCUGUCGCGUUCCCCAACAGGCAAUUCUCUGGGGUGUUCUAGGGCGCCCCUCCCCACAUAUAUAUAGGUGGGAGGGAGAGGGGAGGCAGCCAGGAGGCGCCCAAGUAGGCCGAAUCCUACUUGGGGUGUUCCCAUCGCCGGUGCCCCCCUGCCUUAUUUGCCGGAGGGGGAAGGAAAGAGGAGGAGGGAGAAAGGGAAGGGGGAGGCCGAACCCCCCUUUCCUUUCCCUCUUCCCCUCUUUCCUUCUCCCCCUGGUUCGGACCAUGGGGGCGCACCAGCCCCUGGUGGCUGGUGCAUUUCCCCUCUUGGCCCAUAAGGCCCAUAUCUUUUGCCGGGGGUGUCCGGAACCCGUUCCGGUGACCCGAUAUGUACCCGGUACCCUCCGGAAUACUUCUGGUGUCCGAAUACUAUCAUCCUAUAUAUCAAUCUUUACCUCUCGACCAUUUCGAGACUCCUCGUCAUGUCCGUGAUCUCAUCCGGGACUCCGAACAACAUUCGGUCACCAAAUCACAUAACUCAUAUAAUACAAUAUCAUCAUCGAACGUUAAGCGUGCGGACCCUACGGGUUCGAGUACUAUGUAGACAUGACCGAGACACCUCUCCUGUCAAUAACCAGUAGCGGAACCUGGAUGCUUAUAUUGGCUCCUACAUAUUCUACGAAGAUCUUUAUCGGUCGAACCAUUAUGACAAGAUACGUAAUUCCCUUUGUCCAUUGGUAUGUUACUUGCCGAAGAUUCGGUCGUCGGUAUCUUCAUACCUAGUUCAAUCUCGUUACCGGCAAGUCUCUUUACUCGUUCCGUAAUACAUCACCUCGUGACUAAAUCCUUAGUCACUUUACUUGCAAGCUUAUGAUGUGUAUUACCGAGAGAGCCCAGAGAUACCUCUCCGAUACUCGGAGUGACAAAUCCUAAUCUCGAUCUAUGCCAACUCAACAAACAACUUCGGAGAUACCUGUAGAGCAUCUUUAUAAUCGCCCAGUUACGUUGUGACGUUUGAUAGAACACAAGGAAUUCCUCCAGUACCCGGGAGUUGCAUAAUCUCAUAGUCGAAGGAAUAUGUAUUUGACAUGAAGAAAGCAAUGGCAAUAAAACUGAACGAUCAUUAUGCUAAGCUAACGGGCGGGUCUUGUCCAUCACAUCAUUCUCCUAAUGAUGUGAUCCCGUUAUCAAAUGACAACACAUGUCCAUGGUUAGUAAACCAUAACCAUGUUUGAUCAACGAGCUAGUCAAGUAGAGGCUCACUAGGGACACAGUGUUUGUUUAUGUAUUCACACAUGUAUUUAGGUUUCCGGUCAAUACAAUUCUAGCAUGAAUAAUAAACCUUUAUAACGAAUAAGGAAAUAUAAAAUAAGAACUUUAUUAUUGCCUCUAGGGCAUAUUUCCUUCAAGAUGAUGCUUUCGAGGACCUUCUCCUUGAAGAACUCCUUCCAAAUAGGUACAUUAUUUGCGUACAAUUUCUGAAAUUUUUGGUCCACAAAUUUUUUGUCAAGAAAUCUUCACAAGAUUAAUAGCAACUACUCAUAAGCAUGCUUAGAGGAGGUAUCAAGCAUUCAAACUAUUUAGAACUCUAAGAAUUCAACAUCCAAGCUCAUCUACAGCAGCACCAAGAGUAGAUAAUUAUUCAAAAUAUAAACCACUAAAGCAAAAACUAAAUGGAGCAAUGGAGGAGUCACAUAUCAAGCAACAAUCCCCCAAAACAGUUUCAGAAAUGGAGCUUCGAGCAAAGAGAUCGAAAUCCGCGGGUUUGAGAGCAAGAACACGAGAGAGAGAGAGAGAGAGAGAGAGAGAGAGAGAGAGAGAGAGAGAGAGAGAGAGAGAGCAAUAUUGAUUAUUUUCUGGAGGUAGGUGAUGAAGUGUCCUAAAGAGAUAAGUGAGGGGGCCCAUGUGGGGACCACAACCCACAAGGGCGCCCCUGGGCUGUUGGCGCGCCUAGGUGGGUUGUGCCCACCUGGUGCACCCCCCUUCGAUGUUAUUUGCACAAGAAAUUCAGAAAUAUUCAGAAAAAAUGGUAUCAAAAUUUCAGGACAUUCUGAGCACUUUUAUUUUUGGGUUAUUUUUUUAUUGCACGGGAAAAUAGUAAACAGAUAAAGCAUGACAUUUUAUUUUUAUUAAACUAGGAAAAAUAGAAAAUAAAAGGUAAGUACAGAAGGUACAGCCUACUAAAUUCAUCAACUUCACACCUCUCAAAAAAUGAUCCAUUAAUAAGGUUGAUCAAGUCUUAUUAUCAACCACUUUUGAUUAGUGAUGUCGGUUGAGAUGCGUCGUUGUUUCCCCAAGGAAUAAGGGAGAUGUAGCACAACAACGGUAAGGUAUUUCCCACAGUGAUGAGACCAAGGUUAUCGAACUAGUAGGAGAACCACACAACACCACGUAAACGGUACCUGCACACAAAUAACAACUACUUGCAACCCGACGCGUUAAAGGGGUUGUCAAUCCUUUCGGAUAGCGGUGUCAAAAAGUGACGUAAAGAUAGGAUAAAAUUGUAGUAGAUUGAUAGAUGCAAAUAAAAGCAAAAUAAAACGCAGCAAGGUAUUUUUGGGUUUUUGAUAAUAUAGAUCUGAAAAUAAAAUAUGCAAAUAAAAGAAAAGGCCAUUGGCAAUAUAGAUCGGAAAGUUUAUGAUAGGAAAAUAGACCCAGGGCCCGUAGAUUUCACUAGUGGCUUCUCUCGAGAAAAUAGCAACGGUGGGUAGACAAAUUAUAGUUGGGGAAUUGAUAGAAGAGCAAAUAAUUAUGACGAUAUCCAAGACAAUGAUCAUGAUAUAGGCAUCACGUCCAAGAUUAGUAGACCGACUCCUGCCUGCAUCUACUACUAUUACUCCACACAUCGACCGCUAUCCAGCAUGCAUCUGGUGUAUUAAGUUCAUGGAAAAAACGGAGUAAUGCAAUUAGAACGAUGACAUGGUGUAGACAAGAUCUAUUCAUGUAGGAAUAGACCCCAUCUUUUUAUCCUUAAUAUUAACAAUACAUGCGUGCCUUGCCGCCCCUUCUGUCACUGGGAAAGGACACCGCAAGAUCGAACCAAUUACAAAGCACCUCUUCACAUUGCAAGAUAAAUAAAUCAAGUUGGCCAAACAAAACCCAAAUAUCGGAGAACAAAUACGAGGCUAUAACAAUCAAGAUUGGAUAUUAAAUCAAGGCAAAUCUGAUCAUAAACUCACAAUUCAUCGGUUCCCAGCAAACACACCGCAAAAGUCAUUACAUCAAAUAGAUCUCCAAGAAACCAUUGUAUUGAGAUACAAAAAGAGAGAAGAAGCCAUGUAGCUACUGCCUACGGACACGUAGGUCUGAGUUGAACUACUCACGCAUCAUCGGAGAGGCACCAAUGAGGAUGAUGAACCCCUCUGUGAUCGUGUUCCCCUCCGGCAGAGUGCCGGAAUAGGGCUCUAGAUUGGAUCUCGUGGUUCUGGAACUUGCGAUGGCUGGAAUAAAAUUUCGUCGACUCCCCUAGGGUUUCUUGAAUAUUGGGGUAUUUAUAGAGCGAAGAGGCCGCGGGGGAGGCCAAAAGGUGUCUUCUGGUCCAAAAAAAAUCCACAAAAAUUUCGCUGCAUUUGGACUCUGUUUGAUAUUGAUUUCCUACGAUGUAAAAAACAAGCAGAAAAUAGCAUCUGGCACUUGGCACUAUAUCAAUAGGUUAGUACCAAAAAUGAUAUAAAAUAAUUAUAAAAUGAUUGUAAAACAUCCAAGAAUGAUAAUAUAACAACAUGGAACAAUCAAAAAUUAUAAAUACGUUGGAGACGUAUCAGCAUCCCCAAGCUUAAUUCCUGCUCGUCCUCGAGUAGGUAAAUGAUAAAAACAGAAUUUUUGAUGUGGAAUGCUGCCUAUCAUAUUCAUCACAUAUUCUUUCUUUUAUAGCAUGGACAUUUGGACUUUCAUUUUGUUCAAAGCAAUAGUCUAGUAUUGACAUGAGGACUUUAAUACUCAAGCAUAUCAACAAGCAACCAUGUCUUUCAAAAUAUCAAUACUAAAGCAAGUUAUCCCUAGCCCAUCAUGCUCAAUCAUUGAUCCAUUCAUGCAACACAUCCAAAUAUUAACUACAUCCAAUGCUCAAGUAUAAUAAUAGUGUUCCGUAGUUGGUGCUUUAAAAGAGAAGAUGGAGAAUCAAAAUAAAAAUAAAAUUGCAUAAAGUAAAGGAUAGGCCCUUCGCAGAGGGAAGUAGAUAUUUGUAGAGGUGCCAGAGCUCAAAGCUUAAAUUGAGAGGUAAAAUUAUUUUGGGUGGCAUGCUUUUCUCGUCAAUGAGAACGACUUAGAGUUCCCAAUGCUUUCCAUGCUAGAUACUCCCUCCAUUUCAUAAUGUAGUGCCUAUAUAUUUUUGCAAAAGUCAAACAUUACAAACUUUGACCAUAUAUAUAGAGAAAAGUAGGUAGAUCUAAACCAAAUGCACAUCAUUGGAUACAUCGUGAGUUACGUUUUCAGAAUGUACAUGUUUGGUAUUGUAGAUGUAGAUAGUUUUCUCUAUACACUUGGUCAAAGUUGACAAAGUUUAACUUUCACAAAAAUCUAUAGACACUACAUUGUGGAAUGGAGGGAGUAUAUCAUAGGCGGUUCCCAAACAUAAAAUAAAGUUUAUUCCUUUUUCCACCAAACUUUCACAAGCCAUGGCUAGCCGUAUCCACGGUUGCCCUUCAUACCGACACUUUCCAAGGAAUUUAUUAUUUGACAACAUAAAGUAAAUUUUCUUUUUCAUAUCGGGACUGGGAAUCCCUAUUACCGCCAUACUCUCGUGCAAUGACAAGUGAAUAAACACUCAUCUUGAGAAUAACACAUCUAGCAUGAAAAAUAUUAGCCACCCCUCGCCGCUUCAUGAGCGGUACGGGCACACAAAAGAGAGAUUUAUUUUGAAAAUUAGAGUUGGCACAUACAAAUUUUCUUAGAACGGCUUGGAAAUACCGCAUAUAGGUAGGUAUGGUGGACUCAUUUGGCAUAACUUGGGCUUUAGGAUUUGGAUGCACAAGUAGUAUUUCUACUUAGUACAAAGUGGAGGCUAGCAAGCGAUUGAGAAGUGACCAACCAAGGAACGAAAACCAUCAUAAGUGAACAUUAAACAUAACCAACACCGAAUAAUGCAACACAAGUAUGAUAUAAUUUCAUUGCAUGACUAUUAAAUUUCGUGCUUGCAUAGGGAAUCACGAACCUUAACAUCAAUAUUCUUACUAAAACAUAAUUACUCAUUAACAUGGCUCACAUAUUAGUAUCAUCAUAUCUCAAAACUAUUACAAGGAACCAAGUUUAUUUUGCCCAAUGAUCUUCAUGAAAGUUUUUAUUAUAUCCUCCUUGGAUAUCUAUCACUUUGGGACUAGUUUCAUGUGUUGCUUUUGAUAAGCUCAAACAAAUAUAAGUGAAGCAUCAUAUUUCACUAGUAGAAAAAGGUUCAAAUGUGAGACACAUUAGUGCCGGUUUGCAUUUGUGCCGGCACUAAUGUGUCCAUUAGUGCCGGUUCAAACGGCUAGGCGGGAGGAGGUCUUUAGUACCGGUUCAGUGCGAACCUUUAGUACCGGUUCAUGCCACGAACUGGUACUAAAGAGGCUGGGGCCUGACCAACCCCUUUAGUACCGGUUCGUUGCAUGAACCGGUAGUAAAGAAGUUGUGGCAGGCUGUUUUUAGUCCCACCUCGCCUUAAAUAUGUUACUUCUCAAACUAUCACAAGCACUUGGUCUUCAUUGAACUCUAUGUGUAGAAUUUGUGGUCACAAUAUGAGUCUUCAACGGUUUCUAAACCGUUGAGGACUCAUGUUGACAAUUCCGAUUGUACACAAAAAGAUCAUUGAUAAUCAAUGUAUUUUUGAUGUAUAUUUUUACAUGUUUACGCCCUCACUCUCUCCACUCACUCGGUCUCCCCCUCAAUCCCCCCGCGCCGGUCCUCCCCCGCCGGCUUCCCCUCACUCUCUGCUGACAUGUUUACGCCCUCACUCUCUGCUGACAUGUUUACGCCCUCACUCUCUCCACUCACUCGGCAAAAAAUGGACGCACUUCGUGUACAAACUGGACAAUAUCUUUCGGAGUAUCAGGGUUUCGGACGAGAACUCACUAUUACACGGGCACUUCAUUUUUCUAAACUUACUUGAACUCCAGAAUUUUUUUGCAUUCCGUAUGCACCAUUCAAAGUGACGUCAUCAAUUUUCAACACUUUCUGACGUCAUUUGCUAUUUUUCAGUCAUUUACCAAUUUGUUUAGAGAGCUAAAUGACCGUGAAAUUGAAAAUCACUACAAAAUGAACUCUGAAAAUGUUGAAACUUGGCAUGGUAUCAUCAUUUCACCCACAUAGCAUGUGCAAAAGAGUAGAGAGGGUCACGGAAAAAACUAGACGCACUUCGUGUACAAACUGGACAAUCUCUUUCGAAGUAUCAGGGUUUCGGACGAGAACUCAUCUGUUACACGGUUACUUCAUUUUUUUAAACUUAUUUGAACUCCAGACUUUUUUCGCGUUCAGUAUGCAGCAUUCAAAGCGACGCCAUCAAUUUUCAACCCUUUCUGACAUCAUUUGCUCUUCUUCCGUGAAAUUUAAAAUCACUACAAAAUGGACUCUAAAAAGUUGAAACUUGUCAUGGUAUCAUCAUUUCACCCACAUAGCAUGUGCAAAAGAGUAAAGAGGGUCAUGGCAAAAACUGGACGCACUUCGUGUACAAACUGGACAAUCUUUUUCGAAGUAUCAGGGUUUCGGACGAGAACUCAUCUGUUACACGGUUACUUCAUUUUUUAAACUUAUUUGAACUCCAGACUUUUUUGCGUACAGUAUGCAGCAUUCAAAGCGAUGUCAUCAAUUUUCAACCCUUUCUGACAUCAUUUGCUCUUUUUCAGUCAUUUAUCGAUUUGUUUAGAGAGCUAAAUGACCGUGAAAUUGAAAAUCACUACAAAAUGAACUCUAAAAAUGUUGAAACUUGGCAUGGUGUCAUCAUUUCACCCACAUAGCAUGUGCAAAAAGUAGAGAGGGUCACGGCAAAAACUGGACGCACUUCGUGUACAAACUGGACAAUCUCUUUCGAAGUAUCAGGGUUUCGGACGAGAACUCAUCUGUUACACCGGCAAUUCAAAAUUUUAAUAACUUAUUACAUCUCCGGACUUUUUUUUGCGUUCAGCAGGCGCCAUUCAAAGCCACGUCAUCAACUUUCAACCCUUUUUGACAUAAUUUGCUAUUUUUAAUGUAUUUACUGAUUUGUUUUGAGCUAAAUGGCCCUGAAAUUGAAAAGUAGUAUAAAUGAACUCUUAAAAGCACUACAAAUAGAAGAAAAUAAAUAAAGCAGAAAAGAAAAAACUAUGUAAAAAAGCUACUCAGAAACAAAUACAAGAAAAUAAAUAAAGUAGAAAAGAAAAAAAAACUAUAUAAAAAAACUACUAAGAAAUAAAUAGAAGAAAAUAGAUAAAGCAGAAAAGAAAAAAACUAUAUAAAAAAAUUACACAGAAAUAAAUAGAAGAAAAUAAAUAAUGCAGAAAAGAAAAAACUAUAAAAAAAUUGUUGGGGCGCUGUCCAGUGGGCCUGCCAGACCUCGGGUGUGCAAAUUCAGGUCCAGAAGGCCCAUCAGGCUCACAGGGCAGCGCGCCAUAGUUAGGCCCAGAAGCCUGCUAUACAGAGGAGUUCGAGGGAGCAGCCGUGGCUGGGUUUAUAAACUAGUGCGGCUGCCCUUCGCCCGGCGAGAUGGGACUAAACUUUGCGCCCCUCGCCUGGCAGCGCACCCCCUUUAGUACCGGAUGGUGGCUCCAACCGGUACUAAAGGGGGGGCCUUUAGUACCGAUUGGAGCCACCACCCGGUACUAAAGGGGGUGCGGUUCCCGCCGCUUCGCCGAGCCAAAAUAGACCUUUAGUACAGGUUGGUGGCUCCAACCGGUACUAAAGGUGGAUUCUAUAUAAGAAAACACUUCAAAUAAAUUUGUCAGUUCGUUCUCCCUCUCUGCUUCUUCUCUCCUCUGCCCCGUCGCUGCCGCCCCUUGACGCCGCCCCCGUCGCCGUCGCCGUCGNNNNNNNNNNNNNNNNNNNNNNNNNNNNNNNNNNNNNNNNNNNNNNNNNNNNNNNNNNNNNNNNNNNNNNNNNNNNNNNNNNNNNNNNNNNNNNNNNNNNNNNNNNNNNNNNNNNNNNNNNNNNNNNNNNNNNNNNNNNNNNNNNNNNNNNNNNNNNNNNNNNNNNNNNNNNNNNNNNNNNNNNNNNNNNNNNNNNNNNNNNNNNNNNNNNNNNNNNNNNNNNNNNNNNNNNNNNNNNNNNNNNNNNNNNNNNNNNNNNNNNNNNNNNNNNNNNNNNNNNNNNNNNNNNNNNNNNNNNNNNNNNNNNNNNNNNNNNNNNNNNNNNNNNNNNNNNNNNNNNNNNNNNNNNNNNNNNNNNNNNNNNNNNNNNNNNNNNNNNNNNNNNNNNNNNNNNNNNNNNNNNNNNNNNNNNNNNNNNNNNNNNNNNNNNNNNNNNNNNNNNNNNNNNNNNNNNNNNNNCGUCGCCCGUGCUGUGAGCCCCUCUCCCCGGCCCCUCUCCUCCCUCCAAUCGAAGCCGCCACGCCGCCGGCGCCGUAGGUGCACACGCGCACGCGCGAGCGCACACACACAUGCACGCACACACACACACGCACACACACACACAGACACACGAUUCUGUUUUUAGUUUUUUCUGUUUUUUAUACAAAUGUUUUAGAUGAAUUAAUUAAUUAUAUAUAGAUUAGAUUAAUGUCAAAUAGUAUAUAGAAAUGUUAGAAAUGUUAUAGAAAUGUUAGAAAUUUUAGAAAUGUUAGUUUUAGCUAGAUGAAUUAGAUUAAUUUCAAAUUGUUAUAGAAAUGUUAGAAAUGUUAGUUUUUAGUUUCUUAUAAUUUUAGUUAUAGAAAUUUAGAAUUUGCAUAUAAGUCACAAUCCAAUCAUUUAAAAAAUGUUACUUUUGCGGCGUAUAGUAUUUUUUCUCGACGAUGCCCGGUCCGCAUCCUCGCCGUCGACUCGUUCGCGACGACGUCCUGCUUCAGAGGACCCAUGUCCGGGACUGGGCUCCGCCGGGCUGGCACUGGGAGGUGCUACCUUCAGGGGCGCGCCGCUUGGUGAGGAACCCGGCCCCGGGUCCCGUCGUCGACCCUGAUCUCCUUUGGUGGCGUUCGCGUGGGCCACAUUCGGUGUAGAGGGAGCCGGCCCCGCCGGAGGUGGUGCGUCGCCGUGUCAGGGAGGAGGACGAGCACGUCCGUGGCUACAUGGCUGCUAUGGACGUCAGGUUCUCAAAUAAUUGGCGGGUUGUUUGGGCAGAUGAUCGGAGAUAUGAUCCUGUGAUGGUUCCUUCUCUUUGGGUGUCCACCCCCCGCGCCUUAGGAACCGCGAGUGGCCUAGAUUCUUCUGUAGUAUUCGAUCUUUAUUAGCUACCUAGCCAGUGAUGUAUUCGAUAUAUAAUAUUUGAGACGAUGUAUUCGAGAUUAUAUGUAUUAUUAGAGACGAUGUAUUCGAGAUUAUAUAUUAUUCGAGACGAUGUAUUCGAGAUUAUAUAUUAUUCGAGACGAUGCAUAUUAUAUAUGUACUAUAUGAUUCAGUUUUUCCUUAUUGAUUGCAUCCAUGCAUUGUAAUUUGAAUACUAAAUUGUUUUAUAUUUCUUCUGGAUUAGUUAAAUAAAAGCUAUGGCGGACAAUACCGGCAGAGAGGGAGAAGAGGCCCUGUUCGAGAUCAUACGCAGCCCUCGCAGGCCAGAUGAUCUGAAUGAAGCAGAUGACGGCUCCCAAUAUCUGAACAAUGCCGGGGAGGGUGAUGAUAAGAUAUUCAAUCUCGAUGACCGAGAUGAUGAAGUCAUGAACUAUGAUUAUGAUUAUGAUUAUGAUGACGCAGAAAAUGUUGAUCUUGAAAUAACAAAUACUACCGGCGAGGUAUACAUUUAUAUAAGCAGGCAUCUGGUGAUCAUCACAUGUUUUUUUUUUGAUUUGAAGAUAUAUUAACGAAUCGAUCUUUAUUCUUUCAGCCCUCCGGAUCGAGCAAAUCUGCUUCUACAGACAGCAGGACAAAGCGAGGCCCGAGCAAAAAGUUGAAGGAGGGUGUAAAGUACAACAUCGACUCCAUCAAAGCUAAUGGCGAACCCCUCAUGCCUAAGAACAUUGCAAACAAGCUAUUGUCUGUAAGUGAUUUCUUUCUGUAAUUUAAGUCUCAAGCUAGCUGUAGUGCUCUCAUUGAUCAUUACUUGUAAUUAUCCUCACUAUAUUCUUUUAUGUGGUAUUAUGCAGGAUGAAGAUGUCCGAAAUGAGAUAAGCUGGACGCCAUGGCAUUGGGUUCAUUGAACCAAAUACCAUUAAUGAAGAGACAUGGUCAUAUGAACAUUAUAAACAAGAAGUAGAGAAUAACAUGCUAGAGUUCUUGAAGCGCCUCAAUACCAAUGCAAAUAUACUACUUCCUUACAACUUCCAGUGAGUCCACACUGUCUUGUACUACAAAUUCUGUUUUUGUUACUAGCUAGAUACCACUGGAUCUUGGUAGACAUUAAAGUGCGCAUGCAGGUUCCACUGGAUCUUGGUAGACAUUAAAGUUAAAGAAGGAAAAGUUUAACUACUGGACUCACUGCUUAAAGAAGCUAAAGAGUACUCAAUCCUGAAGGGGAUAGUCAACAGGUAAUUUCAAUCUCAUUAUAUAUAUAUGUCCUGAUAUCAACUAAUUAAUAACUCCUUUAUUCAUUUUCUUUGCCGGCGGGCCGGCAGGGCUUGGCAAAAGUUCAUCGAAGACGUUCCAGGCCCGUUCAGAGAUAAACUGUAUUGGUAUCGACCCACGGUAAUUAAUUAAGUAGUACUAUAGCUAGCAAUAUAGCUAGCUACCAUGCAAUCUCUUUAAUUCUAUAGUUUCCAUAACAUUAAUUAUCAGGCUUGAUUAAUUAUUAUCUAAUUGAACUCUAUUCUCGUACAGGCCAUGAAGCAGGAGCCGGGGAAUGAUUUAUGUGCAUACUACGUUUGCGAGAACAUUCGCACGAUGACGUCCGAAAGGAGCACAUCUGAUAGACAGAUAUGGGUACGUUUGCCAGAACACACUAUACACAAUUUUUACAUCAUUAUCGAUAUCUAGUCACACAACUAAUACAUGCAUACUGAUCUCCUUCUUAACAUUUCAAUGAGGUGCGGCAGAAGCUCCUACCAAUGGAUCGCGUACGAGCAAUUGCAGAGAAAAUAGCGGGAUUUUUGCUCGACCAAGUCAUAGAUCCUGGAGGAGAAUUCCAUUACCCGCUACCGCACUAAUGCCUCCAUGUAGGAGAAAUUGUAUAUAGUAAAUUGUAUAUAUAUACGUACAUGCAUGUGUAUGUGUGAAUAUGGUGGUGUGAGACAUUCGAUGAUAUGUGUAUAUAUAUAUAUAUAUAUAUAUAUAUAUAUAUAUAUAUAUAUAUAUAUAUAUAUAUAUAUGAUCGGUUCUACGAGAAAUUCUAUUUAUAUAUAUAUGUAUAUAUAUAUAUAUAUGCAUAAUGUGUACAAUAUGUAGUAUCGUAAAAUACCAGCAAACGAAAAAGAAUUGAAUGGAAAACACAAAAUUAAAGAAAAAACAAAAAAUAAAACCAAAACCCCACAAACAUUUAGUACCGGUUGGUGUUACCAACCAGUACUAAUGGUCUACCCGCACCCGGGCCUGGCUCGUGCCACGUGGUGGCACUUUAGCGCCGGUUCGUGACGAACCGGUAGUAAAUGGGGGGGGGGGCUUUAGUCCCCACUCUUUAGUGCCGGUUGUAGAACCGGCACUAAAGGCCCUUACGAACCGGCGCUAAAGCCCGGUUCUGCACUAGUGUUUAUUUCUCUCAAAUUAAUCUAAGUGAAGCAUGAGAGAAUUUCUUCAAAGAUAGCAAAUCACACUGUGCUCAAAAAGAUAUAAGUGAAGCACUAGAGCAAUUCCAUUGCUCUAAAAAUUUAUGUGAAGCAUAGGAGCAAGCAUAGCAUAAAUUGGCUCUCCAAAAUAGGUGUUUACAUCAAGGAAACUUACUAAAAAGAAACAAGCAAAGACUCAUAUCAUAAAAGACGCUCCAAGCAAAACACAUAAUAUGUGACGAAUAAAAAUAUAGUCUACCGAUGGUCGUUAGAAGAAGGAGGGGAUGCCACUCGAGGGCAUCCCCAAGCUUAGUUGCUUGAUACUCCUUGAAUAUUAUCUUGUUGGUGCCAUGGGCAUCCCCAAGCUUAGCCUUUUCCUAGUCCUUAUUCCUUCAUCCAUCGUGAUCUCACCCAAAACUUGAAAACUUCAAUCACACAAAACUCAACAAAACCUCGUGAGAUCCGUUAGUAUAAGAAAACAAAUCACUACUUUAGGUACUAUUGCAAACCCAUUCAUAUUUUGUUAUUGUAUUAUACCUACUGUAUUUUAACUUUUCCAUGGCAAAAACACAUCAAAGGGAAACCAUAGAAUCAUCAAAACAAACACAUAACACAACGAAACCAGAAUCUGUCAAAAACAGAACAGUCUGUAGUAAUCAGAACACUCGUAUACUUCUGUAACUGCAACAAUUCUGAAAAAUUAGGACAACACAGGAAAUUUGUAUAUCAGUCUUGUUUAAAAAAUUUAGAAAUUUAUCACGCUCUAGUGAUUUUCAGGAUUUUCUGCAUUGGGCUCAAAAGUUUUUGUUUUCCAACAAGAUCAAAUCAACUAUUGCCCAGAUCACCCCAAAGGCUUUGCUUGGCACAAACACUAAUUUAAACCACAAAAACACAUCUAAUCAGAGGCAUAAUUGGGUAUUUUAUUAAAAACAGCAAGAAACCAAAAAGCAAAAAUAUACAUGUUGGGUUGCCUCCCAACGAGCGCUAUCGUUUUACUCCCUUAGCUAGGCAUAACACCAAGUUCUCAAGUAUUGUCAUCCUUGGUGGAUGAUCCAUAUGUUUCCCUCAUUAUAGAUUCAUAAAGCAAUUUGAUCUUAGUUCUAGGGAAGUGUUCCAUGCCCUUUCUCGAGGGAAAUUGAAAUUUCAUAUUCCCUUCUUUCAUAUCAAUCACUGCACCAAUAGUGCAAAAAAAUGGUCUACCAAGUAUAAUACGGCAAGACGGAUUGCAAUCAAUGUCAAGAACAAUGAAGUCUAUGGCUACAUAGUUCCUAUUUGAAAGAAUAAGAACAUCAUUGAUCCUUCCCAAAGGCUUUUUAAUAGUUGAAUCCGCCAAAUGCAAAUUGAGAGAACAAUCUUCAAUGUUGGUAAGACCAAGAACAUCACAAAGAGAUUUCGGAAUCGUGGAAACACUAGCACCCAAAUCACAUAAAGCAUUGCACUCAUAAUUUUUAAUCUUGAUUUUGAUAGUAGGUUCCCAUUCAUUAUGCAAUUUUCUGGGAAUUUACACUUCCAAUUCCAACUUAUCUUCUAAAGCUUGCAUCAUAGCAUCAAUAAUAUGUUUAGUAAAAGCUUUAUUUUGUUCAUAGGCAUGAGGUGAAUUUAUCAUUGAUUGCAACAAAGAAAUACAAUCAAUCAAAUAGCAAUUGUCAUAAUUAAAGUCUUUGUAAUCCAAGAGAGUGGGCACAUCACUAGUUAAAGUUUUGACCUCUCCAAACCAACUUUUAUCAAUUUUUUCAACAAGAUUUUCACCCUCCGAAUUAUCGGGACGCCUUCUAGCUAAAGUUGAGUGUUCUUCAGUCCGUUUAUCAUCAAGUUGAACUUUACUAAACAAGGAAUCAAUAUAUGAAACACCCAUCAUUUUUAUGAAAGCAAUCACUAGAAAACGCUUUUUUAAAAAAUUCUCUUUUAGCUCUAAGCAUAGCGGUUCUGUUCUUACUUUCAUCCAUGGAAACAUAAAGAGCCUUAAUUGAUUCUUCAACCUUAGGCACAAAAACUUUCAACUUGAGAUUUUCCACAUCAUGAGAAAUUCUAUCAAUACUUCUAGACAUAUCAUCAAUCUUAUUCAAUUUUUCUUCUAUAGAAGCAUUGAAAACCUUUUGAGUAUUGAUAAAUUCUUUAAUAUUGUUUUCUAGAUCAGAGGCAUUCCUAUUAUUAUUCUAAGAAGAAUUACCAUAACUAUCAGAGGAAUUUCCCGAAAAAGGCCUAGGAUUAAAAUUACAUCUAUUAGCAUUGUUAUUGUAAUUAUUUCAUGAGAUAAAGUUCACGUGUAGGGCAUCACUAUUUUGCUCAAUCAAAGUAGACAAAGUAAAAUCAUUAAGAUCAAUAGGAGAAUUCUUACUAGAAACCAUUUUCAUGAGAGCAUCAACUUUUUCACUCAAAGAAUAAUCAAUUUCAACCGAAUUAACCUUUUUGCUAGUAGGCGCCCUUUCGGUAUGCCAUUGCGAAUUGUUUGCCAUAAUAUUAUCAAGCAAUUUGGUGGCUUCACCCAAAGUAAUUUUCAUAAAAGUACCACCCACGGCGGAGUCCAAAAGAUUUCGAGAAACAAAAUUCAACCCCGCAUAAAAAAAUUGUAUGAUCAUCCAAAGAUUUAACCCAUGAGUUGGGCAAUACCUUAGCAUCAAUUUCAUCAUUUGCCAAGAUUGUGCAACAUGCUCAUGUUCAAGUGGCUUGAAAUUCAUGAUCUGGGUUCUAAGGGAAAUAAUUUUUGCGGGCGGAAAAAGUAGUAAUAAAAGCAUCUUUGCACUUAUCCCAAGAAUUGAUACUAUUUUGAGGCAAAGAUGAAAACCAAAUUUUAGCACGGUCGUGCAAAGAGAACGGAAAUAAUUUCAACUUCACAAUAUCAUUGUCCACAUAUUUUUUCUUUUGCAUAUCGCAUAACUCCACGAACGUGUUAAGAUGGGACGCGGCCUCCUCAUUAGGAGUACCGGGAAAUUGAUCUUUCAUGACAAGAAUCAACAAAGCAGCAUUAAAAUCACAAGUUUCCGCACUAGUGGCGGGAGGAGCAAUCGGAGUGCUAAUGAAAUCAUUGUUGUUGGUAUUGGAAAUAUCAGACAACUUAGUGUUCUCUUGCGCCAUCUUGAUCAAUUGUAAACAAGAACACAAGUAGGCGAUAGAUCUGACCGAAAAACGGCGAACGAAAAAGAGGGCGAAUAAAAACAGCAAUUUUUUGUGAAGUGGGGGAGAUGAAAAUGAGAGGCAAAUGGAAAAUAAUAUAAAUUGCAAGGUGAUGAGAUUUGUGAUUAGGCACCUGGUAGAUGUUGAUGAUGUUUCCCCGGCAACGGCGCUAGAAAUUUCCUUUGAUGUUGCUUCAGGUGCGUCACUAUUUCCCCAAGGAAUAAGGGAGAUGCAGCAUAGCAAUGGUAAGGUAUUUCCCUCAGUGAUGAGACCGAGGUUAUCGAACCAGUAGGAGAACCACGCAACACCACGUAAACGGUACCUGCACACAAAUAACAACUACUUGCAACCCGAUGCGUUAAAGGGGUUGUCAAUCCCUUUUGGGUAGCGGUGCCAAAAAGUGACGUAAGGAUAGGAUAAAAUUGUAGUAGAUUGAUAGAUGCAAAUAAAAGCAAAUAAAACACAGCAAGGUAUUUUUGGGUUUUUGAUAAUAUAGAUCUGAAAAUAAAAGAUGCAAAUAAAAGAAAAGGCAAUUGGCAAUAUAGAUCGGAAAGUUUAUGAUAGGAAAAUAGACCCGUGGGCCGUAGAUUUCACUAGUGGCUUAUCUUGAGAAAAUAGCAACGGUGGGUAGACAAAUUACUGUUGGGUAAUUGAUAGAAGAGCAAAUAAUUAUGACGAUAUCCAAGACAAUGAUCAUGAUAUAGGCAUCGCGUCCAAGAUUAGUAGACCGACUCCUGCCUGCAUCUACACUAUUACUCCACACAUCGACCGCUAUCCAGCGUGCAUCUAGUGUAUUAAGUUCAUGGAGAAACGAAGUAAUGCAAUAAGAACAAUGACAUGAUGUAGACAAGAUCUAUUCAUGUAGGAAUAGACCCCAUCUUUUUAUCCUUAAUAGCAAUGAUACAUGUGUGCCUUGCUGCCCCUUCUGUCGCUGGGAAAGGACACCGCAAGAUCGAACCCAUUACAAAGCACCUCUUGACAUUGCAAGAUAAAUAGAUCAAGUUGGCCAAACAAAAUCCAAAAAUCGGAGAAGAAAUACGAGGCUAUAACAAUCAAGAUUUGAUAUUAAAUCAAGGAAAAUCUGAUCAUAAACUCACAAUUCAUUGGAUCCCAACAAACACACGACAAAAUUCAUUACAUCAAAUAGAUCUCCAAGAGUCCAUUGUAUUGAGAUACAUAAAGAGAGAAGAAGCCAUCUAGCUACUGCCUACGGACCUGUAGGUCUGAGUUGAACUACUCACGCAUCAUCGAAGAGGCACCAAUGAGGAGAUGAACCCCUUCGUGAUCGUGUUCCCCAACGGCAGAGUGCCGGAAUAGGGGUCUAGAUUCGAUCUCGUGGUUCUGCAAAUUGCGACGGCUGGAAUAAAAUUCUGUCGACUCCCCUAGGGUUUCUGGAAUAUUGGGGUAUUUAUAGAGCGAAGAGGUGGUGCGGGAGGCCACCGAGGUGGGCGCAACCCACCCGGGCACGCCUGGGGGCUAAGGCGCGCCCUAGUGGGUUAUGCCACCCUCGGGGCACCCCCCUGGUGCUUCUCGGGCCCAACAUGUGUCUUCUGGUCCAAAAAAAAUCCACAAAAAGUUUCGCUGCAUUUGGACUCCGUUUGAUAUUGAUUUCCUGCGAUGUAAAAAACAAGCAGAAAACAACAACUGGCACUUGGCACUAUGUCAAUAGGUUAGUACCAAAAAUGAUAUAAAAUGAUUGUAAAACAUCCAAGAAUGAUAAUAUAACAACAUGGAACACUAAAAAAUUAUUGAUACGUUGGAGACAUAUCAAUUAGUAUGAAACCAAAGAACUUUCGUAAAACACUAAGUUACCUCAACGGGGAUAUGUAUGUCCCCAACAAUUAGUAUAUCAUAUUUCUUUUUGGCAGUAGGUAGAGGUAGUUGAAAACUUCCAAUAGUGAGUGUCGAAGAUUUUUCAAUAACAUUAAUACCAUCCACUUUGAAUUGUUUCUUCGGAAAGAGCAGCGUAUGCUCAUUACCAUUGAUAUGAAAAGCGACCUUGCUUUUAUAGCAAUCAAUAACAGCCCCUGCAGUAUUCAGAAAGGGUCUACUAAGGAUAAUCGACAUGUUGUCGUCCUCGGGCAUCGCAAGUAUAACAAAUUCAGUUAAGAUGGUAACAUUUGCAACAACAACGGGCACAUCCUCACAAAUAACGAUAGGUAUGGCAGUUGAUUUGUCAGCCAUUUGCAAAGAUAUUUCAGUAGGUGUGAGUUUAUUCAAGUCAAGUCUCUUAUAUAAGGAGAAAGGCAUAACACUAACACCAGAUCCUAAAUCACAUAAAGCAGUUUUCACAUAGUUCUUUUUGAUGGAGCAAGGUAUAGUUGGUAUUCCCGGAUCUCCAAGUUUUUUAGGUACCCCACCCUUAAAAGAGUAAUUAGCAAGCAUAGUGGAGAUUUCAGCAUCAGGUAUUUUAGUUUUAUUUGUGACAAUGUCUUUCAUAUACUUUGCAUAAGGGGCCAUUUUCAGCAAAUUAGUCAAGCGAGUACGCAAAAAGACUGGCCUCAGCAUUUCAGCAAAGCGUUCAAAUUCUUCAUCAUCUUUUUUCUUGGUUGACUUAGGAGGAAAAGGCAUGGGCUUUUGCACCCAUGGUUCUCUUUCAUUACCAUGUUUCCUAUCAACAAAGUCCCUUUUACCACAUCUUUUAUUUUUAGGUUGUGGGUUAUCAAGAUCAACAACUGGUUCUAUUUCAACAUCAUUAUCUGGUUCUUUUUUCAUUGUCUGGUUGAGUAUCUUCAUGAACAUUAUCAUUAUCACUAGGUGAAUGUUCAUUACCAGAUUGAGUUUUAGCCUCGGAAAUAGAAACAUCAUUAUCAUUAUCAGGUGGUUUCUCUAUUUUAGGUUCAUUAGAGGCAUGCAAAGUCCUAUCAUUUUUCUUUUUCCUUUUCUUUUUAGAAGGACUAGGUGCAUCAAUGUUAAGUCUGUGUGAAUCUUGUUCAAUUCUCUUAAGGUGUCCCUCAGGAUAAAGUGGUUUCUGAGUCAAUUUACCUCCUCUGGUUGCUACUCUAACAGCAAAGUCAUGUAUGUUGUAGUUCAUUUCAUCAAGCAAUUCUCUUUGAGAUUUAGCAACUUGUUCUAGUUGAGUUUGAACCAUAGAGGCAUGCUUUCCUACACCUCUAACAUCAUUGGUAAUUCUAAAUAACAAGUCACUCAAGCGAGCAAUCAUAUCAGAGUUGUAUUUCAAUUGUUUCAUGACAUUUGCAUUGAAGUGAUCUUGUUUUCUAAUAUAAUUAUCAAACUCAUAAAGGCAUUGACUAGGAUGUUUACUGUAAGGGAUGUCACCUUCAUGAAAUUUCAUUAAAGAAUUUACCUCUACGACCUUGGGUGGUGAUGUGUCAAGUCCAUGAAUUUCUUCAAUAGGUGGCAAAUUUUUAAGAUCCUCUACGUUAAUACCUUUUUCCUUCAUACUUUUCUUUUCCUCUUGCAUAUCUUCGGGACUGAGAUAUAAGGUACCCCUCUUCUUUGGAGUUGGUUUAGGUUGUGGUUCAGGAAGAGUCCAAUCAUCAUAAUUUUUCAAUAUAUUAUUCAGUAAUUCCUCAGCUUGUUCAACAGUUCGCUCCCUGAAAACACAACCAGCACAACUAUCUAGGAAAUCCCUAGAAGCAUCGGUUAGUCCAUUAUAGAAGAAAUCAAGUAUUUCAUUUUUCUUAAGCGGAUGAUCAAGCAAAGCAUUAAGCAAUUGGAGAGGACUCAGCCAAGCUUCUGGGAGACUCUCUUCAUCAAUUUGCACAAAGUUAAAUAUUUCCUGUAAGGCAGCUUGUUUCUUAUGAGCAGGAAAAUAUUUUUCAGAGAAGUAAUAAAUCAUAUCCUGGGGACUACGCACACUACCAGGAGUAAGAGUAUUGUACCAAGCUUUAGCAUCACCGUUUAAUGAGAACGGAAAUAACUUGAGAAUAUAAUAGUAGCAAAUCUUCUCAUCAUGAGCAAAUAGGGUGGCUAUAUCAUUCAGUAUAGUAAGAUGUGCGGUUUCAGUUUCAUAGCCAUGGAAAGGAUUAGAUUCUUCCAAAGUAAUUAACUCUGGGUCGACAGAGAACUCAUAAUCCUUAUCAUCAACAAAGAUAGGUGACGUAGCAAACUUAGGAUCACAUUUCAUUCUAGCAUUCAAAGAUUUCUCUUUCAGUUUGCAUAAUAAUUUCUUAAGAUCAUCUUUAUCAUUGCAAGCAAGACACUCUCUAGUUGUCUCUUCAUCCAUAACAUAACCUUCAGGCACUUUAGGCAAUUCAUAUCUAGGAUGGCUAGAUCUAAUAGGUGUUUCAAGAUUUUCAGUUUCAAGUACUUCAUCAGUUUCAAUAGUUUCAUCAGUUUCAGCAUUCUCAAUAUCUUUAAUUCUAGCAAGUUGUUCAUCAAGCAAUUCACCAAAUGGCACAGUCUUAUCAAGCAAGGUACUAGCAUCAUCAUAAGUGUCAUUCAUAGUAGAAGUAGCAUCAUCAAUAACUUUUGACAUAUCAGGAUUAAUAGCAGAUUGUGGUGUUGCAAGCUUAUUUGUAACUGAAGGAGAAUCAAGUGCAGAGCUAGAUGGCAAUUCCUUACCUCCCCUCAUCUUCGAGGGAAAGAUCUUAGUACUUUCAUCCUUCAGAUUCUUCAUAGUGAUAGAUAGAUAAUAAUCCCAAGUGACUCAACAAAUAUAGUCGUGGUCCCCGGCAACGGCACCACAAAAAGGUCUUGAUAACCCACAAGUAUAGGGGAUUGCAAUAGAUUUCGAGGGUAGAGUAUUCAACCCAAAUUUAUAGAUUUGACACAAGGGGAGCCAAAGAAUAUUUGCAAGUAUUAGCAACUGAGUUGUCAAUUCAGCCACACCUGGAGAUUAAUUAUCUGUAGCAAAGUGAUUAGUAGCACAGUAAUAUGAUAGUUUUGAUAGUAGCGGUAGUAGCAAUAGUAACAGUAGCAGUGAUAGCAAUGAUUUGAUAGCAGUAGCAAUAGUAACAGCAGCAGUAGUAACUUAGCAAGAUCAAUAUGUAGGAAAUUCGUAGGCAUUGGAUCGACAAUUUGUUUGAUGAUAUCCAUCAUAUAACAGUCAUAACCUAGGGCGAUAUGGAACUAGCUCCAGUUCAUAAAUAUAAUGUAGGCAUGUAUUCCGUAAAUAGUCAUACGUGCUUAUGGAAAGAACUUGCAUGAUAUCUUUUGUCCUACCCUCCCAUGGCAGCGGGGUCCAAUUGGAAACUAAGGGAUAUUAAGGCCUCCUUUUAAUAGAGAACCAGAACAAAGCAUUAACACAUAGUGAAUACAUGAACUCCUCAAACUACGGUCAUCACCGGAAAGUAUCCCGACAUCUGUCACUCUGGUGUUUGCGGAUCAUAACACAUAGUAGGUGACUAUAACUUGCAAUAUCGGAUCUAGAACAUAGAUAUAAUGGCGAUAACAUAAACGGUUCAGAUCUGAAAUCAUGGCACCCGGGCCCAAAGUGACAAUCAUUAUGCAUGGCAAAGUCAUAGCAACAUCAAUCUCAGAACAAAGUGGAUACUAAGAAUCAAGCCCUAACAAAGCUAACUCAAUUACAUGAUGAAUCUCAUCCAACUCCUCACCGACCAGCGAGCCUACGAAGCAAUUACUCACUCCCGGUGGGGAGCAUCAUGGAAUUGGCGAUGGAGAAGGGUUGGUGAUGACGAAGAUCGAAGAUCCCCCUCUCCGGAGCCCCAAAUGGACUCCAGAUCUGGCCUCCCGAUGAAGAACAGGAGGCGGCGGCGGCUCCGUCUCAUGAAACGCAAUAAUUCUUCCUCCCUGAUUUUUUUCUUCGAAAAUGUGAUUUUAUAGUAUCAGGGUUGAGGCCUGCGGGGCCACCAGGUGGGGACAACACACCUGGGUGCGCCAGGAGGGGGGCGCGCCCUGGUGGGUUGUCCCCACCCAGGUGCCCCCCUCCGGUGGUUCUUGGCUCUAGAAAUUCUCUUUUAUUGUAUAAAAAGUUCUCGCAAAAUUUCGUUCCAAUCCGAGAACUUUUAUUUUUGCACAAAAACAACACCAUGGUAGUUCUGCUGAAAACAACAUUAGUCCGAGUUAGUUUCAUUCAAAUCAUGCAAAUUAGAGUCCAAAACAAGAGGAAAAGCAUUAGGGAAAGUAGAUACGACGAAGAUGUAUCAUUGUCACUUGUCCAUCUUUUUGCAUACGUUCUUUUUAAGUAAACUACAUUGCUAACUAUGUUACUAAGGAUGUUGUGCCUGAUCUGAUGUAUACCGAAAGAGAGAUGUGUAUGAUUAGCUUACGGCCAAGUCCGCCGGUGGCUUUCCAAAGUGCAUACUCGAUUCCUCUAACAGAUGGAAGCCUCAAAAUCUAAGGAUGGAGAAAAGUAAUGAAUGCGCGCAGGCAAACAACCGGAGACAACAUGAUUGUGCAAAGGACACAAAUUGGAGAAAGGUGGAUCUCUAUUCUCCAUUUCGGAUAUGAGGGGUUUACAUGUUUUAUUCUAUUUGACCUAAUAGAGAGGAGUAGUUCCUAACUAGUGCUUGUCAUGUGCAAGAAUGAUGAUGAGUUAUUUACCUAGGAUGAUAACAGUUAGCUAGUGUUGGUUAACUUGUCAUGUGCUAUAUUGAUAAUGAGUUAUUAUAUGACUACAGAUGAUGAGUUGUUAUAUGACUACGAUGAUGAUGAUGAGGAGGCUGUACUACUUGUCAUAUAUUAGAAUAAUGAUAAGUUAUCAUAUAUAUGACUAUGGAUGAUUACUUUUUAUAUGACUAAGAUGAUGAUGAGUUAUUAUAUCAUUAUGAUAAUGAUGAGGGGUGGAAGAAACACGGAUUGGAUUAAAGUAGAUGGAUCCAAGUGACCAAGUUGAAGUAGUAGGACAAUAUGAUGUUGGGACGACACACAAGUGUCGAACGAAGGCAACGCCUAUCAAGUCCAAUUUGCAUUGGAGGCAUAUAUAAGGAGGUUGUUGCAUCCUCAGAAGUCAAAUCACUCGAAGUGUUUGCAACAAAUAAGGUGGUCAAGGUUCUUCUCUUUCAUGUUGCGAGGAGCCUUGACCACCUUAGUUGCCAUGUUGAGGUUAUCAAGUUCGAGUGCAAGGACAUGAUCCUUGACUGUCAGACGCGCUUGACACCCACAUGCAUGGAGCGUAGCGCCGCCCACAAAUCAGACACGGACUAUGUAAAACGUAGGUUUUGGGGGAACUGGCUCAACCCUCUAUGGGGUGCCCUAUCACAUAUAUAUAAUGAUGACAUACAAGUCCUAUACCAAUACGGUAUGGAUUACAUAGUAGGGCCACAAUACGAAAUCUAACACCCUCCCUCAAUCUCAACUCACUCCGAAAGUAUCUAGGAGGUUGAGAUUGCGCCUACAGACCUCAAACAUGGGAGAAGGUAGAGGCUUGGUGAAGAUGUCUGCAAGUUGAUCUUUUGAAGAGAUAAACCUUACUUGUAGUAGCUUAUGUGCAACACGUUCCCUCACAAAAUGAUAGUCAAUUUCAAUGUGUUUAGUCCGUGCAUGGAACACCGGGUUUGAUGAAAGAAACGUAGCACCGAUGUUGUCACACCAAAGGACCGAAGGAUGUGGCUGAGCAACUCCUAGCUCUCGAAGUAAGGACUCAAUCCAUAUAAGUUCAGCAGUCGCAUUGACAACCGACUUGUACUCAGCUUCCGUGCUGCUGCGGGAAACAGUGGCUUGCUUGCGUGCACUCCAGGCGAUCAGAUUAGGACCCAAGAACACAACAUGUCCCCCCAUAGAUCGCCUGUCAUCUGGACACCCAGCCCAAUCAGCAUCAGAGAAAGCAGAAAGAACUCCGGAGGAACUGGGCCGCAGGUGAAGACCAAAGGAGACAGUGAGACGCACGUAACGCAGUAUGCGCUUCACAGCAGACUAGUGUACAUCAGUAGGUGCAUGAAGAUACUGGCACACCUUGUUAACCGCAAAAGAGAGAUCAGGACGCGUGAUCGUCAGAUACUGCAAGCCACCAACAAUACUCCUGUACUCAGUAGCAUCCUCAGGAGAUAGAAGAGCACCAUCAGCAACAGAAAGUUUGUCAGUGGAGGACAUGGGCGUAGGCGAUGUCUUGCACUUGAGCAUACCAGCACGGCGCAAGAGAUCAAGAGAGUACUUCUUCUGGGUGAGAGCCAAACUGCCACGAGACUGAUGAGCGACAUCAAUACCCAGGAAGAAAUGAAGCUGGCCCAAAUCCUUAACUGCAAAAUCAUGACCAAGUGUAGCCACAAGAGCAUCAGCAGCUGUCGGAGAGGAGCUCACCAGGACAAUAUCAUCCACAUACACUAGGAGGUACAUGGUCACACUCGGUUGCUGGAACAAGAACAGUGAAGUAUCAACCGUCGAAGGAAUGAAUCCAUGAGUGUGUAGUGCUGAAGCCAGGCGAGCAUGCCAGGCACGAGGAGCCUGCUUCAGUCCAUAUAUAGCCUUCAUCAGACGAAAGAGAUGAUACGGCUAAGUGUGAUCAACAAAUCCAGGUGGCUGCCUCAUGUAAACCUCUUCUUCAAGCAAUCCGUGAAGAAAAGCGUUCUGCACGUCAUGCUGACGGAGAGACCAUCCGCGAGAAACUGCCAGAGACAGAAGAAGUCGAAUAGUGGUGGGCUUGACAACUGGGCUGAAUGUAUCCUUAUAGUCCAAUCCCUGACGCUGUUUAAAUCCCUUAGCCACGAGACGCGCUUUCUAGCGCUCAAUGGAACCAUCUGCAUGUUUCUUCACCUUGAACACCCACUUCGAGUCAAUGAUGUUGACGCGAGACGGAGGGGGAACAAGUGUCCAGGUCUUAUUNNNNNNNNNNNNNNNNNNNNNNNNNNNNNNNNNNNNNNNNNNNNNNNNNNNNNNNNNNNNNNNNNNNNNNNNNNNNNNNNNNNNNNNNNNNNNNNNNNNNAACAUCAAUCUCAGAACAAAGUGGAUACUAAGAAUCAAGCCCUAACAAAGCUAACUCAAUUACAUGAUGAAUCUCAUCCAACUCCUCACCGACCAGCGAGCCUACGAAGCAAUUACUCACUCCCGGUGGGGAGCAUCAUGGAAUUGGCGAUGGAGAAGGGUUGGUGAUGACGAAGAUCGAAGAUCCCCCUCUCCGGAGCCCCAAAUGGACUCCAGAUCUGGCCUCCCGAUGAAGAACAGGAGGCGGCGGCGGCUCCGUCUCAUGAAACGCAAUAAUUCUUCCUCCCUGAUUUUUUUCUUCGAAAAUGUGAUUUUAUAGUAUCAGGGUUGAGGCCUGCGGGGCCACCAGGUGGGGACAACACACCUGGGUGCGCCAGGAGGGGGGCGCGCCCUGGUGGGUUGUCCCCACCCAGGUGCCCCCCUCCGGUGGUUCUUGGCUCUAGAAAUUCUCUUUUAUUGUAUAAAAAGUUCUCGCAAAAUUUCGUUCCAAUCCGAGAACUUUUAUUUUUGCACAAAAACAACACCAUGGUAGUUCUGCUGAAAACAACAUUAGUCCGAGUUAGUUUCAUUCAAAUCAUGCAAAUUAGAGUCCAAAACAAGAGGAAAAGCAUUAGGGAAAGUAGAUACGACGAAGAUGUAUCAUUGUCACUUGUCCAUCUUUUUGCAUACGUUCUUUUUAAGUAAACUACAUUGCUAACUAUGUUACUAAGGAUGUUGUGCCUGAUCUGAUGUAUACCGAAAGAGAGAUGUGUAUGAUUAGCUUACGGCCAAGUCCGCCGGUGGCUUUCCAAAGUGCAUACUCGAUUCCUCUAACAGAUGGAAGCCUCAAAAUCUAAGGAUGGAGAAAAGUAAUGAAUGCGCGCAGGCAAACAACCGGAGACAACAUGAUUGUGCAAAGGACACAAAUUGGAGAAAGGUGGAUCUCUAUUCUCCAUUUCGGAUAUGAGGGGUUUACAUGUUUUAUUCUAUUUGACCUAAUAGAGAGGAGUAGUUCCUAACUAGUGCUUGUCAUGUGCAAGAAUGAUGAUGAGUUAUUUACCUAGGAUGAUAACAGUUAGCUAGUGUUGGUUAACUUGUCAUGUGCUAUAUUGAUAAUGAGUUAUUAUAUGACUACAGAUGAUGAGUUGUUAUAUGACUACGAUGAUGAUGAUGAGGAGGCUGUACUACUUGUCAUAUAUUAGAAUAAUGAUAAGUUAUCAUAUAUAUGACUAUGGAUGAUUACUUUUUAUAUGACUAAGAUGAUGAUGAGUUAUUAUAUCAUUAUGAUAAUGAUGAGGGGUGGAAGAAACACGGAUUGGAUUAAAGUAGAUGGAUCCAAGUGACCAAGUUGAAGUAGUAGGACAAUAUGAUGUUGGGACGACACACAAGUGUCGAACGAAGGCAACGCCUAUCAAGUCCAAUUUGCAUUGGAGGCAUAUAUAAGGAGGUUGUUGCAUCCUCAGAAGUCAAAUCACUCGAAGUGUUUGCAACAAAUAAGGUGGUCAAGGUUCUUCUCUUUCAUGUUGCGAGGAGCCUUGACCACCUUAGUUGCCAUGUUGAGGUUAUCAAGUUCGAGUGCAAGGACAUGAUCCUUGACUGUCAGACGCGCUUGACACCCACAUGCAUGGAGCGUAGCGCCGCCCACAAAUCAGACACGGACUAUGUAAAACGUAGGUUUUGGGGGAACUGGCUCAACCCUCUAUGGGGUGCCCUAUCACAUAUAUAUAAUGAUGACAUACAAGUCCUAUACCAAUACGGUAUGGAUUACAUAGUAGGGCCACAAUACGAAAUCUAACACCCUCCCUCAAUCUCAACUCACUCCGAAAGUAUCUAGGAGGUUGAGAUUGCGCCUACAGACCUCAAACAUGGGAGAAGGUAGAGGCUUGGUGAAGAUGUCUGCAAGUUGAUCUUUUGAAGAGAUAAACCUUACUUGUAGUAGCUUAUGUGCAACACGUUCCCUCACAAAAUGAUAGUCAAUUUCAAUGUGUUUAGUCCGUGCAUGGAACACCGGGUUUGAUGAAAGAAACGUAGCACCGAUGUUGUCACACCAAAGGACCGAAGGAUGUGGCUGAGCAACUCCUAGCUCUCGAAGUAAGGACUCAAUCCAUAUAAGUUCAGCAGUCGCAUUGACAACCGACUUGUACUCAGCUUCCGUGCUGCUGCGGGAAACAGUGGCUUGCUUGCGUGCACUCCAGGCGAUCAGAUUAGGACCCAAGAACACAACAUGUCCCCCCAUAGAUCGCCUGUCAUCUGGACACCCAGCCCAAUCAGCAUCAGAGAAAGCAGAAAGAACUCCGGAGGAACUGGGCCGCAGGUGAAGACCAAAGGAGACAGUGAGACGCACGUAACGCAGUAUGCGCUUCACAGCAGACUAGUGUACAUCAGUAGGUGCAUGAAGAUACUGGCACACCUUGUUAACCGCAAAAGAGAGAUCAGGACGCGUGAUCGUCAGAUACUGCAAGCCACCAACAAUACUCCUGUACUCAGUAGCAUCCUCAGGAGAUAGAAGAGCACCAUCAGCAACAGAAAGUUUGUCAGUGGAGGACAUGGGCGUAGGCGAUGUCUUGCACUUGAGCAUACCAGCACGGCGCAAGAGAUCAAGAGAGUACUUCUUCUGGGUGAGAGCCAAACUGCCACGAGACUGAUGAGCGACAUCAAUACCCAGGAAGAAAUGAAGCUGGCCCAAAUCCUUAACUGCAAAAUCAUGACCAAGUGUAGCCACAAGAGCAUCAGCAGCUGUCGGAGAGGAGCUCACCAGGACAAUAUCAUCCACAUACACUAGGAGGUACAUGGUCACACUCGGUUGCUGGAACAAGAACAGUGAAGUAUCAACCGUCGAAGGAAUGAAUCCAUGAGUGUGUAGUGCUGAAGCCAGGCGAGCAUGCCAGGCACGAGGAGCCUGCUUCAGUCCAUAUAUAGCCUUCAUCAGACGAAAGAGAUGAUACGGCUAAGUGUGAUCAACAAAUCCAGGUGGCUGCCUCAUGUAAACCUCUUCUUCAAGCAAUCCGUGAAGAAAAGCGUUCUGCACGUCAUGCUGACGGAGAGACCAUCCGCGAGAAACUGCCAGAGACAGAAGAAGUCGAAUAGUGGUGGGCUUGACAACUGGGCUGAAUGUAUCCUUAUAGUCCAAUCCCUGACGCUGUUUAAAUCCCUUAGCCACGAGACGCGCUUUCUAGCGCUCAAUGGAACCAUCUGCAUGUUUCUUCACCUUGAACACCCACUUCGAGUCAAUGAUGUUGACGCGAGACGGAGGGGGAACAAGUGUCCAGGUCUUAUUCUUCAUAAGAGCGUGAUAUUCUUGUUCCAUAGCAGCCCUCCAGUGUGGAAUACUCAUAGCGGCUUGAUAACUGCGUGGUUCAGCGGUUGGAUCAUCCACUGCAUGAGCCAGGCAAGCAGCAAGAUAUGUGACCGUGCCAUCGGUGCGCUCCUUGGGACAAACAAUGCCACUGCGGCUACGUGUGUGUGGAUGCCGCGGAGUAGCGAACACCGGGGCCGGCAGGACGUCCAGAGCAGGCGAGGCCGGUCCAGGGGACUCCGACGAAGAAGGACCGGGUGACGGCGGACCGGGCGACAGCGGGCCAGGCGACGUAGGCCCCAGCGGCGUGAGAGCCGCUGUGGACCCGGGCGAAGUAGGCGGCAGGGAUGCCCGCGCGGAUGGCGGUGGCGACAACGGAGGGGAGUCCAGGCGAGGAGGCGGCGACGUAGGAUGCUCAGAGGAGGCCGUCACGGGCUCCGGCCCAGUCGCAGUAGCCAAUACAAUAUGGGCUCCGGCCCAGUCGCAGUUGGAGACGGGGCUCCCGGGGCGGGGUCGAGGGCGGGAGGCGGUGCAUGCACAUGCACCGGCCGAGAAUUCAUGCUCCCCUCACGUCUAGGCUAUUUUAGUCCUUAGACGUGGGAUCGAUAGGCCGCAGAAUCGUUUUUUAUUUAAUACUGCGUUGGCAGGGCCUUGAACUCAAGACUUCUUGGCUCAGAUACCAUAUUGAAUUCAUGCUCCAGCCAACUCAUCCAAAAGUCCGAACUGAUGGAAGGAGGUGGACAAUAUAUUUCAACAGACUCCUUCUCUGCAACUCAUAGCAGUGUCACGUCGUCGAUCUGCUGGGAGAUUAUUGUCAUGGCCAGAUCCUCCUUGCUUUCAUCUACCUCCUUGGACGAUCCCAUCACGAUCAACGACACCCCAGGCACCAUGUGCUCAGGUGGUACUUCAUCCUCAUUGCCCAUGCUACGUAGUUUGUUUUUGUCAGCUGCAGAAUCGGAAUCUUCCCGCUGCCGCUGCUGCAAUCGCCGGGUUGCUUGAUCCACUGGGCCCCAUGGUUGUAGUGUCACGCGGCAUCAUCUUUGUCAUAACCUAGCUCUGGUACCAAUCAUUAGCAAAACAACAGAGUGGCUAGCUCUCCAGGAUCAAACAAAGAGUAGCAGAGAGCAGCUGUGCGUGGUCGUUGCAAUCUACACGCGUGCUUACACACACACACACACUUGCACUUGCACUGGAGAUGCUCACGUACACUGCUAGCUUGGAAGCUUGAUUGCUUGAGUGCUUCUCACGGUUACAAAGAGAGAGUACAAGCCCUUUUAUAGGCUCCAGACCGGCCAUUGUGCAUGCACCAACAUUUCUUACAUGCACAACUCAUGCAUGUACUACUCUACGAGUGACAUGUUUCACCUGACAAGCUAAGCAAACCACUUUUGAGUUGCAUGUAUAUAGCCACAACACACAUCCUAGAAGCUCCUACUAAUGCAGCUCAACCUUAUUUACUACAGGUAGCUAGCUUAACUAGUAAGCGAGUACGUCAGUCUGCUCAUCGCUAGAUACUCUAUUUGCUAGCUGUGCCUCCUUGCCGACAUCUUAUAUUUUUGGUACACUGCCAAUCGACGUGCGUGAACAUUAGCUAGGCAAGCAAGCAAGAUUAGUUCCAACAUUCCACCCACGCGCGGUAUCCUCUCUACAAGUCUUGUGUUCCCACUUCACUUGCAUUGGACAUACUUUUCCUCCAUGUAUGCAUGUGGUGUGGAACGUAUAUACGUAGGCCGCGUAUACUUUUCCUUCUACUAGUAACAACUAGAGCCGCGUCCUCUGCUCGCGUGGUCGGUAGGUAAAUCCAUCCUUCCUGCUGGCUUCCUCAGUACGUUAAAUAGGGACGAAAAUAGAGUGAAAUUUUUUCAUUUCUUCAGAGGAAAAAUAAAAACAAAGAGAAAAUAUGAAAACGGAAAUUUGUAAAAUAAAAGUGGAAAUGGAAUUUUUAUGCGGAAACAGAAACAAAAUUGGAACGGUGUUUUUCAAUGAAACAAUGUGGAGUACCAACUAAAUCCAGCCGUUAAUAUUGGAGGGCAUUAGAGACAUUUUACAGUUCACGUGGUGGUUUGAUUACCCUGAUCCUACUUGUGUCUACGGCGCCGGCGGAGCGACCGAAUCAGCCGCCGCCAUCUCAGUUUCUGAGAUCCGUCGCCUUUGUUAUAUACGAAUCUGCCGGCGUUGCUGAAAUCAAAACGAUCUCCUUUGUUAUAAACGAGUUAUACUCAGAGAUUUCACAACCGAUGCUGCAUUGCACAGUAUGCUGUUAUGUAUUACAGAUUCAUGAACCCACUCCUUGGGCUAUUUGCUAGUUGGAUCGAGUCUGGUUCUUACCUUUAAAAAUGGAGUCAAAACCCGAGGAAGCAUCGAAAGUCUCGAGUCCAACCUUUUUUUUGGGUGGCCCUUAUCCCAUCGAUGCUAGUUUUUUUGUUUUGUUUUUGCGAGACUCGGCAUCUCCAGCGGCAGCCCGUAAAAAUCGUCCCGCAUCUCUCCGCGGACAGGAGGAACCAGACCGCGGACACGAUUGCGAGAGGCAACCAUCUAACUUUAGCUGCAUAUAUUUUACCGAAAAAAGGUUUCCCCCCGCUUUAUAUUCCAAAGCAACCAACACCGAGUACAGAUAACGCUGUGGCGAGCAGCACAACACACCAAAAGAAAAAGAAGAAGAAACAAAUGCCAACCACGGCAGCUUGGCAAAGCGCGGAUGACCCGCCACCGCGGCGCCCACCGGAAACAAAACACCACCAACCGAGGCUCCGAUCCGCCGCGUACCAAGCAGCACCUCCAAGAAGGGAUGCGACACCGACGACGCUGCUGCCCGGACGAGUCCUCAGGUUUCCCCGGGCACGCGGAGGGAGGUGGGGGGUGGAUACCACCGACACCCUCCAGGGAGGAAUGGUGGCACCCGCAGGUGUCACCGCGUCGGGGCCAAAGCCGGCAGGGAUUUCUCCCGCAUUCCAACCCCAACCGCCCAACCGAACGGAACCGACCCGCCAAAACCGUCGCCCAUCACCAUGCGCCAACGCAGUAACGCCGCCACCCACGCCGCCUCGCUACGAACACCACCACGAGGCCAAGAGGACCGGAGAGAAGCUCACCACGACGGGAGCAGCAACAUCGACGCCGAGCGGGAGGGAACCACCUCCACCGCCGUCGUGCGGGAGGCCCGUGCCUCCGGCACCGUCGCGGUAGCCGUCCAGACGCAGCAGCGGGGCAUGCCGGGCCACCCCUGGCCCAGCCAGGCCCGAAGCGGGCCCGUUAAGCCCCGCCGGCCGCAAUGCAGCAGGCCGGCGUCGUCGCCGCCGUCACCCAGCCACGCGUUGCAUCUCCCCCGCCUCCCAGAAGCCACACAGGAGCCAUCCCCGCCGCCGGCCCGCCCAGGCCCAGAUGGGACUCGAAGGGCCCAGAUCUGGGCCGAGCGGACGACGACAGAUCCCGCCACCGCGCCGCCCCGCCGCCAACGGCGGCGCCGCCGCCCAGUUGCUCGCCUGCAUGCGCCACGGAGCCCCGCCGCCGCCUAGAUGCACCCCCCGGAGCCGCUCCACCCGUGCCGGAGACCGACCGGGAGGGGAAGGGCCAGGAGGCCGCCGCCACCAGCAGCCCCAGGGCCAAGCCGGCCGCGGGCGCCGGCGACGGCGGCGAGGAGGAAGAAGGGAGGGGGGAGCCUGGAGGGAGGAGGCCCGACGCGCGGCCGGUCGCCCGCGGGGGGGGGCUCUUUUGCUGCAUAUAUUUUCACAACAACUUGAACCAAUCGAACAAAAUUCGUUCAAACAAGUUCAGAAUUCAUAUAAACGCGGCCGGAUUUCAUAUAAACAUACCGGAUUUUAUAUAAACAUGACCGAUUUCAUUACAAAUACAUCAAAGCGGUCAUAGGUGGGCAUUUGAGUAUAAUUAAUACCUAAUCUAAAUGAUGGCCGGCACCCGGUCCCCGUCUGCGGCCAUCAGCCUCUAGAACUGAAGCUUCGCCGCCUACAGAUCCGUCUCGGUGUUCUCCAGCUCCGACUAUGUGACCUCCCCCUCCGGAGCCUCAAACACUGAAGUUGCCCGCCUCGACGACUCCUCGCCAUCGUUGUUGUCGCAAUCCUUGCCGGCGGCCGUCACCUCCGCCACCCACUGCCGGUACCGCCAGCGGGCGGAGCGGUAGGACUCGAGCAACGCCUCCUGCUCCGUCAGGUCCACGUCUGGCGCGACUGCCCUGCCGUCGGCGACCUGGUCCUCCGCUUGUAGAUGCUCCUGAAGGAGGUUGUGGAUGUAUUUGGCGUCGGCAUGUGCCUCCCGGAACUACUCCUCCCUCACCGUGUCAAGCUACAGUAACCCUCUCUGAUUGAGCUAAACCAUUUUACAAAAAGUGCUUGACUAUCUUGAUCAAUCAUUUCACAUUCCACUUUAAAUUCAAAUUCAAAUCAUAAGUGAAAUAAAGAAAUUCACAAAAAUGAAAAAAAGUUCAAACUGUUGCAGAUAAUCACUGGAUAAAUGUCUUGGUGAAACCAACAUUUUAUAAAGUAUUUAAAUGCCCUAAAAUAUUUAAAACAUGACCUAAAACAAUAAUUGAAAUGUUUUAAAAAUUGCAAACUAUUUUAAUUAAGUGCCAAACUUUUUGUGACAGUGUCUUAAUUCAUAACACUAGUUUAGGUGCAAGUUUGAUAUUUCAUAAAACAUGGCCUAAAACAAAGAAGGUGCUUUAUUACAUAUCCAGCGUCUCAGGAGUCAGGACGGAUCAUCUACUUAAGAACAGGAACAUAUUACAGACCAGAUCGGGUAACAUGGGGUAUGAUGGCGAUGGAUGUUUCAAGUCAUCUGCGGCGACACCAGAGCAAUCGGUGAUCUGAUGAACUCCAGAGCUGAAGUUGGGCUCAUCGUGGUCCUCUCGUCGCGCUUGUGCAAGUGUGGGCGUCUAUAUAUCUUCAGCAGCAUCCCAAGUUGUCACCCCCACUCCAGUUGUCCUGUCCUCCCAGUAGGCAUCAAGCACCAUUUAAACUCUUCCAUAAAUAUUUCUGUAUGAAAACGAUCUGGUAUAAGAGUGAUCCGAAUCCAAGUGGUAAGCUUAGAACGAUUAACAUUGCAAAGAGAAAGCAGACAUUUAUGAAAUACUACAUGACAUAGUACAAAAUGCUCAUAUUUCAAAAUUCAAGUGUAUUUGAGUUACACGGGAGAGACAUAUAUAGCAGAUACGACCAAUUACCUGCAUGCUACCAAACUACCAUGCUACACACAUGCAUGGUAGUGAACUCGUGAUACACGAUCCCACACAUACAUCAUUUAUUCAAUCCCAAAUUACCGGGCGCUACAAGGUCACAAAAGAUCCAAAGAAAUGGAUAGUAGUGAAGGCGGUGGUUGUGACCUCCGCCGACACUAGGUUGUUUGCCCCGUCCAAAAUCGGUCAAGCCCCGAGCUAUGGUGUGUGUCUUCAUGAUAUGGCCAAGCCUGCUUCAUGAAAAUUGGCAUUCGCUCCUCAGUGAAGCACAUGUCUUUCAAUCAAUGUUCGAUGCGGUCAUCAGAAUGUCGUUCUGACAUGAUAUUUCUGUCUUAUUUUGUUAGGCUUAUCCUUGCGAGUUCAGAUCAAUGAGCCUCAAUAUGCCAGUUGUCUGGUUGCAGACUCAUCGUGCAUUGUUAAUAGUAUGUGUUUGAGAGCUGAUCCAUUGCAAAAUAUUUUUCCCUCUCCCGUUGCAACGCACAGGCAUGUGUGCUAGCAAAAAGGCCCGUGCGUUGCAAUGGGAGAAAAAAAUAUCAAAAAGGCCCGUGCGUUGCAAUGAUUGUCAUGCAUGCAUGUCCAAUGCUGAUUUUGCCAAGGUGUUCAUCCACAAUCUGAAUUAGUGCCGGUAUAUCAAUCCUGAUUUUGCCGAGGUGUUCAUCCCCAAUCUGAAUCAGUACCGUUAUGAAAAAAGACGAAAAAUGCAUUGUUGAUUAACAGUGCAGCCUAGGUACAAUAAUAUCAUAUUCAGAUGCUACAUAAUUUUCUAAUGAAAUUUCAUAUAUAGCAUGUUAAAUUUGGAGUUACGGCUUAGAAGAUACGAGUAUUUUAAAAUACAUUUGAUAUGCAAUGCGGGUUUAAUGCCAGAAAUAUUAGCGGGUUUUCAAUAAAAUAGCAAAACGGAUUAAGAAUACCUAUUUUUUUAUUAGUAGGUAUAGACAACGCCGCCCUUAUCCACGUCCCCGGACAGACAUGAGCCAUGUAUGCAACGCGGGCCAUGCAACACCAGCCAUGCAAUGCUUUUGACCAACGGGCUUGCGGUGGGGGAUCCGAUGCGGACCGAGGUGGAUGUGGCUACAGGACAAGACAGCAGGAGGGUGCGGGGUUCAAAACUGUGGCGGGCCACGCAUAUGCUCGCCCCGAGACAGCCAGUGAUCAUGUGCUGGAUCCGGACCACGACAGAAUGGAACGAGAGGAGGAUUGGGUGGACACGGUUUUCGAGGACGCGCUCCCAUGCAGUGGAUGCACAGGAGUUACCACAGACGCGGAAUCCCAACGCUGCGGGCCGGUGGGGAGCAUGUUCUGUGUCUCCCUAUCCACCGAACGGGAUGCCCCCACCUGUCUGCCCAGGAUGGUGGAUCGCCAUGCAGAUCAUGUAGCCCAUGCACGUUACCGCCCCGUGCGAACCCGGUGGAUGAACUUUGUGCCCAACUGAGAAAAACCUUGUCCCCAAUACUAACGACCCCACCAGCUAAGGCACAUGCCGCGACACAAAGGCGUACAAGGCAGAGGAGGGCACCGGUCUCCAACCCAUGGAGGAGCGCCAGAAGAGCUAGGGGAAUUGGACGUGGCUAGGCAGCAACAAAGCAACAAGGGGUGCUCAUCCGGAAGCUAUGCCUAGCGAAUGAAGCGGAAAUCAACACUGACGAGGCGCUUCGCACGUAUGCACAGCUCUGCGACCAGCCACUCUCGGAUAGCCACAUCAAGGCAAUCCUCGCCUUGUUUGGAUGGGAUGCCUCUGCGUUGCCGCUCGGAGACACGGAGGAAGUCGUGGAGGACCGGCUUUAAGGUCGGUUAUGGUGGUUUCCCUAGAUAGGCUAUCAAAAUGAGUGCACCAUAUUUCAAGACUCUAGUGUGGAACGUGAGGGGCCUUAAUACCCCGGCACGCCGGAGUGCAAUCUCUCAGGUGGUUAGCUCGGUUGCACCGAGCAUUGCGUGUCUCCAAGAGACAAAAAUGGAACUUGUAACGGCGGAUGUAGUUGCCCACUGCCUUGGGAAUAAACUUGAGAGUUUUUACUACCUGCCCGCGAUAGGCACGAGGGGAGGCAUCCUUCUAGCCUGGGAUGCUACAGUGGUAAAGCUAUCCAACCCGCACUAUACGAUGAACGCACUCACCUCGCUAGUCACGCACAUUGGAGGGUCGCAAUGGUGGAUGACAGGGGUCUAUGGCCCACAGCAAGACCAUGAGAAAGUGGAAUUCAUACAAGAAUUGGUGGACAUCCGCGAACUGAUAGCUGGACCGUGGACUGUCAUGGGUGAUUUCUACUUAUUAGUCAACCCGGAGGACAAGAACAACACACUAGUGAACAGACGGAUGAUGGCGCGGUUCCAUGCAAAACUUAAUAACCUCGAGCUCAAGGAGGUUUACUUGAAUGGGCGGAGGUACACUUGGUCCAACGAACGGGCGCAAACGACCAUGGAGAAGAUUGACCGCGUCUUCACCACGGCAUCUUGGGAGGAGCUAUACCCGACUUGUCAGCUUACAGCCCUGGGUUCCUCAAUCUCAGAUCACUGUCCACUUUUGCUGGACUUAGAGGCAGAACUACACAUGGGUAAACGAUUCAAGUUCGAGGCAUUCUGGACAAGAGCUGAAGGCUUCAUGCAAACAGUGGAGGAGUUGUGGAACUCCGUGCCCAGGGAAGAAAGUCCCUACGUCAUUCUUGAUCUCAAGUUGCGAGCCACGGCGAAAGGUUUGAAGAAGUGGAGCGACCGUUGGAUAGGCAACGUUAAACUGCAAAUAGGCAUUGCCAUGGAGAUAAUCGCUCGCCUGGACAAGACAAUGGAUACAAGAGCACUCUCCCCACAGGAACGAGACCUACGGCGCAUACUGAAACUAAAGUUACUCGGCCUAUGCUCCCUGGAACGAACAAUUGCGCGGCAAAGAUCAAGAAUCCUCUCCCUCCGGGAGGGAGAUGCAAACACCAGCUUCUUCCACCAACAUGCUUGCCACCGGCAAAGGCGAAACAUGAUCACGACGGUCAGAAAUGGGGACACCACCGCGAGCGGGCCUGAUGAGAUCGCACAAGAAGUGGAUGACUACUACACACAUGUGUUUGCCUGCACACCUGGCAGGACACACACCAUCGAUCUCAGUCUCCUGAACCUACCGACCAUGGACCUGACACACCUUGAUCAGCCUUUCACCAUGGAGGAAGUGGAGAAGAUUGUGAAGAACAUGCCCAUGGACAAGGCACCGGGUCCAGACGGCUUUACGGGUCGGUUCUUUGCAUCCUGCUGGUCUAUAAUCAAAGACGACCUAAUGAGGGCACUCCAAGCUUUCCACCAGGGCGACAUGAGGGGCCUACAUGCCAUUAACAAGGCGAUCGUAGCCCUCCUUCCCAAGAAGGAUGGAGCAGUGGACAUUCGUGAUUUCAGGCCAGUGAGCCUGGUUCAUAGUGCGAUAAAGAUCUUUGACAAAACACUAGCUACACGGCUUGCAAUGGAUCUUCCUUCCAUAGUAGGAAAUCACCAGAGCACCUUCGUGCGAGGGCGAUCCAUCCACGACAAUUUCAUGCUCGUGCAAUGCACGGCAUGAAGGCUCCACGCCCUACGAGACCCAGCCAUUAUGCUCAAGCUUGACAUAUCAAAGGCGUUUGACUCGGUGCAAUGGCCCUUCCUACUAGAAGUCCUACGCCAAGCUGGGUUUGGGGAACGGUGGAUCAUGUGGAUUUGUGGGAUCCUGGCAAGCACAUCAACAAGGAUCAUGGUCAAUUCCGGGACGGCCAAUUUACAACACCGUGGGCUUGAGGCAAGGUGCCCCACUAUCCCCAAUGCUAUUCAUUCUCAUCAUGGAACCCUUGCACCGCAUGUUUGAGCUCGCGACCGCUAGAGGACUGCUUGCUCCGCUUGCAAGAACAGGGCUGCAUCACCGCCUCUUGAUGUUUGCUGACGACGUAAUGAUCUUCCUCAAGACAAACGAGCGGGAUUUGAACACAUGUGCAUCAGUUCUUACUCUGUUUGAAGAGGCAUCGGGCCUUCGCGUCAACCUUGCCAAGAGCGCCGCCUAUCCUAUACGAUGCUCUGCCGAGACCAUGGAAGCAGUGGAGCGAACACUUGGCUGCCCGAGAGGUACCUUCCCGUGCAAAUACCUUGGGCUGCCACUCACUCUGAGAAAGCAGUCCCAUGUGCACCUAUCAGGCCUUGUGGAUCAACUCGCGACGGCGCUGCCGAAGUGGAAAGCAGCGAAGAUGCCAAAGAGUGGAAGAAUGCUUCUUGUUCAAUCUGUGCUAUGUGCGAUUCCGCUACAUGCGAUGAUGGCGCUCGACCUCCCACAGAAGACAAUUACAGCAAUGAACAGGAUUUGUCGCAGCUUCCUAUGGUGCGCUGAGGCAAGCUCGUCCGGCGGCAGUUGUGCAGUCGCCUGGGAAACUGUGUGCGCCCCCAAGUGGGCAGGUGGACUAGGCAUCCCCAACCUAGGAUGGAUGAACAAAGCUGUGCAGGCAAGGGGGCCUUGGUUGCAACGAUCAGACACAGCGCAACCAUGGGCGGAAUUUGACAUCGUUGUGCCAAAAGCUUCAAGGAAAAUCUUCAACGUGGCUGCUCGCUGGACCCUAGGAGAUGGAAAUGCAACACUCUUUUGGGAGGAUAGAUGGCUUGAAGGAUACCGGAUCGCGGAGAUUGCACCCUUGACCUAUGGGCGAGUCAGGAGGAGGAUAAGAGGCACAUGCAUCAUAUCCCAAGCGCUACAGAACGACCAUUGGGUCGCUCAAGUGAGCCCGGUGGUAUCAGCCGACUCGCUACGUGAAUACCUACAGCUGUGGAGCAUGAUCCAAAGGGUCGAACUUGACCCAACGCAGCGCGAUAACAUCACUUGGUCAUGGGAAGCAAAUGGAUGCUAUUCAGCGAGGACUGCCUAUGCAACCAAGUUCUGGGGCAGACAGGUCGUCCCCACGGCCGAAUUCACUUGGAAAUCUAAGGCACCGGCGCCCUGUCGCUUCUUCACAUGGCUCGCAAUCCAGGACAGGUGCUGGACGUCCGAUCGGUUGGCAAGACGAGGACUCGAUCAUCAAGACUGUUGCCCAAUGUGCAACCAAGCAGAAGAGAACAUAAACCACAUUCUACUUCAGUGUGUCAUUGCACGGGAAGUGUGGACCGCAAUCUGCCAUCACUUACGCAAACCGGAGUGGGUACCUACUGCGACCAAAAACCUCGGUGCAUGGUGUCAAGACAAGAAAGGAAGAGGACAAGCCGGGAGAGAUGCAAAUGCAAUCAUCAUCCUAGGGCUAUGGAAACUAUGGAAGCACCGCAACUCUAUCGUCUUCGACGGAGCGGCACCUUCAAAGAACCGGAUUAUCCACGCAGUCAUCCGAGAGGGCCGUGUAUGGAAACAAGCGGGCAUACUAGGAGGAGACAUGGACGUAUUCUUUGCAGAAAUGGAGGAGUGGGCAGCGGAGAGUAGAUAGUCAUAGGAGAGCAAGGUGGAGGGUGGGGUUAGUGUGCAGUGUAUAUAUAUGUAAUCUGUAACGCUAACGUGGACGGGCUCUUUACCCCGAUUCCUUUUUAUAAUAUAGUACGCACACUCGUGCGUAUUUGAGAAAAAAAAGCCAUGUAUGCAUACAUAGUUCACACUUACAUUACAAACGUACGUAUAUUAGCUCUUUUUUUAGAGAGAAAGCAAAAUCCAACGUUUUAGGGUCCGUCGACGAAUGGAAGGUGAAGCUUUUCAAGCAUAAACUGGCGUUGGAACGCGAGGCUUCCGACAGUAGGGAUACUGGCAGCUGCAACCAGCGACGACGAAGCAAAAACCAGUAUAGCAUGUUUCGUCAGCGCAUCUGGCGUCUCCCCGAGGUGCUUUCAGGACGAGGCGCUCGAUCGCUAUCUUUUUUGACUGCGCCGCCACCUUUUCCAUCUCCUCUGGUGGUGAGCGAGCCAUGGCCCGCGGAGCUGCCGCCACGAGCAGCUGCAGAACCACCAGUAGCGUCACCAUGCCGAGUGCCUUCUUAUGAACGCUCUCCAUACCUCUCUCUCACAGGAUUUUAUGCUUCUCCCUGAGAUUUUAGGCUGCCUCACACAACUCUCACAAGAACAAAGGAGACGCCGGGGUUUGGCUCAGCUGCCUCAUGCAACCUGCACUGUUGUCUUCUUCUAUUUCUCUUGGCUCAAAGUAAGCAUGAUUACAAUGCUUAAGUAGGAUCAGGCACACACUAACACACUAACUCAGGCCACUAACGCAUGACUCAGCCAACAUGCAAAACACACCCACAAAGCUAACUAACAAACUAACGGACUGGCCGAUUCUCUCGGCUUCAACUGAUUGUCGCUUCACACGAUCAUGCCGCAUCGUCCAGUACAGCAACUUCACGCCACCACCGGCAUAUUGCCGUGCUCGCCGCAUCUCGCCUUCGUCAUGCACACAACUGAAGCUUCAUUGGCCUACGCACACUACCCUAGACAAUCUAAACUAGUACAUGCCAAACUCAAAAGUAAACAUAGUGAUAGAUCAUGAAAAGAUUAGGGCUAACGUAUCUCUCUCUGUUUUUGUGUAUUUGUAGCUUGCACCCGGCGUACACGUUGGUUGAUCCCAGCCAGCCCUAUUUACAUGCGUUAGGAAUUGGCAGUAGCUACAUAAAGGAUUGACAGUGCUGGAUUUCUGCUAGCAGACAUAAACGUUGGUGCUAGGUUUUUUUUUCCAAAUACAUACAUAUAGAGUACAUGUCGGCGGUGACCUGCCAUGGAAUGGUCCGCCUUAGUUUUAAGAAACAUAAAAGGCCAGAAAUGUGAAUCAGGGCCAGACACCAAACAAGCAAGAUAUUGGUAAAAGAAAAUAAAUGGUAGUUUUGGUAAAUGCACGGGUGAUGUCUAAACAUGGAAUGCAUGUUCACUUUGGUGUCUGAAGUUGAAAAACACCAAUUUUCAGGAUCAACUGUUAAAGUUGAAUACAAAUUUAUAGGGGGGGAGGGGGGGCAGAGCCAAUGGCCGCCGCCCUGACUGCUGCACACGACUGUCGCACAAGUACCGCCCCAGACACAUCUCGGGGACCCCGCCAUGAUCCACCAGCCUAGGCACCUUCAUCGGCAGGCCCGCCGCCACGGCGGCAGAGGAGCUGCCGAAAUCGGGGCUGGCGGCGCUAGGGUUGGGGUCCCUGGCGUCGCCAUGGGAAGCGUCGCGAGGGGUUACAUGGGCAAUGUCAAACCCUGACCAGGGAUAGGACCGGGUAUCCUUGUCCCCACUGUUUAGAGGCAGCUCAUUAUCCAACAUAGGCAACAUUGACUAUAAUUUUUUUAUUAUGAGGGACAUUGACAGUAAUCGACUAAGGGCUUGCUUUUCUUGUGGCGAUCCAUAUGCCCAUCUCUAUUGUCUAGCUGAGAAAUAACAUCAUGGUGGACUCCAAGUUGUGAUUCGACGCACAGUAGAUACUGUAACUAAACCUGCCCCCCGUAGACAUUGUCGUAAGCUUGGCGAUGGAAAUUGUGAAACUUCUAGUAAGCACGGGGCGGAGCCAUGUUAGCGCUAGGCUCGGGCAUGCUCCGAUGCUACUACAGUGGUAUACAGUACAUGCUACAAUGCGAAAUAUAGCCCCUGGGAGUGCGUGACGCCCCGGGCCGUUAUAAUCACGUUCGGUGUGGUAAGCAGACCGUUAUAAUCACGUUCAUAUUUCAAAUGUAUUUGAGUUACAUAAGACAUUCUCGGAUAAGAGAAAAUCCCAGAAAUGUAACACAGAUAUGCACCGUCAAUUUGAGUAUAUGAGAUGUAAUAUCCAAGACAACUACUACCUCUGUAAAGAAAUAUAAGAGCAGAGGGAGUACUAUAGUAUUCGUUCAUCAAUCUAUGCUUCGUCUCCAGGAACCAUACAUGGUCUUGCUCUAUGUGUCACUUUGUAAGAAUAGCUUCUAGCAGCCGGGCAGUAGAUCUCAAGGUAGGUGAUACCGGAGAGCUACCAAAGAAGCCUUCCUAUAGAGCAUAAUUCACAAUAUCUGAUUUGAUCUCGGCGUCGACUUGGCAUGCACCUUGGUAUGUCGAAAUCGAGACCUACAGAAGCAGAAGUUACAGGAUGGAAGACAUUUAGCACCCCCAGGAACCAGUUUCAACUAGUCUUCGAGCUUCAUUUCUUUUUUCCCUCAAAGUUGAAUCAAUGAUUUUGUUUAUUCUUCACACGAAUAUUGGUCACUUCAGUUUAUUUGCAUCUUAAUAUGUGCUCGACAAUUUCGUUCUGGGAAAAGUGAGCACUACCGAAUACUAUAUUUCUUUCUUAAGUAAACGACGGACCAAGUUGUGGCCUAUAGAUGGCCACAAUGCUAUUAUCCUAUCACCACAUAUAUCAUGUUAUUACGGGAUAUUAACAUUACAUCUUUAGUAUUUUGCAUUGGAAACAUAAACCUUGGCAACUCGUGGGCCUGUUCUUUGCUGUUGACUUUGCAGUUUAACUGCCGGAGUCUCAAACAGGAUAAGUUCUGCAACAGGGCUAACAGCGAUGGUUUUUGUAGAGGCUGUUAGAGACACUGAAACCACUGGUUCCAUUACAAAAACCUUGGCAUUUCCAUAUAUGCAACUUCAUAACUGGUUUAUUUUGGUUUUCUUUUUUGCUCCGAAAGAGGGAUCAAUAACACCCCCGGGCUCUGAGGUACGCAGCCUUCAUACUACUGAAUAAUUUUAAAUACAGCUUCAGGAAACUAAUACAUGAAUCAGCAUUAAUACAUGUUACCCAGGACAUAGCAAACAAUCUGAUUUCGAAACCUGGAACUUCAGAGCAGAGACACGGCUUGGUAAGACCGGCCAUUCAGAGCCAGGACUAUUUGCAAAGUAGAUACUGUAAAUCUUGACUGUAGUGAGACUAAUUGUUAACAAACUCACCAGCAUUCUUUCGGGUUCCAACCGAGUUAAAUAGAUGCUUGUUCCCUGUUUGAGAUUGCUCCCUAGACAGUUAUUCCGGAAGGUCAAGAACGAAGAUUCUUCCUCAGCGGUCGGUUUCUGGAUCCGGCGAGCAAUAACGUCAUCCAAAGCCUUCACGAAGGUCUUGCCGUUAACAUCUCUAACAAGAGUCAUGCUCGGAGAUUGAUGCCGAGACUGGUAUUACGGAAGAUCGAGGCGGAAUUCGAAAGCUGGAGAGUUGCAAGAGAUAGAGACAUGUAAUUUGUAUUGAUGGUUGAGUCUGGCGUUGAUCGUUCAAACGGUCAACAACAGGCUAUCUUUGUACUAUUUUCACCCUAUCUCAAUGUAAAAGACCUGCUAGCAGGCAAAAAUGACGGUGCUAGAUUUCUGCUACCAGACAUAAACGUCGCUGCAGUGGCCUGUUUCACGUAUGUGCUUGGUCAUGGGUUGAUGAAAUGUGCCCAUGUUUUCCAGAAACAUAAAAUGCUAGAAACAUGUAUCACGACCAGAUCUGGACACCAACAAACAAGAUAUACUAACUGGUAAAAACAUGCAUCACCGAGAGAUAAUUCAGUUAAUCGAUAAUAGUAAAUAUUAUAAUUAAAACUGCCCUUAUAUAGAUAAACAUUGCGGUAAGUCAAACAACGAAAACCGCAAAUAAUUAAGGUGAGUGACCGGCCGCCGCAUGUAUGUCCGAUACAACCUUUUGUAACCGUACGAUAAAGAAUUGGCUUCAUCCCAGAAAAUCAAACACGAGAUAGAAACACGUGGAAAAGGUAGUUGCGCACAUGCCGGACUGCACGUGCCCUCACCGGCCGCCCGCACUGGUCCUCGGCUUUCCGUGCUUGCCGGCCACAUUUGCCACCGCGCCCGCCACCUGUGCUUGCCGGCUGCUCACGCCACUAUGCUCGCCAUGGCUGCAGCUCCAAUACAGUCAGGUUCCAACGUCCGGUCACCAUGGUUGCAACUUCCCUUGCUUUCCCUGUCUCCGACUCGCCUCCAUCGACUUCACCGCCAUGUCCAGCAAAGAAAAAAAUCUAAAGCAACAAAAACCGCCGGUACUUGGUUGAAGCAAAAGGAUUUGCUAGUUCCAGCAAAAAUCUAAAGCAAGAAAACCUCCGGUACUUAGUUGAAGCAAAAUGAUUUGGCAGUUCCAGCAGAAAUGGUUGGCGUUCGGUGCAUGUGCGGCGUGGUCGGCCUUUGGUGCAAGUACGGCACAAACAAACGGCUGCUACUUACGCACUCCUGGCGAGGAAUCGGACUACUAACGGGUCAUGGACCAAGCUGCAAUGUCCUCUUGACUAGGACAGCAGGUGCGCCGCGCCUCUCGCUCUGCAACGCUCCAUCGGUCUUGCUGUGCGCGCACCGCAGCCUCUCCAUGCGGACGCGACUAUCUUGAUCCGCGACGCUGUCGUGCCCUGCACCGAGGGUCCUCUCAACCCAGGCGAUGACACGCAGCACGCAUUGUCCGGUGCGUUGCGGGGGACGCCCUCGGCCUCGACGAACCAUGGUGCCUGCCCCGGCUCGUUUCCUCGUCGAGGAUGUUGAUGGCAGAGGCGCCACUUCGGCGGGUUGGCAUGCUUGAAAAUGGCAGAGCGGCUAUAUGUUGCGCUUGUCGUGCCUCCGUGUGUCGAGCGCCGCCUAGGCUUAUGCCCUAACACUGGUGGCGGAAAACUGAUGUGAAAGUGACGGGAAACGAUGACGUGUUCGGAUAACUCCAUCAACGAAAAACUUAUCAAAGAAGGAAGCACGAGCUAGAGUUGACUGUACGAACCGUGUGUGUAACUUUCAAAUCAUCACACACGAGUAUUCAUGUCACGCAUCGUGUGUGAUUCUCCAAGCCAUCGCAAACAUUUUGUGCUUGUAAACCGUUUAGGGUGACGCACAGACCGUAUGUGUUAUGGACAUGUUCGCAUACGCAGAAUUAUAGUUAGCAGUGUGCCAACUAUUAUACACGGUCUUCAUCACCUAAUCGUGCCCAAUGGAUGGGCCAAUGCACACAUUUCAUUUUCUGGCACACAAGUAUAUUUUGUUGCCGCUUGUGAUUUUUUGUAUUCUACACAAUUUGGUCGAUUGGUGUGUGAUAGAUGUGUCGCCUUAUGACCUUCCAGCAGUAGCUAGGGUUCCUGCGACACGGCCGUUGGCCGCGGGGCGGCGUGGCGGUGCUGGUGGCCGGCGGCGCCCGCACGGCCUAGAUCUGGGCCCUUUCGGGCUCCAUCUGGGCUAGGGUGGGCCGGCGACUCCGUGUGCGGCGAUGCUGCUCCCUGGUUGGUGGCGAGGAGGUGGUGUUCUGCGGGCGGUGGCUGCUUCGUCGGCCGGCGAGCUGCAGCGUGACGACAGGGGCUGUCCAGACCCUUUUGGGUCCGGCCGGGCCUCGGCGCCUGGCAGGCCCCUUGUCCGUGCAUCUGGUCGGCUCCGCGGUGGCGGUGGUGGUUGUCCCCUCACAUCGGCGAUGUUGCGGAUGGCCCCGAGCCCACUAUCUCUUCUCCCAUCCUCCAGGUCUCGUGUCGGUGACCUCAGGGAGACGGCGAAGUUGAUUUGGUGAUCGUGGUGGCACAUGUUGGUGGGCGGCGUGAUGGGCGGUGCACUAUGGUUCGUCCGAGGUGGUGGUGGGGGUUUGGGUCGGGAGAAAUCUCUGGCGGCUCGUCCGGCCCCGACGCGGCGACGCCUAUGGGUGCCGUCGGACCUUCCUGAAGGGCGUCGGGUACACCCUCUCCCCACUGCCCCCCGCGUACUGGGGAAACCCUAGGACUAGUCCGGGCAACAGCGACGUCGUCGUCGCCUUCUUCUUGAAGGUGUUGCUUGGUACGCGGCGCUUCGGAGUGCUGGGAGCAUGGUGGUACUUCUACGGAGGGUGCAGCGGUUGCCGGUCAUCUUCGUUUCGUUGAUCUGCCGUUGUGGCAUUUGUUUCUCUUUCUUUCUUCUUUGUUUUUCUUUGGACUUGUUUGUGCUGCGGCCCCAGCACCUAUAGUUGGAUGUAUCGGUGGUUGCUUUGUAAUACAAAGCGGGGCGAAACCCUUUUUCGUAGUUAGGGUUCCAAACAUAUGGUCUCUGCUGCUGUGAGCCUUCAUUAAUUUGACUUACUAUCAUCACCUAGCUCGUGUCACAAGUACACGUGCUGGGAAUGGCUUAAGUGCAUGGUGAAAACCGAUAGUUUGAUAAACUAGGGACCAUGGAUAAUCAACGUCAAAACCAAUUUGAAGUUUGACAAAAUAAAUGAAAUAAGGGACAGUCGUUGACCAAUAAGUAACAUACUAUAUUUUAUUUACUGAAUCCAAAUGGGAAUACAGUUCUUUUUGUCAACCAACACAACCACUUGGUCCACCAUAGUUGAACAUAUAACCCCUCUUAUAAUCAAGAACAAAAUCAUUUGCUCUAUAACAAUCUAGCCUAUCAACUAACUUGACCAUUGGCACGCCAAACGGGUUAUAAGAAUGACCAUUUGGAUUGUAAUACCGAAUGUGCUUGAAGUACGCAGAUUUCUUAUUGUCAUGAUCGUAAUGAUCAGGGAAGUGGCCACUACCCAUUGGAGGACCAUGUGCAUUCUUCAAGUAAUUCACGAAUCCAGUCAAGGCUUGUAUACGUGGUGUUCCAGGGCAAAGCUUCUUUGGAAAAUGUCCCAAUAAUGAUGGUUUUUCUAAAUCAUGACGGUACACCACCCAAUCUUCGGAAUUUGGAUCCUG